rnacentral:lncRNA from 1 species
AUCAUUUUUUCCUCUUUUCCUGCCAAAUUUUCAAAUAUUUUACUUAAGGAGAGUCCUUCCUCUAAAAUACCAUUUUUCUUUAGUAUAUCAAUUUUACCUGGACUUUGCAGUUUAGAAGUUUCUUCAUUUUGUUUAUUUUCUCAUCUGAUUCAAGCACUUUGAGGCAGUUGAGGCCAAGUUUCUUCGUGCAUCAUUUUCUGCUUUUGUAGAUGUGCUUACUGUCACGGGAUGAAUGUUUUGUGCAGCAAACCCGUGCGGCACUUAAACUGUUAGUCUAAAGGGCUACACAUAAUGUAAUUUUGAUGAUAACAAACAUGUGUUUUAAGUAAAAAUAAUAAAUAUUGUAUUUCACAUUUACACUAGUUUUUGAAGGAUAAUAUUUAUGCAAGUGAAUCAAGUGAAAUCAAGAUUGAAGACACUCAACGGACAACAGCGAAAUCAAGAAUAAAGUUUAGAGCUCAACGGACGAAUUAUUGCGACAAAUUCUUGUAAAGCCGGUAUGAUUUAAUUUAUGCAUGAUUUAGCAUUUGAGAAGCUCAAGAGAUUAAUUUAAUUAAAUACUUUUCAUAAACUAAAAUAUUUUAUUUUUAUGAAGUAAAGUAUUUUGUGGAUUUGAGUAAAUUGGACUUAAAUGCUAAGAUUUGAAAUCUUUGAUUUUAAUAAGUAUCAAAUUUCGGAGUUGGAUUUUUUUACAAACAUUUUAAAUGUUUUGGGCCAUACUAUAAUUUAUGAAUAUUUUGAACUAAAGUGAAAGGUUUUGAGAACUUUUAAAAAUAUGGGUAUUAUGUUGAAAAGGACUUUUGUGCGAAAAAAUAAAAUCUUUGGGGCCAUAUCAUAAUUUCAGAAAGUUUGGGAAAGACAACUAUUCUUAGGAAGUUCUGAAAUUGGACCUAUUUGUAAAGUUUUCUGACAUUUUGGGUCAUAGAAAAAUUAUAGAAAGUUUUGGGCCAAACUGUAAUUUCAGUGAACAGUGUUACUGUAACAAAAUUCAAAAAUAACGGUAAUAUUAUUGUUCCUGAGCGGCUAGCCGGAUAAUCAAGUGGCGAACCGCUUGAGUGCUGGAAUUUACCUAUAACGGCUAGUUUUUGGGCUUUCACUAUAAAAACUCAACUCAAACUUCAUUUUAAAAAAAAAUGCACGCAAAUAUAAGAUCAUACAACAUAUAUUGAGCUUCCAAAACACAAAUCAUCAUUGAUUGAAUCAUUGUUGAGCUAUUAGUUGCAUAUCAACUCUUAAAGAGAGUUUUUGUUGUAAUUUUCAUUCCUUAUCAAAUUGUGAGUGUGUAAGUGUGGGAAACACUUGGGGUGAAGAGUUGGGGAGAUAAUCUCUUGGUUGUAAAGGUUCAUUGACACCUUGGAAGUCAAUUGUAAAAACUUGAAGUCUUGGGAGGCUUGGAUAGUGAAAUCCUCGAGCUCGGUUGGCUUAGAGGCGUGGACGUAGGUGAGGAUUGCCGAACCACAUAAAAAUCAGCGUGUUUGUUUUUCUCUUCCCUAACUCUUUUAUUUUUAUGCUUGCUUGAAUUUAUUGUUCUCUAUUUCAUUAAGGCGUUAGAUUGAUUUUACUGUGCGAAUCGUAUUGCAUUAUUUUUAAAAACUCAAUUCACCCCCCUCUUGGGUUGCGUUACUUGUAUUUCAUAAACAACUUUACCGAAUGUUGCUAAGUAAGCCUGGAGCUUCUCGACUAGCUAACCCUAGAGGUUUUCGAAGAGUUAGAGAGAAGAGAGCAAUGGACCCAAAUGAGGAAAAUUGAAUUACUCGAAAGAAAGAUUACAAGAGAGCUUACAAGAAUGCUUAAGUUGCUUGCUCUAAACUUGUUGUUCAAAUGCUAAAUGUCAUGUCCUAUUUAUAGGGGAGGCUUGCCAAGCUCUAGAGAUUCUAGAGAAUUCUACCACAUGCCUAGAAUUCUAGAUAUUUACAUGAGCUAGAAAUGUGUGGAGUAUUUUAGAGUAUUUACAAGCUCAAAUGUACUAGAGUUGCCUAGAACAUUUCGGAAUUGGCCCAAGCUAGCACACUUGGCCUUAUCUUGGGCUCUUGGUAGGGAAAUUGGGCUAGCAACUUGGGCGGUCCGCAACAUUACGCUCGCGACAAAAACAAUCGAACAGUUUGCUCAAGGAAUGGAAUUAUAACAUUGUACUGUCUUUGGCAGUUGGAGAAUCAUUCUUAGUAGGAACUGUAUUACUUUAAUAGGCCUUCUUGUUUUGGAUUAGUUGACAUUUUUGUAACAAGAGAAUCUACACUGUUAGUUUUACAAUUUAAACCUUGAAAUAUCGGAAAGCUGUAACAAAUUCUUCAAAGUUUUGAAUUAUAUUUUGAAAGAAUUAGCUAGGCUGACAUUGAGCAACAAUUUUCUGCAUACAUUUUAUCUUGGGCAGAAUCAUCAAAAGUAGGUGCAUCUUUAAAUCUAGAAUAAAAGCAGGUUUGACUUGUAUUAUAAGAAACUCAAAUGGGGUGUCAUGGCUGCCUCCAUCACUAGGAAAACUUGCUCAGAAAAUAUGGAGAUUGCUGAAUGCUUUGGCAAUUCUUGAUGGCAUCAAAAUGGCACUUGAUUCUGGACUGCACCCACCACUAACUGUUGAAUCUAACUAUUUUAAUGCAGUGAAAUCAAUCUUAAAGAAGAGACUUCGGAUGGAUGAUCAAAGGAAUGCUCGGUUAUGUAAGAAAAGGAAAACAGUUUAUAGUUGCAAUACACUCAUCAAUAAUCUCAGGAACCUCUGAUGAUUGAAUUACAAUUUUUUUAAAUCCAUUCCAGAAUGCAAGCAUACCUGUUCAUGCAAGAUAUUCGAUGCUCUGCAUCCGAAACUUCGUCGACCUUUGCAUCUAACAGAUCAUUAACCUUACAAGCCACAGAACCCAUGGUCCACAAUAUUCACAAGAGCUUUGAUGGCAUGAUCUUUCAAUGUUUCCACCACUCUGCGUAACUGUGAAGAUAGUUUGUUUUCUCAAUGGAAAAUUGAAAUUAUCAGCUGUAAUUAGAGCAACUCACAUUUGUUUUUGGUCAUCACUGGUGUACCAUAGUUCAAGAUAUUCGGCUGUUGAGUAUAACUCUGUUCUCAGGUUUUUCAUAUCCUGAAGGUAAAGUCGCUUGAGUUAACCCAGUUCGAGUCGCAGGGAAGUCGCCUUUAUUGGGAGAACUUGUGCCCCCCGAUUCGAGCGGGGACUUCUAGUCUGGGUUGUGGUACGGGCUUAAAGGUGCCUCCCACAGUUGGGGCCCUCCCCAGGAUACCUCGUGGAUAAGACCAAAAAAAAAAAAAAAAGACCAAAGUAAAUAUUUCCAUAAACUUAAAUCUAUUACAAAUUGGUGCUUUUGUAUUUCCAUAAGUGGCUAUCUACUCCAAGGCUAGUUGAAAACAGGGUAAAAUUUGGAAAUUGACACACGAUCCACCGUUUAAAUCAUAUAAACAAGUAUCGCACGAUUAAACAAGAAUUGGCCUUGAAGACAUAUGCCCCUAUUUGCCACAAUCAUUUUUUUUCUUUUUCUUUUUCUUAAAAGUGAAUGCUGAGGUGGGUUCAACUCAUCAUACAUCUGUCAUUUUUUAUUUUACAAAAACACAAAAUAAGAAAAUGGAUUUGAUUAAGAUUAAAUUAGAUCGAUUUCUAUUUUCCAACGAAAAUAAAAUCAUCUUAUUUUUCACUUUAAUAAAGUAAAAUAAAAAACAAUUUUUUAACAUUUUCUAAUUUUUGUUUUUUCUGAGGCCCACUAAAGCUACAACUUUAAUACUUGUGAAUAAUGGUAUAUAGGUCCCACAAUCCACUCACUUUGUUAAUAUUUAUAUUAAUGUUUUAAGUAAGGCUAAUGUUAAGUUACAUGCAUGUACCUUACAACCUUCUCACAUGAAUAGUAUUUCACUCACUAUUCAUGUGAGAGGGUUGUAAGGUACAUGCAUGUAACUUAGAGUGAUCCACACCUGUCCCGUUUGUCUCACUUUUUUUUUUUCAAUUAUUUCGUUAGCCAGGCCACACUUUUAUAAACUUUGUCCUGGGCCCGCACUCUACUUUUGUGUUUUUUGCCCAAAUAAGCCGGACUAGCAUCACCCAUGUAAUUAUCUUUUCAGACCCCUCUCUGGUGUAUCACAGAAGCCCAAUAACAAAUACGUCCGCAAAAUAUCUAACAAAGAUAUUUCAACAAGCUGGUCGCGCACUGGGACGGGGAAUGGCUCUGUUCCUAAGAAUGAAUUGACGUCCUGUCCAGUGUCCCCCCUUGGCCCUUGCCUCCUCAUCACAGAGAUGAAAAUUGAAAUUAGGCCAAUUAGAUUAAAGGCGAGACGGAAUGGAAAUAUGGAACCGUUAGUUAUUAUACACAUGACCCCUCUAAUUAAUGGCUCUUUGCCUUUCAAUAUUAUUGUAGGUAUUUGCAAGGAAACCUCCUCUUAUCUUUCUUCCAAUUAAGACUUCUUAUGUCCAAUUACUGUUGAUUCUUUUUGAACGUGUAAAGGACAGCAACUUGAAGACUUGAGAGGGCCAGCAUUUAUUCAAAGUCAAGUACUGGGACUGGGAAUGGCCCUGUUCCUGAAGUAUGAACUGACGUCCCGUCCAGUGUCCCCUUGCCUACUCAUCAUACAAACAAAAAUUGAAAUUAGGCCAUUUAGAUUAAAGAUAAGACGAAAUGGAAAUAUGGGAUCGUUAAUUAUUAUAGCUAUGACCCAUCUAAUUUGUAAAUGGUUCUUUCCCUUUCAAUUUUAUUGUACGGAUUUGCAAGGAAACCUCCUCUAUCUUUCUUGCAAUCAAGACUUUUGCGUAUCCAAUUACUGUCAACUGUUUUUGAACGUGUAGAAGAAAACAACUAGAAGACUUGAGAGAGGGCCGCGUUAAUUCAAAGUCAAGAGUAGCUCAUUAGCUUGCAGCAUUCUUGAUGAUGAGGGGAAAAAAGGGUUGACAGAUGCUGGUAUAAUGUCUAUAAAACUUUAAUUAUUUCAUAAAAUUAUUUUAUUUUUUAUUCGCCAUCACGUUUGAGAUUCCCCCCCAUGGCCCAUUUUAUUUUCAUUUUUAUUUUUAUGUAGGUCAGUAGUGUUACUGGAAAUCAACUACUGCCUCUUUUUUCUUAUGGAGAAUUAAACAAAACUCACCAAUGACCUAAAAUAGGACAUGGCUACGGUACAGAGGCUGCAAGUAACAGCUUCGAACUUUCCCAUUUCCAUCACCUUGCAUUGGGACCUCUUUCUCUCUUCUCUAGCACCCGUGGAAGUUCUCCAUUGGCUGCUGUUACUUACAGAAGCCGUAACAUAGACUUGUCCCCUAAAAUAAAUAUAUAAUGAAUAUUUAUUAACAGAUUCUAGACAAAAUUAAUUUUUCAACCGAUUGAAGCUUCCAAAAACUCAAAUUUCGAAUUUUUAUAUAAAUAUAAUCUAUUUUAAGUAUCAUUAUUAAAUCCUCCUCUGUAGCACAUUAGCAAAUAUGCAACUUUUCUAGCUUAAAAUCUAGGUUCAAAUCUUGCCAGCAGAGUUGAUUUUCGUUAUUUUUUAAGUCAUAGUUAAUUUUGUUAUAUAAUUUCGAUCACAGAUAAUUUUGAAAAUAUUACGAGUAACUGUGUAAUUCACUCAAACCUUAGAGACUAAAGGAACAUUUACCAAAGAUUAAAAAAAAUUUUUUUAAAGCUACAUUUUGUUUCAUCCAAAUGAAGCUACUCAAUCUAUAUUUUAUUCCAAUAAAACUAUGGCUUCGUUUCAUAUCUUAAUUAAAUUAUAUAAUGAUGAAAUAUUAUAUUCUGAACUUAACUGAAUCCAAUAUCGUUUCACCAAUCGGUCAUAUGAGAUGAAGGAAAAAAAUCUGUUGAGAUUAAUUUUAAAUUAAAGUUGAAGAAUGGCGAUAUGAUACAUACACAUAUAUGACUCUAAAUUUAUUAAAUUGAAGACGUACUCAUCGUCUUGACGAUGUGCCAAAUACUGGAACGUGAGAAGGGUCUUUGGCCCUUGGAGAAGACUUGAGAGGGCCCGGAGUAAUUAAAAGUCAAGAUUGGCAUGCUGAAAUUAAUCUCUGGCUUUAACUUGCAACACUUUCGUGUCGGUGAGAGUUUUAUGCGGAGCUAAUAUAUGCACUUUCUGAACUAAAGAAAACUGAGUUUAAGCGGCGAAUGGCUGUGCAUCUUUGUCUGGUGUUGUUGCAGGUUAUUGUUUUGCACCUCAGGCCGAUCAAAGCAUCAGAAAUAUUUCCAUGUCCAACUGAAUGUGGAAAUGUCAGCAUCAGCUAUCCCUUCGGAAUCGGAGAAGGGUGCUACUUUGAGGGUUACGAAGUUAUCUGCGAUCACUCUUCUGGCUCUCCCAAAGCUUUUCUUCCUGGCGUCAACAGGCUAGAAUUAUUGCUUAUUCUCCCUUAUCCAAAGUUCGGGGCGGUUAGAGUCAACGUUCCUACAAUUUCUUUAAACGGCAGUAGUAAGCGAACAAGCAAUAUUGCUAAAGGCGUCAACUUAUCAGGUACCCCUUUCGCCUUUUCGACUGACAAUAAAUUCGCUGCGGUAGGCUGCAGCAUGAGAUAUCACCAAGGGAACGGUUCAUCCGUGUUUGUUCGGUGUCUGUCGAUUUAUACUUGUGAUCCUACUCUCUAUCCUGCUUGCUACGAUUUCCUAUGCCCCCUUGGUCCAAAUAUUACUCAUCUGUUCAAUGUAAAUACAUCAUACUUGUUUUCUCCAAGUAUUCCUCAGAAAUGUCAGUCUGUUUUCCUGGUUGAUGAAGAUUGGGUCAACAACAAGUACCUUGGAGAUCCUCAUGAUUUGAAAGAUCAACAAGAAUUUCCUGCAGCGUUGAAGUGGGGAGAAAGGAUAGGCAGUUGUUUUGAAGAAUAUAACUCAUAUUCUUGUAAUUCGGAUAAAACUGGUUGUUUAACACAAUUAAGCUCAGGCCAUUUAUGUCUUUGCUCUUCUGGCUACGACCUAGAGAAAGGAUACUGCUCAGGUACAGAUUGGAUUAUGAGUUAAAGAGUAAUUUUAUUUUUUUCAAAGAAAAUAUCCGGACGACAAGAAGAAAAGGGAAAAUUCUUGGUGCUCCACGAGCAUUAUGAAUAGAUGCUAUUUCCGUAUAAAUAUUAGCAAUAAACGUGAAUGAGAAACGGAAAAUGCUAUUGGAGCACCCUAGACUUUACUAGCAAGAGUUAAAUGUCAAAUGAUGUAACAUUCCUCUAUUGGAUGGUAAGAUGAUCAGAAAAGUGUUGUAAAAUUUAUCAUCCAAUAGAUGAUUGAAAUUAUUGAUUUUUAAAAUAUCCAUCGGAUUACUUGCAAAUGAGUAAAGUCUUCCAAUUACUGUAAAUGUCUAUGUAAACAGAAAAUUAAAGACAAAAAUGGUGGAGUUUUUUUAAGUUGUAGCCAUGAUUUAGUUUGAUCUUCUCUUUGAUUUAUUUAUUUUUAUUUAUUAUUUUCUGGGCAGGCGACUUGAUCUGUAAUAUCUCAAGCGGCUAUAAUUGCUCCAACUGUCCUGACGGUUAUUAUAAUCCUUUCUCAGAUGGUUGCAUUAAAGUUUUCAACAAAUCUCGGGUUAAAUUCAUUAUUAUAGGUAUGCAUGUCGAUCCGUUAAUUUACAUCAUAACAAAUUAAUAAUGUUUUUUAACAUAUAUUUCAAAUGAAAAUACUAAGUGUUCAUACGUUCAUUUGAUGAUAUCUUUCAUUAUUGUCCUCGAGAGCCGCAGGCUGCGGCGGUGGGCUUGCGUUAUUCUUUCUGCUCAUUGGAAUAUGGUGGUUGUACAAGUUUGUAAAAAGAAGAAGGGAAAUCAAGCUCAAGCAUAAGUUCUUUAAAAAAAAUGGUGGUUUAUUAUUGCAACAAGAAUUGUCUUCCAAUGAAGGUAAUAUUGAGAAAAUGAAGUUAUUUACUUCAAAAGAUUUGGAGACGGCCACCGACAACUACAAUGCCAAUCGGAUCCUUGGUCAAGGAGGCCAAGGUAUUGUAUACAAGGGAAUGUUAGCAGAUGGAGGAAUUGUGGCUAUUAAAAAAUCCAAAAUAUUGGAUGAAAGUAAUCUCGAGCAGUUCAUCAAUGAGGUAGUAAUUUUGUCUCAAAUUAAUCACAGAAAUGUUGUUAAGUUGUUGGGAUGUUGCUUGGAGACAGAAGUUCCUCUUUUAGUGUAUGAAUUUAUUCUAAAUGGAAGCCUCGAUCAAUACAUACACUACGAAUCAGAAGAGUUUCCAAUCACAUGGGAAAUGCGUUUACGCAUUGCUGUUGAAGUUUCAGGUGCUCUAUCUUAUCUGCAUUCAGCUGCAUCUAUUCCUAUUUAUCAUCGAGACAUCAAGUCUGCAAACAUACUUUUGGACGAUAAAUAUCGAGCUAAAGUUUCAGAUUUUGGGGCUUCUAGAUCUAUCACAGUUGAUCAAACUCACUUGACCACUCAAGUACAAGGAAGUUUUGGAUAUCUAGAUCCAGAAUACUUUCGAUCAAGUCAUUUUACUGACAAAAGUGAUGUUUACAGUUUCGGAGUAGUUCUUGUUGAGCUUCUAACUGGACAAAAACCUAUCCGUUCAACUGUAGCUGAAGAAGAUAAAAGUUUAGCAAGAUAUUUUAUCCAAGCAAUGAAAGAGAACCGUCUGUUUGAAGUCCUUGAUGAUCGAGUUCUUAAGGAAGCUGAGAAAGAAGAAAUUAUUACUGUUGCUACACUCGCAAAAAGAUGCUUGAACUUGAAUGGGAAGAAAAGACCUACGAUGAAAGAAGUGGCAUUUGAAUUACGGGGUAUAAGAGAAUCAAUUGGAGCUUCCAUUUUGCAGCAAAAUUGUGAAGAGACUGAUUUUGUGGAUGGUGACAUUACUGGACAUGAUUUCGAAAGGGAUUCAUCUUCUAGUGGGUCAACUUUAAAUAGUGUCUCAGUUUCUGUGGAUGCCGACCCUUUAAUUUCAAACAAAUGGUGACAAAGAGAAGAAUGGCCUUGAAACUGUUUGUAUUUCAUAAAUAAGAUUGUUAGACUUUUCCGAUAUUUUCAUUCUCUUGCAUCGUUACAGUUUCUUUGGGCACCAUCAUUUGUAAUUAAACACUUCCAAGUCAUUUCAAACAAAUUUUCCUCCUCUUUUUUUUCUUUUUUUUUUGGGGGGGGGGGGGGGGGUGUAAAUGGAAGAGAUGAAGGAAAAAUCUGUUGAAAUUAAUUUCGUAGUUGAAGUUUAUAAAUGCAAGAUGAUAUGAUCUCCCAGUCUAUUAAAUACUGAUGUGCAAGAACUUUAGCCCUAUGUGACCUAAUAUCUCUAGUAAAGAGGAGAGAACAACUUGAGCACUUAAAGAGGGCCAACGUUAAAUAAACUCCAGAGUGGCAUGUCGGAAUUGUUGGCUUAUUGUUAUGCAGGACUUUCCCGGUAGUGAAAUAAAGUCGAAAGGAAGAUGGGAGGAAAUAAAGAUCAAUGCGCUUUCUUGUAUUUCAUGGGUUAAAAAUCUUUUUAUCUGAUUACAAACUGAUAGAUAAAAUACCCUUGUAUCAUUUGUGAGUGAAUCUCUUAGGUCAAAAAUAUAAAGUUAGAACAAUCCUCAACUCUUUAGUUAGAUUUUGGGUAUGGCUUAAACCCAUGAACUUUUAUAUUUUAUUAGAGAUAAACUCACCCACGGUUAUGCCCGCACUACCUCCCACAGUACUUUACCACUAGACGCCCUUCACAUGGAGGCUUGGGUACCACUCGAAAAGUCAUUUGAAAGAAAAGUCUGUUUAAAAUUACGUUCCAAUUCUGUACUCUCAACUCUCCCAAGUUAUAAAUUGAUAUUCACUCAUGUUAUAAAAGAGUAAUGCUAGAGGAUCCCAUCUUGGGUACCAAUGGAUGGGAUCCUCUACCUCCCACAGUACCUUACCACUAGACGCCCUUCACAUGGAGGCUUGGGUACCACUCGAAAAGUCAUUUGAAAGAAAAGUCUGUUUAAAAUUACGUUCCAAUUCUGUACUCUCAACUCUCCUAAGUUAUAAAUUGAUAUUCACUCAUGUUAUAAAAGAGUAAUGCUAGAGGAUCCCAUCUUGGGUACCAAUGGAUGUGGCUUUCAUUUAGUGGAUAGUAAAAUAUUUAUUUUAUCAGUUAUUAUUCAAUAGAUAAAUGAUAUAUAAUAGUUGGGACUCAAAUUGGUACUUAAUUGGUGGGUCACAAUCAUUAUUGGUUAAAAAAAAUAUACAGAGAUAACUAGCGUAAGAGGUAAAUCAAAAACUCUUUCUUUCUCUCUGCUAAGACCCUUUCUGCCACCAGCUAAAAUUCACUAGUUUUGAUUAAUCAACGUGCCUGAAUUACACAGCCACCACAUUUUCGAACCUCUAAACUUUCAAAUCUAUUUUUCAACUCUGUUUUUCCAACCACUGCAGCCUCGAACCAACCGAAACUCCCUGCUGCUACCUCUAGUUACCACGUCGCCAAUUGCCCAUCACACAGCAAAAAAUUAUACUAAAGGAGUUUCAGUCGGGGGAGAGAACCAGUAGGUCUAUUCUUUUUUCUUAUUUUCUAUUUUUCUUCUAUAUUUCUUUUAUUUUUAUUUUUGUCUCUGCUUCUGUUAUUGUGCUUGUUUUUAUGUUUUUAUGUUUUCUAAGAUUUUAUACUGCUCCUGCGGUGGUUCUGGUGGUCCCUACAUAGAUGGUGUUGUUUCAAUGUCCAUAUCGAGAUUGUGUCAGUGUUCGGAUUGGAACGGUAUGCCUAUAUUGAAGCUGUUGAGGACUUUAAUAGUGGUACAUCAAGGUUCUAAUAACCUAAGGGGAGGUUCUGAUGGCCUAGGUCAAGGGCUCAUUGAGAGGCUUUCUAGUGAACCGUAAGGUUGGUUUUUUUUUGGUUGCAUUUUGUGGUUUUUUUUAUUGUUAUUUGUUUGCAUUCUGUUGUUACAAUUGUAUUUUCUUGUGCUCUGUUGUAUUAUCAAACACGAGGGGGAUUUCAGCUAUAGUAGCUGAGAUUGGUUCCUCUAGUUUUUCUUUGGAUUUUAAUUUGAGCUUAUUGUUAUCUUAUGUAUUGUACUUAAGCCUGUUAUUAUUAUUACAGGUCCGUCAUACUUCCUUUAAAAUAAAAAGAAAAAAAGAAUAUAUACGGAGGAGAACAACUUGUAGACUUGAGAGGGCCAUGGUUAAUUAAAAGUCAAGUUGACUUGCACGACUUUCUUGGUAUUGGGAUAAAAGCUAAAAGGAAGCUAGAAGGAAUUUAAUUAAAGAUCAACGCAUGCAAUUGCUCCGUUAAAUCUUUAUUCUUCCGAGUAAAAAUAUUGAGAAUGGUUGUUCAUCAUUAUCUGGUGUUGCUGCAAUUGAUGAUUUUGCUAGUAUGGCCAAUCAAAGCAUCAAAAGAUUUAUGCCAAUAUGAUUGUGGGAAUGUCACUAUCAUUUACCCCUUCGGAAUCGGAGACGGUUGCUACUUUGAUAAGAGUUUUGAAGUAUUCUGCGAUUACUCCUCUGGCUCCCCAAAAGCUUUUCUUGCGGGCAUCAACAACCUGCAAGUAUUGGACGGUCAUGUUUAUGAUUCAUAUACUUCUUUUGAUGUAUACAUGAUGAGGGUAUACAUUCCUGUAAUUUCUUUGAAGAGAAGUAACCUGACAAGCAAUGAUAAAGGGGUCAGUCUAUCAGGUAGCCCUUUUACAUUUUCCCGGUCGCGCAAUAGAUUCACUGCCAUAGGUUGCAACAACUAUUCUACGAUUAUUAAGCGACAGAAUGAUUCAUUCGUUUUUGGUGGGUGCCUUUCGAUUAGCACUUGUGAUCCUGCUCUUAACCCUGGUUGCUACGAUUUCCUAUGCACUCUUCCUCAAAAUAUUACUCAGGUUUUCAAUGCACAAAUAUCUAAUUUUUAUUCUAAAAGUAUUCCUCAGAAAUGCCACUCUGUUUCCAUGGUUGAAGAAGAUUGGAUCAACUCAAAGUACCUGAAGAAUCCUCACGAUUUGAAAGAUCACGGACAAGUUCCUGCAGUGUUGGAGUGGGCUGAGUAUAGAGGAGAUUGUUAUGAAGAAUAUAAUUCGAAAACUACUUGUAACAAGGACAAUAGAUGUUUAAUACAAUUAAGCUCAGGCUACCUUUGCCUUUGCUUUAGGGAAACAAGCUUUGACCGACACCACCAUGGAUAUUGCUCAGGUACAAUUUCGAAUACUAAUUAAAUUAAUUUCAUAUAUGAAGUGUAAUUACUGCAUUUGCUCGAACCAACUACGUAUCUAACACAAAAUUAGUGAAAGUAAUUGCAGAAUUCGCAUAUGUAAAAAGGGCAAGAUAUAUAUAUAUAUAGCCGUAAUUUAUUUUGAUAUUCUAUUUCAUCUUUUGGGUUUGUUCAGGUAACUUGCUCUGUAAUAUCACAAGCCCCUACAAUUGCUCAUUAGGAUGUCCCAAAGGUUACUUUUUAGAUAAUUUUUAUUCUAAAAGUAUUACUCAUAAGUGCCACUCUGUUUCCAUGGUUGAAGAAGAUUGGAUCAACUCAAAGUACCUGAAGAAUCCUCACGAUUUGAAAGAUCACGGACAAGUUCCUGCAGUGUUGGAGUGGGCUGAGUAUAGAGGAGAUUGUUAUGAAGAAUAUAAUUCGAAAACUACUUGUAACAAGGACAAUAGAUGUUUAAUACAAUUAAGCUCAGGCUACCUUUGCCUUUGCUUUAGGGAAACAAGCUUUGACCGACACCACCAUGGAUAUUGCUCAGGUACAAUUUCGAAUUAGGGAUGGCAAUUGUACCCGCAAACCCGCAAACCCGCCAAAACCCACCCGCCAAAACCCGCCCGUUGCGGGUAAUUUUACCCGUUGCGGGCGGGUUUAGUAUUAUAAAUUAAAACCCGCACAUGGAUGCGGGUGGGUUUGGUAUUAACCUUAUAUCCGAUGGAUACCCGCAUGGAUAUCCACCAAACCCGCAAUAUUUUUUUUCAAAUAUUUUUAAUUUAAUUUAAAUAUAAAAAUGUAUAAAGAAAAUAAUGUCAUUAAUCAAAUUACUAAAUAGACAAAGACUCAAAGUUGUGUAUGUGGCCCAUCUCUUAUUCUAAAGUCAUAACCUAAAGAAAACUAAAGGCAUUUCCCUUCGAAUUAGUAUUUGAAAAUAUUAAUCUUAAUUAUUAUUAUAGGCAUUGUGUUGGAUGGGUGCUUAUGGUGGUGAAUGAAAUGAAUAUCUUCUCUUGGAUCUUGUUUUAAAUGAUAAUAUGAAAUGUAAUUAUUAUUUUUAGAUACUAGUUUGUGUUUUUUAAAUAGAUUUGUGUAAUUUAUACUUAAAUUUGAGAAUUUGUAUUGAAUUGAUGUGGAAAUUUUAAUUUUUCAUUGACAUUGUUUAAAUAUAAAAUUGAGUAUGCUAUAUGGAAUUUGAGGUUAUUAUUAUAAAUUUAUAUAUUAAAUAUUUGUGAUUUUAAAUACGGAAACCCGCAAAAAAUCCGCCGGAUACCAUUGCGGGUUUGGUAAUUAUUAAAACCCGCUGCGGGUGGGUUUUUUAAAAAAAAUUAAAACCCGCUGCGGGUUGCGGGUGGGUUUGGUAAUUUAAAUUUUGUGCGGGUUUGGGUUUGGUAAUGGCAAACCCGCUGCGGGCGGUGCCCAUUGCCAUCCCUAUUUCGAAUACUAAUUAAAUUAAUUUCAUAAAUGAAGUGUAAUUACUGUAUUUGCUCGAACCAACGACGGAUCUAACACAAAAUUAGUGAAAGUAAUUGCAGAAUUCGCAUAUGUAAAAAAGGCAAGAUAUAUAUAUAUAGCCGUAAUUUAUUUUGAUAUUCUAUUUCAUCUUUUGGGUUUGUUCAGGUCGCUUGCUCUGUAAUAUCACAAGCCCCUACAAUUGCUCAUCAGGAUGUCCCAAAGGUUACUUUUUAGAUAACUACCUCGGUGGCUGCACAAGUUCAUAUGAACCUAAUCCAAUUUUGCACAAAAAUUCUCAUGUCAAAUUCAUUAUUAUAGGUAUGUUUUGGAAUUGCAGAUUUCGUCGACAGAAUUAACUGUUCUUUUUUUUUUGUUAAUUACCGUAUAUAUAGGCUAACAAACGCAAAAACUUCUGCACCUGAAAUUUGCAAUAGCUUAUACAUUUAUGAUCUCCUAUUCUAAACAGUUCCUUGCCAUAAAUCCCCUCGAACACGUAUUAAAUAUUCUUGUCCUGGAGCGUUGCAGGUUGCAAUAGUGGGCUUGGAAUGUUGUUCCUACUAAUCGGAACAUGGUGGUUGUACAAGUUCAUUAAAAGAAGAAGAGAAAUCAAGCUUAAGCAGAAGUUCUUUAAAAGAAACGGUGGUUUAUUGUUGCAACAACAAUCGUCAUCAAAUGAAGGUAAUACCGAGAAAAAAAAAUUGUUUACUUCAAUGGAAUUGGAAAUGGCUACUGACAACUUCAAUACCAAUCGAAUCCUUGGUCAAGGAGGCCAAGGCACAGUGUACAAAGGAAUGUUGACAGAUGGAAGAAUUGCGGCUGUGAAAAAGUCGAAAUUAGUGGAUGAGAGUAAUAUUGAGCAAUUCAUCAAUGAGGUGGUAAUUUUAACUCAAAUUAACCACAGAAAUGUUGUUAAAUUGCUCGGAUGUUGCUUGGAGACAGAGGUUCCUCUUUUGGUGUAUGAAUUUAUUCCAAAUGGAACUCUCUAUCAAUAUAUACAUGAAAUUGAGGAGUUCUCAAUCACAUGGGAAAUGCGUUUACUCAUUGCCAUAGAAGUUUCAAGUGCUCUAUCCUAUUUGCAUUCAACUACUUCUAUUCCAAUUUAUCAUCGAGACAUCAAGUCUGCAAAUAUACUAUUGGAUGAUAAAUUUCGAGCAAAAGUUUCAGAUUUUGGGACUUCUAGAUCUGUCACGAUUGAUCAAACUCAUUUGACCACACGAGUACUAGGAACUUUUGGAUAUCUAGAUCCAGAGUACUUUCGGUCAAGUCAAUUUACAGAGAAAAGUGAUGUUUAUAGUUUUGGAGUUGUCCUUGUUGAGCUUUUAACUGGACAAAAACCUAUUCGUUCAACCGACGCUGAAGAAGAUAAAAGUUUAGCAGGGUAUUUUCUCCUAGCAAUGAAAGAGAACCGUUUGUUUGAUGUGCUUGAUGCUCAAGUUCUGAGGGAAGCCAAGGAAGAAGAGAUUAUUACCGUUGGCAUGCUUGCAAAAAGAUGCUUGAAUUUGAAUGGGAGGAAGAGACCUACUAUGAAAGAAGUCGCAUUUGAAUUAGGGGGGAUUAGAGCUCAAAAGUGUGAAGACAUUGAUCUUGUGGGUGGAAAUUUUGAAACUGGUUCAUCUUCAACUGGAGCAAUUUUAAAUGCUGUUGCUUUUUCUGUAGAUGCUAGCCCUUUGCUUUCAAACAAGUGGUGAUUAAAGGGAAGAAUUUUCCCUUGAAAUCUAAAGAAUUUUCUUUUGAAAUCUAAGUAUUUCAUUUCAUAUAUAAAUAAAUUAAGUUGUGGAUUUUUGCAUUAUGCUUCUCUUAUGGCUAAAAUUUUUCAUCUCUAGAAUAAAAUAUACAGAGUUUGACGUUCAGUUUGUAAGCGGAGAAAUAAAUUUAUAAGGUAGAUUCCAACAAAGCAUCUGUGGCAAACAUAUUUAAAUAUCUAAGAAGCAAGCUUCUAAUGCUACCAAUAUUUAGUGCACUAGAACUUUGAAGCUGACAGAGUGAGGCAUCUCGGCAUCUGAAUCUGCAUACAAGUGGAACAGGAGAUGCUGACAUGACAUCCUACGUGGAGCUUAUGUGACACAUAUAAUGAGUCCAGUUCGUUCCUAAUUCACACGCUUACAUUGUAGCCCCGUUCUUUGUGUUUCGAGUACCAUUGGUGAUCCAUCACUUGGUGCCAUUGUAUUGCUAAUAGCACCUUUGCCUUGAUUGAUUUUGCUGACAAUAUAUAGGGUGUGUUUGGGAGUAAAGUCCUACAACUUUUAUGUUGCGUUUACUUUCCGGACUCGGGAAUCAAAAUUAUUAACAGCGUUUAUUUCGCAAAAUAAAUUCAAGAAUAAGAAUUGGAAUCAUGGAGCACACCACAAUUUUAGAAUGAGGAAUGAGAGACUCAUUCCUAAGAGGGACGUGGGAAUGAGUCUCCCAUUUUCAGGAUUGACUAUUUUACCUUCCUCAAAUUUUUGUCCUCAGUUAUAAUUAAUUAAUGUAUUAUUAUUAAAUAAUUAAUAUACUACUAUAAUAAUUAUUAUAAUUAGUUCAAAUAUUAUUAAUUAAUUAAUUAUAAUUGUUACUAUUAAUUAAUAUAUUAAUAUAUUAUAAACAAUAAUUAUUAAUAAUUUUAAUUUUUGAUAAAUAAUCACAAUAAUUAAUAUACUUUUAUUAUAACUAAUUAAUUAGUAUACUAUGAUAAUAAUUACUAAUAUACUUAUUAUAAUUAAUUCAUAUAUAUUAUUAAUUAAUUUAUAUAAUUAUUACUAUUAAUUAAUAUAUUAGUAUAUUAUUAACAAUGAUAUAUUAAUAAUUAUAGUUUUGGAUAAAUAAUCACAACAAUUAAUAUAUUUUUAUAAUAAUAAUAAUAAUUUUUAGUUAAAAAUUUGUACAAUUAAUUAAUAUAUUAAUAUAUUCUUGUUAAUACUAAUUAAUAAUAAUACUUUUUGAAUAAAUAAUCACUAUAAUUAAAAUAUAAAAUAAUAAUUGUGACAAUAAUUCAUUAAGUGCUUUUUAGUAAUUUUUUACAAUAUAACUCAUUCUGAUUCUGAUUACAAGAUAAAAUAAAUACAUCAAUGAGAUUCUAACCCAUUUCUAUUCUGAUUCAUGUAGAUCAAGUAAACAACUUAUUCUGAUUCCUAUUCCUCAUUCUCAUUCCAGCUCAUAAUGAUUUCAACUCAUUCUGAUUACAGUCCAUUUCGAUUACUAACAAGUAAACACAACAUUAAGAUGCAGCUGUUGUGGAGCAAAAAUCAUAGUUGUGGGAUAGAAGCUGCUGGGGUUUAGCAAAUUUUAAUAGUUGUAGAGUUGAAAUUGAUGGUAUUUGGUAAAUUUUAAUUGUUGUAUAGUGAAAGUUGAUGAAUAUUUGUAAUAAUUAAUUUUAAAUAACAUUAUUUUUAAUUAGUAAUUAGUCAAAUUAUUUUUCAUAUUUUGAAUUAUCAUAUUAACAUAUGAUUAUUGUUUAUUACUUUGACAAAUCAAAUUAAUAUUUAAUUAAUCGAAGUUAUUUUUCUUCACAAGUUGUAAUAAAUAUUUUUUAAAACAAAAUAAUUUAAAAUUGAAAGUACAUAAAUUCUAAUUUUACUCAUUGAUUGAAGAAAUAAAUUAUACCAAAUAUGUCUAAUAAAGAUUGUACAACAUAACAUUUAAAAUUAAAAUGUAACUAAUUACAAAAUUCUUAUAAAUAUUUACAUUGUCAUGCCUCCAUUAAACUUGCAGCAAUGCCAUCUCCCAAGAUUAUCAUAUUUUGAGCUAUGUUAUUAGUUGUAUCAUAACUUUCUUUAGGAGACGCAAUCCUGCUUAUAUGUUCGCUAUUACUAUGACUUGGUUCAUCCAUUGUUUCAUCAAAAUGAUCAUGAUUUUAUGAAUGUCUUCUUAUGUAAUUAUGUAAGGCCAUGGUAGUAAUAACUCUCUCCACCUGCUUCUUGAAUGUGUAGCUUGGCAUAUUUCGUAAAAUCUUCCAUGUGUUCUUUCAAACCCUAAAAGUACUCAUUAGAGUUAGCAUUACUCUCAACACUAAGAUAUUCAAAUGCUUCAUUACUCUCUAAAGGAAAACCAGAUGAGGGAAGCCAAACAUGCUCACUCAUAGCCACUGUGUUUGAACAUUAAAUUUAGGUUUUUUUUCUAACUCUAGAUCAAUACCAUUUUUUUUUCGAAAUCUACUCAUUUGCAAAUUUUCCUUUAUUUUCUUUUUCCACCAAUCUUCACUUGCAUCAACUAUCCAUAACCUAUGAUUCCACCUUAGACCAAUUUCCAAGCUAAUCAAAUUCUUUCACAAUUUCCAAUCAGUUCUAAGAGAAUCCCAUUUGUUUUUCUUUUGAGUUCUAUUGUAAUCCGAUCCAGUUUCUUUAGUGGAUUCCUUAAUUAAAUUUUCAUAUGCUUCGGAAGUCACAUGAGUCCUAGGACGAUGUUUGGAUCCACCGCCUUAAUACCUAACUCACAAAAUACAUAUGAAGUCUGAGGGUUCCAAAUAGCCUUACUAAUUGAGUUACUAGACAUAAUUGCGUACACUUAAACCUAGAAAAUAGAGUAAUAUUUCUUCAUCAAACAGCAAUAUAGGAAAGAGAUUAAUUAAGAGCAAUACCCAAUUUUCUUUUUAAAACAAAUAACAUUAAUUAAGGAUGAAUUAUGUCUAGCAGCAAGGAUGAAUUAUGUCUAACAUUACAUAACUUGUUUCAAAAUGAGUUGUUAGUUUAAUAAACUUGCGGGUUCCUCUAAUUACAUAACCUGUUUCGAAGAAAUUAAAAUAAUUUUUCUCAAUAGUUCAAAUUUUCUUUAGUUACCUUUAAGUGAAUCCUUUCAAAUUUGUGCGAAGCUGAAAUGAUUUGUUCAAAAACAUGUAUUGUUGGAAUCUAUAGGAAUUGAUUACUUGUUUGUUGCUGCCUUUAAUGAUUUUUAUUAGGGAAAUUUCAUCAGAUAGGGAUUGUGCAUGUCUAUAAAACCAACUAAAAAAAUUAAAAAUGCAAUAAAGAUAGUGACUUCAAAGCAAAUAAAUCACACGUGACCAAUCACCUAUUAAUUUAUUCUAAGCAAAAGGCCCAGCACAUUCUGAACAAAAAGGAAGAAAAUGAAAAAUUACAUGUAACAAAGUAAAGGAAAACGCACCUUUCUUAGAUAUUUUGAAAACAAAGAUAGAAGAACAGAGGUGUAUGAAUAUGAUUGGUGUCAAAAUCGCGUCGAUGAGAAUAGCCGCUAUGGAAUUGCAUCGAUGAGAACUGUCGAUGUUGGAAUCAUGCUAAUAAGAUCGGUGUUUAGAGUUUGUUUUAUGGAAAAAUCGAUUUGAGAUUAAGUUUAAAAAUGAGGUGGGUAAAAUUGAAAUUAAAUAAUAUGUAAGGAUAAUUUAGUAAUUUAAUACACAACUGAGAAAAUUUUUUGUUGAACUGCCAAAGCCCAACUACAAAGUGUUACUACUAAAAAUGAGGGGAUGAUAUAUGGAAAAAAAGAAGCUUCAUUUUAAGGGUUUCUCUAUGAUGCUGUAAUUUUUUUACAGCAUCAAUAAUAUUUUUAAUUGUGUACCAUUGGAUUUAAUCAAUGGUACACAAUAUUUGUAGUAAAAAUAAAAAAAAAUUAAAAAAUAAUGGUAAACGGUUAACAAAUGUGUAAGGGGUGGAGAAUUUUAUAAAAUAACUAUGAACAUCCUUAGAGUUUGAAACAAUUUCACUUAAAUAGCAUAUUUGAUUUAAAAUUAUUUUCAAUCCUCCUUUAAAUUUGAAAUGUGAUAAUCUUUUUUAAAUAAAUCUUCCAAAAUCUAUUACCAUUAAGUAUAAAAUAAAAUGGUAGGUUAUUUAACACAAAUCAAAUAAAUAAGUUGCAAUUGCAAAAUUUAUAUAUGAUAUAAUAGUAAUAAAUAACACAACUAAGUACAUAUACUUAAGUAAAUGUCAUAGUUACAUCAAUAAACUCAUUGUUGAAAUUGCUUGUAACAUAAAAAUUACUUGAUCACACAUGUUUUAAUAAAAUUUAAUAUCGUAUAUUAAAAUACUCAUUAUUUUAUAUAAUAUUAAGGGCCAUUGUAUAAUUGAUCAUGAAGUAUGUAUUAUUUUUAUCACCCAUUGAACAUACUUAUUCUCUGAACUUUAUAUUUAUCUUACAAUUAAUAUCCUUACAUGAUAGGAAUUUUAAGUUUUAUAAGCCUAUAUAUUUUCAUUUUAUUUUCAAAUAUCACUUUGUUAAUUUCACAAAAGUUAAAUCUAAUAUAUAUUCCUAAUGAGCUUUAGUUUAUGAAUCGUGAAAGAUUAUUUUAUUGAUAUCCUUUGAUUGUAAUUAUAAAAUUUUAUGUUAUUAAGAAUAAUUACCUUUGUUAUGAUAAUUAAUAGUGACAAUAAAUAAAAUAUUACCUCCCAUAAUAUUUACGUGGGAAAAAAAGUGAAAGAAAAUCAUUUAUAUUUUUAGAUUUUUAUUGACAUGGUAGGAAAUUAUCUCAGCCUUAUAAAAUUUAACUUUCACAAGCUUGUUUUCAUUUUAUUUUCAAAUGUCACUUUGUUAAUUUCAUAAAAGUUAAAUCUAACACAUAUUCCUAAUUAACUUUAGUUUAUGAAUCAUGAAAGAUAAUUUUAUUGUUAUUCUUUGAUAAUAAUUAUAAAAAUUUUAUGCUACAAAGAGUCAUUACUUUUAUUAUGAUAAUGAAUAAUGACAAUAAAUAAAAUAUUACAUCAAAUAAUAUUUAAUGGAAAAAAUGAGGAAAAAAAUCAUUGUAUGUUUUUAUAUUUCCAUUAUAAAGAUAUGGUUUGGGAUACUUUAACUUAAAAUUUUGGUACAAUAUUUGAGCCACUAAUAUCUCAUAGUCUAAUGGUUGAUAUUGAAAGUCAAAGCAACAUUUCAUAAUGUUAUAUCCUUCACCAUUGAAUUACAUGAAAUAAAUAGUUUAAUUUUUUGAUAAAAAAUUAAAUCAAAAUAUUUCUCACUCUAUAGUUAUAUAGACAUAUAUAUUUUUCAAUAAUAAUUGGUGAAUAAAAUAUUUCUCAUUUGUUGUGACUCAUAUAGUAUUAUUAAUAAAACACAUAUAAAAUAGUUUAUUACAAUGCUUUCUAUUAUCAUUAUUGUUUAGGUGUUAAUGGUUUGUAAUUAAAUUCAUACAAUACAAAUUAUUAUAAGACUUUGUGUUAAAUAACCUACUUGAUAUUAUAUUUUAUACUUAAUGGUAACUGAUUUUGGAAGAUUUAUUUAAAAGAGAUUAUCAUAUUACAAAUUUAAAGGAGAACUGAAAAGCAAUUUUAAAUAAAUAUACUAUUUAAGUGAAAUUGUUUCAAACUCUAAGGGUGGUCACAAUUAUUUUACAAAAAUUAUCCACCCACUUAAACUAUUAUCAUUAUUUUUUUAGUACAAAUAUUGUAUACCAUUGAUUAGAUCUAAUGGCUCACAAUUAAUACAUUAUUGAUGCUGUAAAAAACUUUACAGCAUCAUAGAGGAACCCUCAUUUUAAAUUAAUGAACAAAAACAAUUUAAAGAUUUAAGAGAUCUGAUUUGUCGUUUCAUUUCACUAAAAUGUGGAUAGAUAAAAUUAGUUAUUGGGUGUGUCUUAUCCUAAAAUUAAUCUUUCACGAAGUCCUUAGAAACAAGAAAAUACUAUUACAUAGCUCGGAAAGUGUUAAUAGUUAUAGAAUUAGGCGUCUCUUACACAUAUGUCUUCCCAUGUAUAAAAGCGUUCGUAUUAAGUUAUGAAAUGGUGGAUUAUUAUACUAAACAAACGGCUCUUUCCCUUUCAAAAUUAUUGUACGUAUUUUGCAAGGAAACCUCCUCUACUUUGUUUCUUCCAAUUAAUGUCCGGUUAAGACUUCCGUGUGCCCAAUUAAUGCCAAUCGUUUUCGAAUGUGUACAGGAUAACAACUUGAAGACUUGAGAGGGCCAGCGUUAAUUCAAAGUCAAGACUCAAGACUAGGUUAUUACCCUGCAGGAUUCUUGAUAGUGAGGUGAAAAAAAAAAAAAAAAAGGUUGAAGGAGAUUAGGAUUUAAUGCUGAGUUUAGUUUUUAUUCACCACUAAGUUAAUGAUUAGAAUUUAUUUUGUACUUUUUCUUUUAUUUAUCUUACCUAAUAAUUAUUUUUUGAGAUUCUUGUCCAAUUGAAAGAUACUAGAGAAAAGGUUUUUAAAACUUUAGUUAUUUUUAUGUAUAAAACAAAAACUUUAAAUUAUUUAGUUUCAAAAGAAAAAAAAUGUAAUUUUAAGAGACCUCCUCUGAGAUUUGACGUAUUAACAUUUAUAUAGAAAAUAUGCCCCUAAUUACAGAGACCUCCCCAGCCGUUUAUACUCAAUUUCGUAUAUUAUAAGAGAGUAAAUUAGUAAAAGCGCAUUUAAAAUUGAAAUAAGUAAAAAGCUAAUUUGAAGAUAAGCCCACUGAAACACUAAAAAAAUCCCGAUGAAAAUUAGUUACCACUAACUAGAGGAUGGAUGAAUGCUUGCUCUCUUUCAUCAACCUAACUCAUCACAAACAAUUUUCUCUUUCAAUCAACCGAGGCCCACAUGCACUCCUCAUCUCUAAAUGCUUUGAAGAUGAAAAAAAUCAGAUUUUUAUUGCCAAGUUCCGCAACUUUAGCUUAGAUUUAUUAACAAGAAAAGCAUCGAUGGUGGCCUAAGGGUGGUGUCAGGUGAAAAUAGCUGACUAUUCGGCGUCGGACAUGACUGUUAUUGACUUGAAUUCAAAGAAGGUUAGUCUUUGAAACAAUUUUGGAUUUAAUUUUUUUGUUUUAAUAUGUUUUAUAUUUUAAAAUCAAAUUGAAAUUUUAUUUCAUUUUAAUCAUAGAUUGGUUUUUUUUUUUUGUUUGAAAAUGAAAAUGGGCUGAAGUGUUGGAGAACAGUUGGCAUUGUGUUGUUCAUAAAAAAAAAUGAUAUCAAAUUGUUGAUGUAUUAGAGAAGAUGCAUGUUGUUUGUUACUUUCAGAUCGUAGCUAUUUGGAUUUUUCAAGUUAAGAGCUAAUCAUAACAUAUGUGUUGGAAAUUAGUGAUUUUUAUGUGACUUCUUUGUCAAAUGAAAAUGGGUUAGCACUGUUAUGAAGAAUAUGGAUGCUAUUUGGAGGAAUUAACUUCUUAACAUGUGCUUGAACUAAAAAUACCAAUGCAUAUUAGAAAUUAGUGAAGUUAUAUGCAUUAAUAAUAUUGGAAAUAAGGGUUUGUUUGUGAUGCUUUAAAGAAGCUGAAAAGGAUAUUGCUUGUGCUCCUUAAUAUGGAGAAUUUUUAGUUGCUUGAUAAAAAAAGCAUUAGUGACAAAUAAAAUGAAGAAAUUUUGGAUGAUGUUUGUGUACAAGAUUUAAAUUAUUUGUUUUAUUGAAGCUGUACUGUGUUUUUAUUUGUGAUUUAACCAUUAAAACGGCUCUGUAACAUUGAUUAGAGGCUGCAUGUGCUCUUUUUAUAAAAAAAGAAGUAGUGGCAUUCCUAAGUGGAGUAAUGAGAUGCUAAGAUGGGAAUGUAUGAAUAUUUAAUUUUGUUCUUGCUUUAAACUAUGACUAUAAAUCCUAAGUCUUCUAAAAUGAAACUCAAUUAUGCUUUUAAGAUGUAAAAAGGCAUCAUUGCCAUUUUUAAGUGACUUUGAUAAUGCUUCAAAUGGAAGUUCGCAUUGGUUUGUCAAAAUCUUUUGUUAAGCAGGGUGAAAUGAUUCAAUUUGCAUUGAAUAUGCGAAAGUUUCUAAGCGAAUAACUUGUGGUCUCAUGUUAUUUUUUUUCAGAUGAUGCUCUAGUGGAGGUCGAAAAGGAAAAGAGAGUCUUUGUUAAAAAAAAAAAAAGCAGGGAACAAAUAUGCCUUUCUAUAAUUGUCUUCCUUUUAACAUGUAUGUCAUGAUUGGUGUGCAUAAAUGACCUUUAUUGACUAAAUAAUAUAAUCAUGAACAAGUAAAAAUAUAAUUUUUUUUAGUACUUUUCCUACUGAUCAUAUGUGAAUUGAAUCAAUUGUGUUGAAAAUGUUGAUCAAGGCAAAAAAGCUCUCAGCCUUUGCUACAUUCGAAAAUAGCAAGAAGGAAUUUUGUAAGCCCAACUGAAAAAGAUUGAGGUAACCUGUCUCUUCUUAUUCUAGAUUCUUUUUUUUUUCUUUGUUUUACUUCCCAUUUCAUCUUCAGCAAAUCUAGUAAUUGGAAGGAAAUAAUUGGAAGGAAAGAAGGCUGAAUAUGCUGAAAAUAUGAAAAAUAAGGCAGCUAUACGUCACAAAGAAGGAUCAUGCUACGGUGCAACUGUGACACCGUGCCACAGUUGCAUCUAGCCGUUAGAUGCAGUUGGAUUAGUAGGGUCCACUGAUAUCCAACGGUUAGAUGCAACUGUGGCACGGUGCCACAGUUGCACCUAAGGUUUGCCCCACAAAGAAAUAGAAGAGAAAAGGGCAACGGUUGAAGUUAGUGGUGGAGAUUGAAUUCUUAAGUUAAAGGAGAUGGUUGAAAAAAUCGGUGUAACUAAGAGCAUUUUAAUGAUCAAUGGAAUUAAACAAAUGUUAACAAUAGGUUGUUGUCUAUUAGAUAUACCAAAUUUGACUUUGAACUGUUGUAUUAUGUUAAAUUUCUAAAUUUUAUUUCACUGUAUAGUAUCGCUAGCCCUAGUUUCCCUAAGAUAUUUUUUUUUUUACAAUUGAUGAAUAUUUGAUGUCAAAUUUUUAUUUCCCAAGAGUGGUAAAGUGUAAUGAUUAAUUUGAUAUUUAGUACUACUAAAUUUUUAAAUUUUAGUUCACUGUAUACUAUCGCUAGCCCUAGUUUCCUAGUAAUUUUUUUUACUUUUAACAAUUGAUGAAUAUUUGAUGUCAAAUCUUUGUUUCCCAAGUGUGUUAAAGUGUGAUGAUUAAUUUGAUAGUUAGCACUAAGGCUGUUUAGGUCUUUUCUCAAAUCAAGGGUAAUUUUUACAUAUCACUAGUCAACUAACAUUCAAGGAAACUGAGUACAGACGGUAGGGGAGGUCUCUGUAAUUAUGGUUAUACUUUCUAUUUAAGUGUCAAUACGUCAAACCUCAGGGGAGGUCCCUAAAAAUUAUCCAAAAGAAAUCGAGUCUUUGAGCUGCUUUGGAACAAAUUAUAUUUUCAAUUGAAAUUGAAAAGAAGAAAAAAAAAAUAUAUAAGAGAGGUUUUAUAAGAUUAAUGAAGGGGUUCCAAUAAUCCAAUAUUUUCACAAUUUUUUCUUUUAAGUUUUAUUCAUCACCCCAUAGGCCCAAUUUAUUUUCGUUAUUAUGUAGGUGUGGUGUUACUAGAAAUCAAAUGUUGCCUUUUUUUCUUUUUCUUUUUUUCCUCUCCUCUCCUCACUUAUGGUGGAAUGUGGAGAAUUAAACAAAACCAAUAUCCUAAUAUAUAAUUAAUAUUUUGAAACGACCCGCCCCGAAUCCCCCCCAGGCGAGUUUAUCUAGUCUCAUCAAAACAAACUUGAUAAAAAUUCUAUUAGUAAAGAUUCUGCCGAAAAUUCGGCAGAGUCUCCUUUAUAUAUAUAACACUCACAAUCUAUAAAUAUGAAUAUAACACUCCCAAUACAAUUCAAUAUAUAACAAACUCCAGUGAUUAACAUUCUCAACUAAAAUGCUGAGUUUUAUAUCUCCAGAGUCUCAAAAGAUAAAAUUAUAACUAAUAUUAAUAUCUCAGUUUAUUCUUAAUCCCAAAAGAAUAGUAUAACAAAAUUAUACAAUCCCAACAGAACGAGAUAACCAAGAUGUCCUAACAAAAAUAUUUAUAUCUUCUAACACCAUCACGUGGCCAAGACUCAAAAUAUAUUUACAGUCGCUUGGUCGGUCUGGUGUACCUGCAACCUCCUGGUGAGGGGGGGGAGAAAUAUAAUAAAAACGGGGUGAGUUUAAAACUUAGUGAGAUCAGUGAGUGGAUAAUAGUUUUGAAAAUUAAUUUUUACUUUAAAAGAAAUAAUCAUAUCAUUUCCAAACACGAUUUCAUUAAACCAUAAGCGAGAAACCAGUAAUAAAUCAUUAAACAUUUAAAUCAGAUUACUAACCAUGGAAAUCAUAUCACAAUAUCAUAUAGAAUUCACAAAUCUGAAAAUUAUCACCAAACAAGUACCCAGGGAAAUAAUCUCGUCAUAUCCGAACCUCAACGGACGGGCAAUGAUGUACUAUCUGGGUAACGUCACGCCCCGGAGCUACACUGAUAGAUAGGGAAAUACCAUCUCAUAUCUCAUCAUAUCUGUGCAUGCAUAAUCUAGUCCCCAAGGGACAAAAGCGCCCAAGCACACGGCCCAAAGCCUCUGUGUGUACUCAGACGGGCCCCAAAGGCCUAUAUCUCAUUUGUAUCAUAUGUAUCAUUUGUAUCUCAAUAUCUGUCUGUAUCUCAUAUCAGUAUAUCUGUAAUCAUCAUACCGCAUGCAUAUGCCCCCAAAAGGCAAAAGCGCCCAAACACACGGCCUAAAGCCUCUAUGUGUGUUUAGACGAGCCCCAAAGGCCUCUCAUCUCAUCUCAUCUGUAUCACUGUAUCUGGAGGGAAGGGUACUGUCUAAUGAUUUAAAAAACAAUCAUUAUACUCAUUCACAUACCUCUUAACCAUAUUUUCAAUCAUACCACAUUUGAAUCCACUUUUCUUAUCUUUAAAAUACUAUCAUGCUUAUUCAAAGUCGAUACGCAAAAUCAUUAACCAAACAUUUUAAUAAAAUAUCAAGGCGUGAAUAAAAUCCAUUUCGAGAAAUCAUUAAAUCAGAACAUUUAAAAUACUUAUUUCGCAAACAUGCUUUACUAUCAUCGCUAACUAUGAAAAUAAGUUUUGUAUAUUCCACUCACAGUGACGAUGUUCACGGUCGGUUAUCGUCCACGUCUGCGGACCGGUUCUCGCUCGCAGAUCCUCCUAAAUUAAGGAAACGACAUAAUUAUUUUUCGUAAAUCAGAAUUAUGACUAAAUUUUAUGCAAUAAACUCGAAACGAACAUCUAUCCAUAAUUUACAACCCCCCAAACUAUAAAAUUUCUAAAAUGCCCUUGAGUCCGUAGAUCAUUAACAUGCUCCGAAAUCGUAAAUCACCGAAUUACCCUCGGAAUCGUAAUUACACCCAAUCCUCAAUUCUAGGAAUUACGAAAAUAUCCACAGGCUCAGAAAUUACAAAAUUGCCCUCAUAGUGUGAAAUUACCAAAAUGCCCUUGCCGAUCAACGGUCACCGGAAUUUCGUCAACACUGGCUAGGAAGCUCAAAUCUUAAAGUUCCAAUCACGCUGAGUUCAAUGGUACCGACGGUGAGCUCCAACGCGCGGCAAAACAGCCGGAAUCUAGCUCGGCAGCCGUGAAUUCCAAGAAUCGACCGGCGGCAAAACAGUGACUCUCGGUGCCUAUGGAUGGUCGGAAAUGGAAGACGGAAUCGUGGGGAACAAAAUCCAACUGGUGGUGUCACCCAAAACCGGCGAAAAUCCCGGCGGAGUAAAGUGAAACAGUCGCGGGUUUCAAGCUUCGAUCUCCGGUGUUCCGGUUGGUUUUCGGCGGAGAGGAUGGCAUGGGAACGACGGUCGGCUUCUAAGCUUCAGAUUGGUACCAAGCUCGGCCAAAACGGUGGCCGGAAAUGGGAGAUAUGGCCGGGUCACGUUCGCAGGUCGGGUCGGGUUUUUUCGGGUCUGUAGUUGGGUUGGUUUGGUAGCUUCUCUCUCACUCUCUGUUACACGUGCAUAUGUUUCCUCUGUUUCUAGCUUAUUCUUUUACUUAUAAAAUCCUUAACCGCCUCAUUUUCAUUUUAAAUUCACAUAUGUUAUAUAUUUAUUAACAGAUUUCAGAAAAAAUUAAUAUUUUAAAAUAUUGCAAACUGCCAAAAAGUCAAACUUUUAUUUGCUACAUAAAUAUAAUCUAUUUUAGAUAUCAAUAUCAAAUUCAUUAGGUUAAAUUCUAGGUUCAAAUCUUAACAGGCAGAAGUUUGAGUUAAAUUGGUAAAGGAAUUAUUUUCUAAUUAAUUUCUUCUUUUUGAUUUUGAAAAAAACAUUCGAGAGAAAGAGAGGAAGUUGAAACUGAAGCCGAAUCAACUGGAGCAGCAUCAAGCAUCUUUUGAAAUUCUUCUACAUGCUGCUUUUUUUCAGCUUUUGUUUUCAAAUGUUAUUGAGGGCAAAUAAAGUCUGUAUGCUUGAUAUUGAACAUAAUUUUUAACAAAUAAAAACUAACACUGACGUUGUGCCAAAGAAUUUGUUUCUAGCUUAACUGGGCCCAUUUAGGAUAGCUAAGAUAGCUGCGCUGCCAAACAGGGCUUUGAUUUCAUUGCUAUAAGUAUUUAUCAAGUAUUUUUAAUAGAUUUUUUUGGGUGGGCUGAAUGGUUAAGUAAAUUAAUUAAAUGGUUUAAAUAAGGAUAUUUUUUUAUAUUUGAAAAAAUGUACGUAUUAAAAUUUUAUAUAUUAAAUAUACAAAAUAAUAGAAUGUUUAGAAUAAUUUUUAGACUGCAAGCAGCCCUACUCAUUUUAUUAAUCAAGACUUAAGUGUCACUAAACUAAACCUCCAUAUUCCAAAUCUAUAGAAAAAAACGAGAAAAGGUACCGAAUGCAAGCGAUCUGCUGUUCAUCAAUAUCAUCUGGUGCUGUUGCUGAUCAUUUUGUUAUUCUGGUCCAUCAAAGCAUCAAAACAAUUUGUCUGUGAAAACGAUUGUGGAAACGUGUAGAUGAUAUUCCCCUUUGGAAUUGGAGAAGGGUGCCACUUUGGUAAGAGUUAUCACGUAAUAUUCACUCUUCUGGCUCUUCCAAAGCUUUUCAUCCUAGUAUCAAGACGGAAUAUCGUACCGUUACUCCGUAACUAAAACUGGAGUCAACAUUCCUAUAGUUUCUAUACACAGUGCUAUUGCCACAAGCAAUAAUAUUGCUAGAGCAGUCAAUAUAUAUGGUAGCCCUUCUACCUUUCCCUGGGGGCUCAAUAAAUUUACAGCCAUAGGCUGUGACAAUUAUGCAAUUAACCUGGACAAUGAUAAUGAUUCAGCUGUGCCUGUAUGUCUACACUUGCGAUCCUUCUCAGAAAAGUGGUUGCUUUAUUUGUUCAGAGUAAAAUUUGGAAUGUAAAAAAUUCCAUCCAAAACUUUAUCAUCGAACAAUUUGUAUGAAUUCCUGUAAGGAAUACGUUGGCAUAUCACAGAAGCCCAAUUACAAAUACAUCCGCAAAAUAUCUACCAAAGAUAUUUCAGCAAGCUUGUCAAGUAGUGGGACAGGGAAUGGCUCUCUGUUCGUGAGGCAUGAAUUGACGUCCUGCCCAUCGUCCCCCUUUGCCUCCCCACCAUACAAAUAACAAAUGAAAAUUAGGCCAAUUAAAUUAAAGGCAAGACGGGAUGGAAAUAUGGAAUCGUUGAUUAUUAUACCCAUGACCCCUCUAAUUAAUGGUUCUUUCCCUUCGAUAUUAUUGUACGUGUUUGGAAGGAAACCUCCUCUAUCUUUUUUUCCAAUUAAGACUAUUGAAUGUCCAAUUAAUGUAAAUUGUUUUUGAACGUGUAGAGGAUAACAUGACAAUGCGGAGACAUUUAAAGUUGAUUGACAGAAUGAACAAAAUUUCCUAAAUAAUGAGGCUAAUUGAAAAAUUUUUAAAUUAACAAAACUAGAGUUUUAGAUCUUUUUAUAUAAUAUGCUACGGUGGUGGAAUAAUCUUUUAAAUUAACAUUUAAAGAAAUAAUUUUUCAGGCUCAAGCAAGGCCCAAAAUGGCAUAAGCUUUGUAGGCUUGAUUUGUCUUCUCGCAAACUUUAAAACGAUAUAUUAUACACUCAAAACAGACGCAUGUAGCCUAAGUUAUACCCUUUGGAAAGUACCCUUCUCAUCCCACACACCCAUCAUACAGUAGUCCCUCUCACUUGGAAAAGAACUUGCCCUCGAGUUUGACUUGUACAAUGCCUCAUCAUCUAGAUGAUAUUUAAAUAGAUUAGCCAUAUUGAAUGUGUAAGAGAUCUUCUAGUUGUCCAGCAGUUAGAGCACAUAAACAUUAUUAUUAAUCUUCCUUGCCACACGAAACGGUCCAUACUUGAUGUGGACAUGCAUCACUUUCCCGUGUCGAUGCAUGUUCACAUCGACCUUGUACAUAGCGUUUGCAGCCUCCAAAUGAGCUCGUACCUUGACAUGAAUCUGUAGAGCUCUUUUUACCACAUUAUUCACUAUUUUACUCCCUCCAGUUGCUAUGGGCAUGAUAGCUAAAUCAUAAACAUGGGGUAGGGAACAAGUGUAGACAAUCUCAAAUAGGGUCUUACCACCAUGUUAUUGAAAGCAAACUUGACUUGAGGCAAGAUAGUUUCCCAGUUCCGUUGCUUGUCACCACAAACACAGUGCAACAUGUUAACCAGAGUGCGAUUAACCACAUCCAUUUGACCAUUUGUUUACUAAUGAAAAGCACUACUAAAUUGUAUUGAACUUAUCCUAGAGAUGAUGCCAAAACUUACUGAUAAACUUCACAUUCAUGUCAGAAGUAAUAGUCUUUAGCAUACCAUACAAACUUACCACUUCUUCAGAGAACAAAUGCGCAGCUAAAGCAGCAUCUUUAGUAUUCUUGCAAGCAAUAAAAUGCAUGAUCUUUGAAAACCUGUUGAUCACAACCUAUCAAUUUGUUCCCUUAGAAUUUCGAGGCAUAUAUAACUAAUUAGAAUUGAACAUAUACCCAUCUUGAAUAAGGAAAUCUUUUACAUUUUGAUGAUUAAUGCAUCGAUCUUAAAUAUGCGCAAAGUCUUCAUCCUUAGCGUACAACUCCUUCAAGCAUUCAAAACCAGUACCUUUAAUGACGAGAGUAGUAAAGUUGCUUGCCUACUGAGUGCAUCUGCUAUCUUAUUAUGUUGCCCAAAUUUAUACUUAACAAUAAAAGUGAACUUUUACGUAUAGCGCACCCAUCUUGCAUGCAUCUUGCUCAGAUAUUGCUGGUUGUUAAAGUACUUGAAUGCUUGAUGAUCACUAUAAAGUACGAACUCUUUAUGAAUCAAGUAAUGCUCCUAUGACUUCAACACCCUAAGGAUUUGAUAAAAUUCUUAGUCGUAAGUAGACCAUUUCUGUUAUAUUUUAUUUAACUUCUCACUCAUAUACCUAAGUAGUCGUCCCUCUUGAGAAAUAAUAGCCCAAUACUAUUACCAUAAGCAUCACAUUCAACCUCAAACAACUUCAUGAAGUUUAGUAAGGCUAACACAGGAGUAGUAAAAAAAUUCUCUUUUAAUAAAACAAAACUGCACUCUGUAAUAAGUGGGGCUAUGUUACUAAAACUAUAAAUAAAUCUCUUAUAAAACAUCGUCAACCCAUGAAAACUCCUAACUUCACCCACUAUCUUCGGCAUAGGCCAUUCAUUAAUGCCUUGUAUCCUCGACUCAAUAACUCGAAUCCUAUCUACAUCAGUUAUAAAACUAAAAAUUCCACAUUACUCUACAGAAAGCUACACUUCUUUAGAUUAAUAUAAAGUUUAUUUUUUUUUUUGCAACAUCUUUAUAAUCAUUCUCAAAUGUUCUAGGUGUGCCACUGCAUUAACAGAAUAAACUAAGAUAUUGUCAAAAUUCACCACAAUAAAUUUGCAGGAAAAAGACUUUAGAACUUGAUUCAUUAAGUGCAUAAAAGUGCUUAACACAUUAGACAACCGGAAUGGCAUAAAAUACCACUCAUACAGCCCUUUUUUUAAUUUUAAAUGUUGUCUUCCACUCACCAUCAGGCCUAAUUAUGAUAUUAUGAUAUCCAUUACACAAAUCUAUCUUUGAGAAAACCCGAGCAUCAUUUAGUUGAUCUAAUAACUCUUAAAACGUGGAAUAAGAAAUCGAUUCUUCACCAUAAUAUGGUUAAUUAGCAUACUAUCUGUAUAUAUAUGCCAACUCUCAUCCUUUUUCGAUACCAACAAAGCUAGUAUAGUACAUUAACUCAUGCUCUCAUGAAUGAAACCUUUCCCUAACAAUUCAUGAACCUACCCUUGUAAGAUCACAUGCUCGUGAGGGCUCAUACGAUAAUGAGGCAAGUUAGGUAAACUCGCACCAUAUCUCAUAAAGGUGGCAGCCCAUCCAACAACUUUAAUGGUCUAAUAUCAACAAACUCAAUUAAUAAUGGCUAUACUUUUUUCAAGAACAAUCUUCACCUUUAAUUCUUCUUUUUUCUCUAGCUUCUAGCAAUCAUCGCAAUCAUCCUCUUGAUGAUUUUUAACAACCUUAGUAUUCUUCUUGUUGUUCGUUAAAGGCAUCAACGAACCUUCUUGUUAUUUCACUAAAACUCAUACACAUUAUCCUCUCUUCUAUACUGUAUCAACAUCAAAUUACUAAAGUCUACCAAAUAAUAGAUGGCACACAUCCAUAUUCUUUACAUCGCUCAACAUAUCACUCUUAUAAAUCUUCCCAAUGGAGAAAAAAACACGACGGUCCUUUAUUACUUGCAUUUUUGUCUCUCUAUUUAUCAAUCAUAUUCUGUUAGAUACUGGAUUUUUUUGGUUGAAAGUCCUAUCAUGUCAAAUAGUGCCUUUGAAAAUAUGUUCUCGCUAUUGCCACUAUUAAUUAUAAUGUUGUACACCUUAUCGUUGAUAGUGCCAUAUGUUUUAAAAAUCUUAUUGCGCUGAUUAUCCUCUUUAAAUUUCAAUGAUAAUAAAAUCUUCUAUAUAAUACAAUUUAGUUUCUCCUUCAUUUGCUUUCAACUCUAAAGCUUCUUUGGCAUCCCCAUUCUCAACGUCGUUCAGCUCUGUCUUGCUGACUUUACCCUCUACUAAAUUCAAAAAUUUAAAAUGAUAGUUACUCGAUCGAUGGCCUAGCUCCCUACACUUCAAACAUUUGUCCAGUAUAGGCUUCACUAUAAGUGAUUGUAUCUACUAUCUCAUCUUAUAUCUCUUGUUUUAAUCUGCCAAUAUAUUUUGUAACUAUUCAAAAUUCUGGCUCAUCCAUAUUAUUUUGAGUGUAUAGACAAUAAAAUUCGUUUAUAUAUUCAUUGACACUAUGAUUUCCUUACCUGCAGUUCUGAUAUUUAAAACUGCUGCCAGUAUUCUACUGGCAGGAAAUACUCUCUCAUCAUCCUCUGCACUCCAGGCCACUAUUUGAUAAAUUUUUUUGCAACUUUUCUUUAAUUAUGUAUGUAUUGCCAUUAUGCAGAAGCUGCACAAGCUUAAUUCACUUCUCUUGAGGAAUCUCCAUAUACUCGAGAAAAUUAUCCACUUGUGAUAUCCAGUCUAAAAAUUUUUCAACAUGCAUCCCACCAAAAAAAUUCAGAAUACUAACAUUAAUCUUGUAAUCUAAACUCUUUUUGGGCCCCUAUCAUCCUCCACAUAUUUUUCUUCUUCUAAAUCGUUUCUUAGCUCCUUACGCACGUGUACUGGUAUUCAUCACGUAGGACCUAAUUUUUGAGGUACUACUUCAUGAUUGAUGCCUUGAGGUUUUAUUUCAUGACCGACCCCUUGAGGUAUCUCCAUGUAGUUGUAAUCUUCAGGUUGUACACCACGAUUGACUCUUUGAAGUUCUUCCUCGUGAUUAACUUUUUGUUGUUGACCUCUCUUUCUGUUUUUGUUCAAGGAAAACUUAAGACUCAUAAUUGUCUUGCUCUAUCACCACUAAUCCCGAGUUAUAAGCUUCCUUAAUUGCUUCCAAGGUUGCUUCUCUAGCCGCCCGUCUCACAGCCUCCACAGUCUUUGGCUACAUCCCUUUGUUAACAUGUAUGUGUCUAUAAUAAUGAUUUUGAUGAUAACAAACAAGAUUAAGAAUGAUUAAGUUUUUAAAAGCUCAAGUUAUUUUUCAUACAUUUUAAAUAAAUCAUUAUUUUCAUAUAAUAAAGGUUUUUUUUUUUCAAAGAAAACGUGAUUUCAUGAAAUUGGUUGUUUUUCAAGCUCAUGGUCUAAUUGAAAAAAAUUUGAGAACUUUGAAAUCAACAAGUAUUGCUUAAAAUUCUAAAAAUAGACUUGUUUGAAAAGUAUCAUAAAGUUUUGGGCCAUAGUACAAGUAUAUAAAAUUUUGGGGCAAAAAUAUAAUUUUAGAAAAUAGUUUCAUUGUAGCAGUCGCUGUAGCAAAUAGCUAGCUGUUUGGAAGAUAACAGCUGACUUACAUUGAACAUAAUUGAAGAUUAGUCUUUGGACACUAACGGCAAACCGACUUCUUGAAAAUGGUAAAUCGACAUCUUCUUUGCAAGUUACUGGACGAUAAUGGCGAUCCGACAUUUCAAUAACGGUGAUCUGACAAUUUGAAAUUCUGUCUAAUGGUAACUUGCUCAAGUCAAAACGGUAAUCCAACUUCUAUUUAACGUCGAUCCAACUUCGAGUAAAUUAUCUCUAACGACUAUUCUUUAGCUCAAACUAUAAAAAGGCUCAUUUAAACACAAAUAAUAGUGAUUCCAACUACUAUCAAUGAGCCAUGUAGAUGCUGUGGUUCAAAACGAAAAUAGAAGAGUGUGGAGAUGUACCAGUAUUUAUGGCCAUCCAAAAUUGACCUAAAAGCACCAUACUUGAACUCUCUUGAAAAGGUUAGCAGCUCUCUCUUUUCACCCCUGGUGUUGCUUUGGAGACUUCAAUGAGAUUUUGUAUUUGCAUGAGAAAAAAAGAGGGAAUGAUAGAAACCGAAAUGUGAUAGCUGAUUUUAGAGAAGCUGUCCAAGCUUAGAAUUUGGUUGAUAUUGGGUAUCACGAGUAUCCUUAUACAUGGUCGAAUAGGAGAUUUGGCCCUCACCACAUAGAAGAGAGGCUAGAUAGAUUCCUGUGCAACAAGGAUUGGUGUGAUAAUUUUCAAGCAUCAACAACAAUUAAUCUGGUGAAUUGGGUUUCAGAGCACUAACCAGUUGUUUUUUAUUGUAAUGAGAGAGGUAGAAACAAAAGCUAGAGGAAACAACAUCCCACUCGAGAGCAUUACGAAGACACGUGGAGUCCUUAUAAAGACUGUAAGAGAAUAGUUAGUGAAGAAUGGGCUCACUAUGGAGAGAAAUCUUGGGAGAAUCUGGCGCAACAAUUCCAAAGGGUAGCUAAAAUUCUUUAGCUCAGCUCAAGUUGUGGAGUAAAGAUGAGUUUGAAGGCAAGCAAAAAACACAAGAAAAGCUUAUCAAACAGCUGGAGAACCUCAGACAGAGCAACGAUCAAAUGAGGGAAGGGCUGAAAUUAGAAGAAUUGAGAAUCAAAUUAAUAACAUGCUGAUUGAUAAAGAAGUCUAUUGGAAGUAAAGAUAAAGGGCUGAUUGGCUUAGAUAGGGAGAUAAAAACACCAAGUUCUUCUACUCCAAAGCUUCAGAUCGGGGGGUAGAAAACAAUCAAGGCCAAUGGACAGCGAAGCAGGAUGAAGUCGAGUGGGAGUUCUGCAAUUAGUUCCAAAGCUUAUUGACAUCAUCCAGCCCAACCUACAACCAAAUUUAAGCUGCCUUAGAGGAACUUCCAGCAAAGGUCACCCCAGAGAUAAAUGCCUAUCUGGAAGAGCCUUUCAGUCUUGAGGAGAUUGUCAAAUCUCUAUCUCAGAUGCCGCCCACAAAAGCUCCAAGCCCUGAUGGACUUCCUGCUGCUUUUUUCCAAAAGCACUGGAAAUCAGUUCAUAAAGGAGUGGAAGAGACUUGUUUAUACAUCCUUAAUGAGCAAGGUAACCUCGCUCCUCUAAAUCAUACUUUCAUUGCUCUUAUUCCUAAGACAAAUAAGCCAAGGAAAGUCUCUGAGUUUAGGCUAAUCAGUCUCUGCAAUGUAGUGUACAGAAUAGUUGCCAAAGUUAUUGCAAAUAGACUGAAACCAAUACUCUCCCAAAUUAUCUUCCCCACCCAGAAUGCCUUUAUUCCAAAUCGGAUAAUUACGGACAAUGUGAUAAUUGGCUAUGAAUGCAUGCAUAAGAUCAGAAGCAGUAGAGGGAAAAGGAAGGGUUUGGUAGCUCUAAAGUUAGAUAUGAGUAAGGCAUACGAUAGGAUUGAGUGGCCUUUUCUGAAGCUCACAAUGGCUAAGCUCGGCUUCUCUCAAAAGUGGGCAAAGUUGAUAAUGAACUACAUACAACAACCACCUUCUCAGUCUUAAUCAAUGGUAGUCCCAAAGGUUUUAUCCAACCUGAGAGAGGUCUGAGAUAGGGCUGUCCCCUUUCCUAUUAUUUAUUUAUUUUGUGUGCUGAGGUUUUCUCAAAUUUAUUGCUCCAAGCAGAGAAAAAUUAGCUGAUCAGGGGCUUGAGGUUUGCCAAAGAAGUCACAAUUUCUCACAUACUGUUUGCAUAUGAUAGCCUUAUCUUCUCAAGGGCUACAAAAUCCGAUUGCAGGCACCUGAAGAGAAUAUUUGACUGUUAUGCUAAAGCCUCUGGGCAGAUCUUUAAUUUUGAAAAGUCAUCUAUGGUGUUUAGUGGCAAAGUGCCGAACAACCAGAUUACAGCAAUCAAAGAUAUCCUCAACUUAAAGGUAGUCUUCAGCCAUGAAAAAUAUCUCGGCCUCCUAUCCAUGAUAGGCAGAAAGAAAACCAAUUUUUUCAAGGACAUCAAGCUGAAAAUCCUGAGCAAAAUUUCAAGCUGGUAUCACAAGAUGUUCUCAAGUGGUGGGAAUGAAACUCUUAUUAAAGCGGUAGCCCAAGCAGUCCCAGCCUAUGCCAUGAGCACAUUCAAGCUUCCAAAGAGCUUAUGUGAAGACAUACAAAGAGCCAUUGCAAAGUUCUGGUGGGGAUCUAAGGAGGAAAAACAAGGCAUCCAUUGGGCAAAAUGGAGCAGACUCAGCCGUGCAAAGAGUAGAGGGGGUAUGGGAUUUAGAGAUCUCUUCAGCUUUAAUCAGGCUUUGGUGGCCAAACAAGGCUAAAGGUUGAUGCAGUAUCCUAACUCUCUGGUUUCCAAAGUGCUGCAGGCACGAUAUUACAAAAACUCCACCUUCUUAAAUGCAAGCAUAUGAUCCAACCCAUCUUAUAUAUGGAGGAGUAUCAUAUGGGGGCGGCAAAUCAUCAAGGAAUGAGCUAGAUGGAGAAUAGGUAAUGGCAAAAAUAUUCGGAUUUACAAAGAUUGCUGGAUUCCAAGACCAACCUCUUUCAAGCCGAUAUCUCCACCAAGCUUGUCUACAGAUGCUAUCGUGGCUGACUUGAUAAACGCAGAAAACCAAUGGGAUGUGGAAACAUUAAACCAGCACUUCAUGCCAUCAGAUGCCGAUUUGAUCUUGAAGAUCCAUCUGCCACAUAGGCAAUCUGAGGAUGAAUUAAUGUGGCAUUUUGAUAAGAAAUGAGAUUAUUCAGUGAAAAACGGCUACCAAAUAGCUUUAAAAAUAAAUCUUCCAGAAGAGCCUGGCUGCUCAGGAAGCAAUUCAAACCAAUGGAAAGGAAUAUGGUCUCUUGCUUUGCCCGAAAAGAUUAAAAUUUUCUUAUGGAGAGCUUCAAAUAACCUGCUGCCAACAGCUGAGAAUUUGUGGAGGAGAAAAAUCAUUCAAGAUCCAAUUUUUCAAAGGUGUAGAAGGUCCAUUGAAUCAAUAAGUCAUGCGCUCCUAAUCUGUAAACCAGCAAAGAAAAUCUGGAACCAUGCCCUUUUUCCAGUGAACAAACAUGAAUUUUAUUCCCAGGACAUCUUCACUAUCAUCCAGGACAUGAGCAUCAGAUUUAGGAAGGCUGAUAUAGAGCUAAUGGCAGCAUACUUGUGGGUUUCAUGGUAUGCAAGAAACAAGUUCUUGUUCGAAGGGAAGAACCUGAAGCCAAGCAUCUUAACAGCUAAGGCAUAAUCAACAGUGGAAGCAUACCAGAGAGUAAGGAAGAUAAGGCUUUCUCAUAUUAGCAAUACCAUCAACAAGAAGCAGGAAAGAUAGAUCCCCCUCCAGACAACUCUUUCAAAGUCAACGUUGACGCAGCCAUAAACAGCAAGAACCAAACAGUGGGCUUAGGUGCAGUUAUCAGGGAUUCAAAAGGCAUUGUGAUAGCAGCAGGCAUCCAGCAGACCAGGCUAAAAGGAGAAGUCAGCUUUGCCGAAGCAGAGGUUAUGAGGUGGGGUUUGCAGAUUGCAAAGGAAGCAGCCUUAUCGAAUCUAAUAGUUGAGACAGAUUGUCAAGAGGUGGCUGAGUUGGUUAACAACACAAAGGGCAGCAAAACUGAAAUUUUCUGGAUUGUGUCUGAUAUCCAAGACCAGAGAAAGUAUUUCCAGAAGACUACAGUGCAAUAUGUUCCUAGAUAUUGUAAUGCUUAUGCCCAUUCCUUAGCAAAAUUUGCGUUAGGAAGAAAAACAUCUGUGAUCUAGUUUUAUCCAUUACCAGCAGAGAUAGUGAAUGUAUUUGACAGUGUUGUUUGAAGUAAUGAAAGUCUUUACUUUCUUUUAAAAAAAAAACUACUAUCAUUGAGCAAACUAUUGAGCAUACAACUUUCAUUGAGUUUUAAAUUCUUAUAUUCAUCUCAUUUACUAACAUUUUAAGAUUUCAUUUGUAAUCGAACACAAUGUGUGAGAGGGAUUUAUUUGUAAUCCCUUUUGUAAAAUUAAGUUGAGAGGUUAUAAGUAUUGGGAUACACUUGGGUUAAGAGAUUGGGGAUAAUCUCUUGUUGUAAAGGUCUAUUGGUAUCUUGGAAGUCAAUUUUAAAAAGUUAUUGAAGCCUUGGAGGCUUACUUAGUGAAAUCUUCAAGUCCGAUGAGCUUAGAGGCGUGGACAUAGGCACGGUUGGCCGAACCAAGUAAAAAUCACGUGUUUGCUCUCUCUUACCCUAUUUCCUUAUUUUUUAUUACACAUUAAUUUGUUUAUUUCAAAUUUGAUUGCCUUGUUUAAAUUGCAUUAAUUUCUUAGUUGCUUAAAUCUUUUAGAAACUCAAUUCACCAUCCCUUUUGGGUUGUCUAGUUAGUAUUUCACCAUUGAUUAUCGUCUUCCGGGCAAUUGCUCCUAUGAUCGUGUGGUUGCACCAUAAUGAUAAGCGAACUUGCUUUGAUACUAAUUAACGAUGCGGAAAUGUUUAAAUUUGAUUGAUAGAAGAAACAAAAGUUUCUAAAUGAUAAAAUUUAAAUGUCUGAAAUUAAUAAAAUUAGGGUUUUGGGCCCCUUUAUAUAAUAAUCCAAAAAUUUUGAAUUUACCAAAUAGGUAAAUCUAAAAAAUUAUUUUAUAAUAAAAUUCUCCUAAUCUGAAUAAAAAAAUCUAAAACAAAUGGUGCCCAAAUCUAAGAUCUUUAAAAAAGAUAAAAAUAAUAAAAGAAAUAGAAAAAAAAUAAGAAAAUAUCUUAAAACUGAAAAAACGACAAGGAAAGAAAUGGAUUUUUAGGCUCGAACACUGCCUAUGCAACAAUUCUAGUUUUGAUUCGUCUCGUCACAAGCUUCAAAAUAAUAUAUAAUAGGCCUAAUAUCUCAUUCGUCCUAUGCAUCCAUCCUACAUCAUAACAGCUUGAAGACUUGGGAGGGCCAACUUAAUUCAAAGUCAAGACUAGCUUAUUACCUUGCGGGAUUUUUAAUUGUGAGGGGAAAAAACUGUUGAAAGAUGUUGGGUUUAAAGUUUAUAAAACUUUAAUUAUUUCAUAAAAUUGUUUUAUUUUUUAUUCGUCAUCACAUUGGGAUUAUCCCCAAUGGCCAAUUUUAUUUUCAUUUUUUUAUAGGUCAAUAAAUGCUACUAGAAAUUGAUUAUUACCUCUCUUUUUCUCAUUUAUUGAUUACUAUGAAGAAUUAGAUAAAACUCAUAAAUGACCUAAAAUAUAUAAUGAAUAUUUAGAUUUUGUUUCAUAUCCAUACGAUAUCUGGGAGUAUGACAUAGUCUCCAAAAAUAGCCAAACAUUUCACAUCUAUCACAAGUGCUUUCUUGAAUAUUAUCUUGUGGCAUGUGUUUCAUCCUCAGUUUUUUUCCUUUUCUAUGGUUCUUAUAACCACCGUGAGGUCGACAAUAAUUUUUUUUUUCUUGACCUCAAUCUUAAUAAUAGCCAUGACCACAACCAUGACUACAUCUACGGGCAUAGUUAUGCCCACGACCAUGCCCAUUUUCAUCAUGAUCACAUAGACAACAUUUGCUCCAAGAACUUGUUUUGUAUCAAUAGGAUGGGCUUAAUAAUUGAAUAUUUUUUUCUACCAAAAGAAGGCAUGCAAUCAAAUCAGAAUAUUUUGUAUACCGACAAGCUCUAUAUUGUUGUUAUAGAACUGUAUUGGAAGGAUGAAAUUUUAUAAUUUUUUUUCAACAUAUCCCCAUCAGUAAUAUUUUCCCCACACAGUUUUAAUUAUUAAGUAAUUUUGUACAAUGUAGAAUUAUAUGUGUUGGAGAAAAAUCAGUUUUUUAAAUUUUUAUAAAACAUUUUAAGAUCGCUCUCAUACAAUAUAUAAGAAUUUGUAAUCUAGAAAUCGUACCUUGAAAAUCCGAUUUGGCUUUUUCCACUGAAUUGAUUUAGGCUCCCAGAUCACGGUCCGUCACCACCACUCCUGUUAGAUCACGAUCCGUCACCACCACGCUUGUUAGAUCACGAACUGUUACAAAUGAUCUUCUAGGUUAUGAUUCAGGUUUGAUUUGCACUUGACAUGUGGGUGCCUUUAUCACUACCAAAGCAACUAGCACGAGAAGAUUUUUCUCUCAACAACAGAGAGAAAAAUCUUUUUCUCUGAUCUGUAUAAAGUAGAUGCUCCCCUUUUCUUUAGAGAAAAUAAACCUUUUUAUAUCUCCCUUUAGUGAAAACCCUAGACUCCAAAUAAUGAAAAUCAAAACUCACGUUACUUGCUUUUUCUAUAGGGGAUCGACCUUGUAAAAUAACAUAAGGCCCUUUACACACAAGCUAAUAAAACAGAGUCUCCCACUAAAUGAUAUAUUUAGGUUUUUGACCCAAAUAACUAGUUAUCUUUUUUAUUAAUCCAGUAGUGGUGCGGUCAAUUAAAUGAGCUAACCAGGGGAUCAUUUGGGAACAUACAAUAGUGGCUAUAACAAUUAAGCAUGUAAUUAAAAUAGCCUAAUUUUUUAAUUCCAAAUCUACUCCACUAAAAGAUUGGAAUUGACCUCCAUAAUUGUAUGCUUGAAUAAUAAUUCGUCCCAAGCCACAUUGAUUUCUUUACUGCACAAUCCUUUGUACCACAUCAUUAAUUAAAUCGAUAUCUCAACUGUCCAAUCAAUUUAAUUACAUCUUGUUCCUUGAUACUUACUGGUUUUCUCUAAUGAUCAUUUUCAACAUACUAAAUAUGUUGACAUACUCUGGCUAGAGAAUUCUAUGAUCAAGUACCGAAAACCCAUCAAGAGAUGUGUUGUACAAAUUAUUGUUAAUUCAUAACUCCAAUCCUCAUAAUUGCUCCCACCAAGAUACCGGGUAAUCUUGACCAUAAGUAUUUGUCGUGCCCAUUGGUAACUCAAAUGGAAUAACAAUUACAAUCAUGAAAUCAUAAUUAACUUAAGAUUAAGAUUACAGUAAAAUCAAUGCCUAUGAGAUUUAAUAAGUAUGACAGUUAUUACAAAGUUAAUUAAAUCUCAUAUGUAAUCAUGUUCAAUGUAGUCGUACUACAUCAAUAAAUUCAUACAUGAUUAAGACAAAUCAUUCAAUGAAUUCAUUACAGUCUAUACCUAAAUGAAGUGCCCAACUUUAUUUAUCAACUGCGAACUAAAUUUAUUUAAUCAUAAGAUAACUUGUAUUUAUGUCUUCUGUGAAUCCACAUAGUGAUCACAUAAAUACAUAUAAUAUGAUUAAAUAGAUUUUAAUCAAAAUGUUAAUUCAAUUAAGAUAUUUGAAUAAAAUACCUCAUUUAUUUUAUUAAUUAGAAAAAUUAUUUAUUACAAUUAAAUAAACACAUAUGUUUUUAAAGAGCACAUUUUCCCAACAAUCUCCCAAUAGCUCUCAAAGCAUAUUUGGCAUCUCACGCAUGCCCAUGGAUUCUAAGUGCAAGUUAAAAGGUUUCCCAGGUAUGGCCUUAGUAAAAGGAUUUGCCAAGUUUUGCUCUGACACAAUCUGAGUAACCUCCACAUCACCUCUCUGCACUAUAUCCCUUAUAAGAUGAUACUUCCUCUCAAUAUGUUUUUGUUUCUUGUGGCUCCUUGGUUCCUUAGAUUGAGCUAUUGUACCACUAUUAUCGCAAAGUAGUUUAAGGGGUGCAGUUACAGCAGGUACCACCUCAAGAUCUUGCAGGAACUUGUGGAGCCAUACAACUUCUUUUGCAGCUUCAAAUGCAGCCAUAUAUUCAGCUUCAGUUGUGGGGUCUGCGAUACAAGAUUGUUUCACACUCCUCCAACUAAUAGCUCCACUUCCCAAUGUAAACACAUAGCCGGAAGUUGAUUUUCUGGAAUCCUUAUCUGACAUAAAGUCAGAAUCAGUAUAACCCACUGGAAUGAGUUCAUCACCAGAAUACACAAGCAUAUAAUUUUUAAUUCUUUUCAGAUACUUCAUUAUAUGCUUGACCGCAGACCAGUGUUUAGGUCCAGGAUUAGAUUGAUAUAUACUAACCAUCCUUACUGCAAAACAGAUGUCUGGCCUAGUGCAAAGCAUGGCAUACAUGAGACUUCCCACAGCUUCUGCAUAGGGAGCUUGUCUCAUUUUCUCUAUCUCUUCAGAUGUUUUAGGUGAUUGAUCCUUAGAGAAUGUAAUUCCAUGUCUGAAUGGUAAUAAACCAGUCUUGGAAUUUUCCAUGCUAAAUCUAGCUAAUAUCUUAUCGAUAUAGACCGCUUGAGACAAGGCUAAAGUUUUAUUCUUCCGGUCUCGUAGUAACUUGAUACCAAGAAUAUAACUUGCCUCUCCUAGGUCUUUCAUAUCAAAUUGUUUUGCUAACCAACUCUUUGUUGUAGUCAAUACUCCUAUAUCAUUUCCAAUUAGGAGAAUAUCGUCUACAUAAAGAAUUAGGAAGACUACAUAUUUUUCUUGAAUUUUCUUGUACACACAUGGUUCAUCAAUGUUCUGAAUGAAUCCAAACGAUUUAAUCGCUUGAUCAAAUAUGAUGUUCCAUAACCGGGAUGCUUGCUUCAAUCUAUAAAUGGAUCUCUGCAACUUACAUACCAUGUGUUCUUGGCAUUUUUGUAUAAAUCCAUAUGGUUGCUGCAUAUAGAUGUUUUUUUCAAGAUGCCCGUUAAGAAAGGCAGUCUUGACAUCCAUUUGCCAAAUUUCAUAAUCUAGCACUGCAGCAAUGGAGAGCAGAAUCCUGAUGGAUUUAAGCAUAGCAACCGGAGAAAAAGUUUCCUCAUAAUCGAUUCCCUCUUUCUGAGUAAACCUUUUGGCUACCAAUCUUACUUUAAAUGUUUCCACCCUUCCGUCUACUUCUCUUUUUCUCUUGUAGAUCCACUUGCACCCUAUAGGUUUUACCCCAUUUGGUGGCUCAACAAGUUCCCAGACUUUAUUGGAAUACAUAGAUUCCAUUUCUUGAUUCAUGGCCUUUUUCCAAAAUUCAACAUCUCUAUCUAUUAGAGCUUCAUUGUAACUAGUGAGAUCUUGUACAUGUUCAUAUGAGAUAGCCGUAUAGGUUUCUCCCAAAAGUAUGUAUCUCGCAGGUAACCUAGUUACCCUCGCACUACGAUGAGGUUCUAAAAGUGAUGGUUGUUCAGGGAUAAUCCUGUAUUGAUCAUCUGGUUGUUGAUGUUCUUCAUGUUUUGUAACAGGCGUUGAAAGCUGAGCAUCAACUUGAUCACCUGACAGUUCUUCAAGUAUUACCUUACUCUUAGGUUUAAAGUUAUUCAUAUAGUCUUCCUCGAGGGAAGUGAAAUGUGUGCUCACGAUCACUUUCCUAUCUUGAGGACUAUAAAAUAAACCUCCCCUUGUUCUUUUGGGAUACCCCACAAACAUACAAACCUUAGAACGUGAAUCCAUUUUGUCUGCCUUUGGUUUCAGUACAUGUGCUGGUGAUCCCCAAAUACGAACAUGUCGUAAACUUGGUUUGCGACCUGACCAUAAUUCUAUUAGGGUUUUAGGCACUAACUUAGAUGGAGCUAAGUUCAAGAGGUAAACUGCAGUUUCUAGUGCUAGUCCCCAAAAAGAGAUUGGUAAUAACGAAUAACUAAGCAUAGAUCUCACCAUAUCCAAAAGAGUUCUAUUUCUUCUUUCAGCUACCCCAUUUUGUUGUGGUGUUCUCGGGGCAGUCAACUGAGAUAUAAUCUCAUUUUCAACCAGAUACUCUUUGAAAUCUCCUGAGAGAAAUUCACCACCUCGAUCAGAUCGAAGUUUCUUUAUGUUCUUAUCUAAUUGCUUUUCUGUCUCAGCCUUAUACUCUUUGAAUUUCUCAAGAGCGUCAGACUUGUGAUGCAUCAGAUAAACAUAAUCGUAUCUCGAGUAAUUAUCAGUGAAAGUGAUGAAAUACUCAUAACCUCCUCGAGCUUGUACAUUGAUUGGUCCAUAUACAUCUGUAUGAACUAAUUCAAGUGGUACUGUUGCACGUACUCCUUUGGCCGAGAAUGACCUUUUGGUCAUUUUCCCUUCUAAAUAGGAUUCACAGAGUGGAAAUGAUUCAUUUUCUAAUGGACCCAAAAUCCCAUCUUUGAUCAUUCUCUGUAUCCUAUUUUGGUUUAUAUGACCCAAACGUAAAUGCCAGAGGUAACAUUGGUUGGAAGAAAUAUUUAUUUUCUUAGAUAAAUGUGUAUGCUCAUCAUUAUUUAUCAAUGUGUCGUGCAUAGAAUGGAUCAUUGGACUUAAAUGAUAUAAAUUAUCUUCCAAUGUACCAGAACAAAUAAGUCUUUUAUUAUAAAAAAUAGAAACAGAGGAUCCAAAAUUUACAGUGUCCCAUUGCUUUGACAAACAAGCUACUGAAAUUAAAUUCCUCUUUAUGUCUGGAACAUAAAGACAAUUAUUCAAAAUUAAAGUCUCAUUAUUAAAAGAUAAUAAAACAGAUCGGUCUUCACUGCUGACACGAACUAUCCUGUCCCUAACUGCAGCUUGACGCUUCCUUCACUUAUUUUCCUGGUUUCCUGAAACCAAUAAAGUGAAUUACAAAUAUGAUUAGUUGCUCCUGAAUCCAACACCCAAGUGUCAAUAGGAUUCUGAACUAAACAUGCCUCAAUUACAAAAAGAUUUCCCAUACCUGAUUUCACAAUCUUAGGGCAAUCCUUUUUCCAGUGACCUUUCUGUCCACACUUGAAGCAUUUGCCUUUUGGCUUGCCAUCUUGCUUGGUAGACGACCUCUUUUUCCCAGCUUUCUUCUUACCUUUGCCUUUCGACUCAGGUGUAGAAGAAGAAGCUUUUCAACAAUAUUUAUGCUUUCCAGAGAUUUCUCAGCACGAUAGAUCUCUUCAGCAGAAUGGAGUUCGUUCAUUAAUUCAGUUAAGGUCAUGUUUCUUUUGUUCAUGUUAUAAUUGACCUUAAACUCCUUGAAUGUUUCUAGCAGAGAUUCUAGCACCAUGUCUAUCUUUGAGUUAUCAUCGAUUUGUGCUCCCUGAAUCUCAGCCUCAUUCAAAUAGUCCAUCAUUUUGAGGACAUGAUCACGAACUCUUGUGCCCUUCCCCAUUUUACUGUGCAUAAUUUCUUUCAGCGUUGCUUGUCUCGCGGAGCGAGUACUCUGCCCGAACAUCUGUUGGAGACUAUCCAUUAUUUCAGUGGCAGUCUCCAAGUUCUGAUGUUUGAUCUGCAGAAUAUUAGAAAUUGAGGCUAAAAUCUAGCAUUUUGCCAUUUCAUUAGCCUUUUUCCAUUUCUCAUAAAGCCUCCACUGAUUUCUAUGAGCAUCAUCCGUUGGAACUGGAGGGCAUGGCUGGGUUAAGACAUAUUUAUAAUUUUCAGCAGUCAGGACAAUGAAUAGAUUUCUUUUCCAAUCUAUAUAGUUCUCUCCAGUGAAUUUGUUUUGACUUAGAAUAAUAGUAAGUGGGCUCAAGGAAGACAUUUUCUGAAAAAUAAAACAUCUAUGCAUAAAUAAUUUCAAAUUAUAUUCACAAUAAAUGACAAAAAUACAUAAAACCAUAAAUGAAUUUUAAUUUAUUGUAACAAUAAUCUAGUUCCGCUUUGACAAGCUAUCCGUUGGGGAAGUCAUGUCUAUACUUACUAGACCCAAUUACCUAUUGAAUUAUUUACUUUCAUGUAGAGACAUGAUAAAUAAUUAUCGUUAUACUUUUUGGGCCUAAAUUUGUUAACAUAGUUUCGUUGGGAAUGUUAAUAACAAAUUUUAGUUGAGUGUAUAACCAUUGUUUCAAUCUACAUAUUUUUCAUAUCAAUAGUCACCAUUGGGGUGAACAAUCGAUUGAAAAAUAUUUCAAUUUUAUCUUUGAAGAAGUUCAUCAAAUAAAAUAUCUAAUAUAUAUACCCUCCGAAGGGAGCAUCACCGUAUCAUGAAGUCGAGGUAUAUAUAUAAUUUUAUUAUUGAACUAACAAUGGAGCCCGUGGGAAAAUUAUCUUGAAUUUUCCCUCUCCCACUCAAUAUUUUAAAAUUGGUUUUUCCUUUUAAAACAUACAUAUUGUUAAUUGCAUGCUUCCUAUAAUAUUAUCUAGAUGAUAUCCAAUAUUAUUAAGCAUACGCAAAUUUCAAACAAUAUAAUGAAAUUCAUAAUUAAUGAAUGACAUGUAUCAUUAUGCAUAGAGUGACACUACCUAUUCUAUAUGACAUGUUAUCAUGGCAUGUUAUCAUCCAAAACAUAACAUAUAGAAAAAUAAUUAAAUAAUCUUAAUUCAUGACUUUCCUAAAAUGAAAAAAUACAUUAACCCUAGGCCUAAUCUUCAUUGGGCUUCUUGUCAAUGUCCAUAUUUCAUAAGCUUGUCUUUGUUGAUGGACUAGGGGAAAUUGGGCUUUUAAAUUUAUUAUUGGUCCAACUUUAAUUUUGAAAGGAAAUAAAUAAAUAAUUAAAUUUUUUUUAUUAAAAUAAAACUUUUGGACCAAAAAUAAAUUUAAUGUGUUCAAUUUUAUCUAUACAUUUUAAUCCAUUAAGUCCAAUUGAAAUUGGGCCUAAAACUAGGAUUCAUUAAGCCCAAAACUGUUUUUAGACUUAACUGCAAAUAUUUAAACGUGUCUGCCCAAAAAGAAAAAACCAUGGAGCCAUAGGGAUCUCAAUGAUAAAAACCAUUGAAACCCUAAAUCUAUUUUUUUCUCUCCCCAGCCGCCAUCACCACAAAGCCAGUCACUGUUCAUCCAAGUCCGACGCCGAUUUAACCAUUGCCGCCAUGCCGGAAAGCCACCAAAUGACGGAACCCGCGAGCUGCACGCCACUAUCCCUCAAGCACGCUGCUGGCAGCGUUGCUUGCAGUUGCAGCACGUGCAGCGCGCGUUGCUGGCCAUUGUUGGCCAAACGCGCUGCUGGCCAAUGCUGGCCACGCGCGCUGCUUUGUUGUGUGCAGCGCAGCGCGCGCCGCUGGCCAUUACUUGUCGAACGUGCUGCUUUACUGCGUGCAGCGCAGCGCGCGCCGCUGGCCAUUGCUGGCCGUGCGCGCUGCUGCAGCGUGCCCUAGUUUGUUGCCGCUGUCAAAAUAUCUGGCCUUCAUUUCCUCUGAUCUGACAUCCGUGAUUGAUUUACAAAUUUCCUAGACCAAUUUUGGCUUACAAAAAUUCUAUAACAGUAAAAUAAAUCAAGAGGGAAACAUGGUGAUAAUAAACCACCCCUCUUGUUACAGAUCUAAAGAAAAAAUACAGCAGAGAAUCUAACCAUGAAUUAAGACAAACCAUAACAUGCUUUAUUCAUAUAUUAAACAAAUAAUAUAUAUCUGAAUAAAUUGUGUCACUUUAAUACAUAAAUUUCAAGAUUAAUUUCAUACGAAAUUCUUAUAUAUUACUAUGAGAUGGCUCUGAUACCAAUUGUUGGAGAAAAAUCAAUUUUUUAAAUUUUUAUAAAACUUUUAAGAUCGCUCUCAUACAAUAUAUAAGAAUUUGUAAUCUAGAAAUCGUACCUUGAAAAUCCGAUUUGGCUUUUACCGCUGAAGUGAUUUAGGCUCGCAGAUCACGAUCCGUCACCACCACUCCUGUUAGAUCAUGAUCCGUCACCACCACACUUGUUAGAUCACGAACUGUCACCAAUGAUCUUCCAGGUUAUGACUCAGGUUUGAUCUGCACUUGACGUGUGGGCGUCUUUAUCACUACCAAAGCAACUAGCACGAGAAAAUUUUUCUCUCAACAACAGAGAGAAAAAUCUUUUUCUCUGAUCUGUUUAAAGUAGCUGCUCCCCUUUUCUUUAGAGAAAAUAAACCUUUUUAUAUCUCCCUUUAGUGAAAACUCUAGGCUACAAAUAAUGAAAAUCAAAACUCAUGUUACUUGCUUUUUCUAUAGGGGACCCACCUUGUAAAAUAACAUAAGGCCCCUUACACACAAGCUAAUUAAAUGGAGUCUCCCACUAAAUGAUAUAUUUAGGUUUUUGACCCAAAUAGCUAGUUAUCUUGCUUAUUAAUCUAGUAGUGGUGCAGUUAAUUAAAUGAGCUAACCCGGGGAUCAUUUGAGAACAUACAAUAGUGGCUUUAACAAUUAGGCAUAUAAUUAAAAUAGCCUAAUUUUUUAAUUCCAAAUCUACUCCACUAUAAGAUUGGAAUUGACCUCCAUAAUUGUAUGCUCGAAUAAUAAUUCGUCCCAAGCCACAUUGAUUUCUUUACUGCACAAUCAUUUGUACCACAUCAUUAAUUAAAUCGCUAUCUCAACUGUCCAAUCAAUUUAAUUACAUUUUGUUCCUUGAUACUUACUGGUUUUCUCUAAUGAUCAUUUUCAACAUACUAAAUAUGUUGACACACUCUGGCCAGAGAAUUCUAUAGUCAAGUGCUGAAAGCCCAUCAAUAGAUGUGUUGUACAAAUUCUAUAUUGUUAAUCCAUAACUCCAAUACUCAUAAUUGCUCCCACCAAGAUACCGGGUAAUCUUGACCACAAGUAUGUGUCGUGCCCAUUGGUAACUCAAAUGGAAUAACAAUUACAAUCAUGAAAUCAUAAUUAACUCAAGAUUAAGAUUACAGUCAAAUUAAUACCUAUGAGAUUUAAUAAGUCUGACAGUUAUUACAAAGUUAAUUAAAUCUCAUAUGUGAUCCUAUUCAAUGUAGUCGUACUACAUCAAUAAAUUCAUACAUGAUUAAGACAAAUCAUUCACUGAAUUCAUUACAGUCUAUACCUAAAUAAAGUGCCCAACUUGAUUUAUCAACUGCGAACUAAAUUUAUUUAAUCAUAAGAUAACUUGUAUUUAUGUCUUCUGUGAAUCCACAUGGUGAUCACAUAAAUACAUAUAAUAUGAUUAAAUGAAUUUUAAUCAAAAUAUUAAUUCAAUUAAGAUAUUUGAAUAAAAUACCUCAUUUAUUUUAUUAAUUAGAAAAAUUAUUUAUUACAAUUAAAUAAACACAUAUGCUUUUAAAGAUCACAUUUUCCCAACAAUAUGUUGGAUCAUAAACUUGAUCCAUACAACUUUGAAACGCAAAUGACUCUUGAUCUAGUUCAUGCAAGCUUCUUUGGGUAGUUAAGAUUUGUGGUGUUAAAUGUGGUAAUAUGGGAAGUAGAAUUUGUGGUGUUGAGUAUGUUGUUAGGUUUGGUUUGUGGUUAUGAUUUAUGUGGUAGUUAAGUCAACGUAUGGUUGUGAUUAAAUUGUAACAAGUAUAAAUAUCUACUCUCUCAGUUGGUUUAAGUAACAAGAAGUAGUAAAGCUUAUUAAUUGCAAAAGAGUCGUAAUUAAGGAGUUAUAUUGAGUUAAUAAGAAAAAGAGUGUUUUGAGUGUUUGAUUAUUCAAAUUCUCUAAUAUUAUGUUCAUGAACUGACUUAAAAUCCUACAACUUAAGGGUAUUCCAUUCAUUACAAGUAUUUGGAAGAAUUACUAACCUUAAAUUACUAUAUCUCUCAUCAAGCUAUUUCAGAUGACAUAUAUGUCCUUUAUAGGAAGAGAUCUUGUUUUGAGUGCUAAAUGGAGAUGGUGACAUAGAUAAAUCAUGGUCUUCUCUUGAUCUUGAAGAGAUGAGUCAUUAUUAUUUUUCAUUGUAUCACUAAGCAUCAAGAUAAAUUUCAGCAACAUCAAGUAUUUUUGGAAAUCCUUCUUGUUCUUGUUUUUUUAUUUCUUUUUUUUUUCAAGAUGACCAUUUUUUCCCCGAAUGUUAUCGAGGGCAAAUAAAGCAUAUAUGCUUAACAUUGAAUAUAUUUUUAUAAAUAAAAGCUAACACGAACGUUGUGCCAAAGAAUCUGUUUAUAGGUAAACUAGGCCCAUUUAGGAUAGUAGCGUUGCCGAACAAGGCUUUGAUUUGAUUACUGUAAGUAUAUACUAAAUAUUUUUAAUAGAAUUUUUGGUUGGGCUGAAUGGUUGAGUAAAAUAAUUCAAAUGGUUUAAGUAACAAUUUUUUUAAUAUUUUAAAGAGUGCACAUGUUUUUUUUUUUAAAAGAAACUUCCAUUAAAUCGAAGAAGAGAAUAAAUACAUCAAUUGUGAAGGGUAAGAACCCAUCCAAACAACAUUUUCACAUUUCUCUAAUGCUAACUUAGAUAGAGAAUGGGCAAUGGCAUUACAAGAUCUAUGAGUAUAUUUAAUGCUAACUAGCUCAAAAUUCCUCAUUAAGUUUUGAAUCUUCAAAAUUAUCCAAAAGAUCUCAGAAUUGCCGCCUUGCUUGUUGUUAACUAACUUGACUACGCUUUGAGCGUCUGAUUCAACAAUUAAAGCCUUUGCACUUGCAUUCCUAGCAAUCUGUAAUCCCCAUUCCAAGGCUUCUGCUUCAGCAAAGGAAACAUCUCCAUGAAAUUUCGAAAUCUUGAUUGCAACUGCUAUGACAUUCCCCCGAUCAUCUCGGAUUAUAGCUCCGAACCCUGCAAGGUGCUUUUCUGAGUUUGUAGCAGCAUCCACAUUGACUUUAACAAAUCCACUUUGGGGGGGAUUCCAAAUUCGUUGAGCCUGCACCUGCUGACUUUCAUUUCGAGCUUGCUCUGGUUUUUGAACUCUUUUGUAAGCCUCCAUUACUGCUUCAGCUUUAGCAACUAGAGCCUGGGGGUAAAGAGUGCACAUGUUAAAAUUUAAUAGAUUAGUGUACAAAAUAAUAGAAGAUGGAACUAUCGUACUCUUACUCCGAAACUGCAAUUAGAGUCAACAUUCCAGUAAUUUCUUUACACAGUACUAUAUUGCAACAAGCAAUAAUAGAGCAAUAAUAGAGUAAUAAUAUAGUUACAAAUUCUUGUAUAAAUAUUUUUGUAUACAAAUUGAUGUGGCAUGAUUUAAUUGGUUGGAUUAAACAUCUAUUAGUUCGAAUGAUUUGUUUUUAUUAUUUUCUAUUUUCACUUAACCAAUGAGUUAAUGUCAAAUUAAUUUAUGCAAAAUAAGUUUGUGUAAGAGUUUAUAACUAUAUCAACACUCACAAUAAUAUUGCUAGAGGAGUUGACGAUUACUUUUCCCUGGAGGCAUAAUAAGUUUACAGCCAUAGGUUGUGACAAUUACGCAAUUAACCUGGAGAAUGUUAAUGAUUCAACUGUGCCUAUGUUUGCACUUGGGAUCCGACUCAGAAAAGUGGUUGCUACGAUUUCCUGUGCUCUAUUCCUCCAAGUAUUAGUAAAUUUUUCAAUGCAAAAUAUGAAUUUCUAUGAAGAAUCCGUUGGCAUUUCACAGAAGCCCAAUAACAAAUACAUCCUCAAAAUAUCCAUCAAAGAUAUUUCAACAAGCUAGUCAAGUAAUGGGACAGGGAAUGGCUCUGUUCCUCAGAAUGAAUUGACGUCCUGUCCAGUGUCCCCCGUUGGCUUCUCAUCACAGAGAUGAAAAUUGAAAUUAGGCCAAUUAGAUUAAAGGCAAGACGGAAUGGAAAUAUUGAACCGUUAAUUAUUAUAGCCAUGACCCCUCUAAUUAAUGGCCCUUUGCCUUUCAAUAUUAUUGUAGGUAUUUGCAAGGAAACCUCCUCUAUCUUUCUUCCAAUUAAGACUUCUUGUGUCCAAUUACUGUCGAUUCUUUUUGAACGUGUAAAGGAUAGCAUCUUGAAGACUUGAGAGGGCCAGCGUUUAUUCAAAGUCAAGAACAGGGACAGGAAAUGGCCCUGUUCCUGAAGUAUGAACUGACGUCCCGUCCGGUGUCCCCUUGCCUACUCAUCAUACAAACAAAAAUUGAAAUUAGGCCAUUUAGAAUAAAGAUAAGACGGAAUGGAAAUAUGGGAUCGUUAAUUAUUAUAGCUAUGACCCAUCUAAUUUGCAAAUGGUUCUUUCCCUUUCAAUAUUAUCGUACGUAUUUGCAAGGAAACCUCCUCUCCCUUUCUUCCAAUUAAGACUUCUUCUGUCCAAUUACUGUCAAUUCUUUUUGAACGUGUAGAGAGGAUAAUAACUUGAAGACUUGAGGGCGCCGGCGUUUAUUCAAAGUCAAGACUUAAUUAGCCUGCAGGACUCUUGAUGGUGAGGGGAAGAGAAAAAGAUGAAAGGCGCUGGGUAUAAGACAUAUAAACUUCAAUUACUUCAUAAAAUUGUUUUAUUUUUCAUUCGUCGUCACGUUGGGGAUUACCGCAAAUGACCCAUUUUAUUUUCAUCUCUAUGUAGGUCAGUAGGGUCACUGGAAAUCAACUGUUGUCUCUUUUUUCUCACUUACUGAGGAAUUUGGACAAUUAAACAAAACACAUCAAUUACCUAAAAUAUAUGAUGAAUAUCUAGAUUUUUUCGAAUCCACAUGAAGUGUGGAAAUACGAGAUUCUCUCCAAAAAUAACCAGAUAUUUCACAUCUAUUACAAAUAUUUUCUUGAAUAUUAUGUUGGCCAGAUAUUUUCUCCUCAUUUUUCUCUUUUCCAUCGAUAAUAAUUUUUUUCAUAACCUCAACCUUGAUAAAAGCCACGACCAUAGUUACAACUAUGUCCACAGUCAAUAAUAAUCUUGCUGAGAAAUUAUUUCUAAUUAAUUUUUUUGUGGUGCUUCUAAUGACACAACAUAAUAACCUUUUUUUAUCUUUAUUUUGUUCCCAAUAAAUCUCAAAACUCCUUACAAAUUUGCACCAUUAUACAUAUGAUAUCUUUUUUCUUCCGUUUAUUAGCUUUAUAGAAUUUUGAUAUAAUACGUGCGUCGCACUCAUAACAUGUACGGCCUGGCGCAUUAGAUUAUUUUUCUAACUUUAUAUAAGUAAAGUAUCUCUCUUAGCGUACAAAUAUAAUUUGAUGCGACGUGGCGCACUGGUCGCACUAGAUGAGUGCUCUAACUUUGUUUAAGUAAAAGCGUCUCCCUUAUUGUGCGAGCAUAAUUUGCAGUGGUUCGGCCCCAAAAUGGCAAAAUUUAUCACUCCAUCGCCCCAAAUUUUAAAAUCCGCAACUAUUGGGCUGUGUGGCGGGAUCGCCAAAGUCACAGCCCAACCUUUAUCAUGGGCCCUUUCCAAAGCUAACUUGCACUCUCCAUAUUCUUCCUCUAUUAAAUAAAACCGAAUAUGAUGCAUAUUAACAGACUCUCACCAUUCACGUAUUUUAUAAUGAAUCUCGCACCAAUUCUAAGUUUUCAUUUUUUUCCUACAAAGAAGAAACUUUGGAGUCUUAGUGACUGCCUAUUUUUUUUUCUUAUCUCGAGGAAAAGAAAAAUGCUAUAAUAACCUAUCAAAUUAUCCAUUAAACCUAUUUAUUAAAUAAAUCACCGAUUAAAAUUUAAAAAUUCAAAUUUUUAUCUAAACUUACGUAUUUCAUUUCAUCAAUAAAUAAAAUUGUGGACUUUUGCCUCUAGUGUCUUAUUUGGUAACAAUUUUUGACUCUAGAACCAAACAUGCAGAGUUUGAUGUUCAUUUUAUAAGGUAUAAAGUACUCAAUGGAGAAAUGGAAGUGGUAGAUAUAUACCAACAAAGCAUAAUAAGAUGGGAAACAUGUUGUGCGCAAAAUGCGGAAUCAAACGCACCGAAUAAUCACAGAAAGGACACAAGAAUUAUGUGGUUCGACAAUAUGCCUACGUCCACGGGAGCAAGAGAAAAAAUAAUUGUAUUAUUAACAAUUAUUUGAAUACAAAUUUGAGUAAAGAAACCUCACUUUCCCAGAACCCAAAUACACCCAAUACUCUCACACACACUCUACAAUUGCUCACACUCUCAGAACUCUCAAAAGCUUAGAAACUUAUAAGCUUAACAAAUUUUUAGGAUGCAAAAACCUCUAUGAAUGAAGCUCUAUUUAUAGUUAAGCUUCAUUGCAAAAAGUCUUAAAGUAGUUGGCAAAAGUCCUAUAAUUUGGUGCCGACUUGAAAAACAAAAGAAAUGCAUGUGGCUCACCUUUUCUUUUUCAACCAAUUUGAAUAAACUCACCAAAAAUCUUUGACUUUUUAACAAUUCUCCACCUCGGCAAAGAUUUGUCCAAAUCUGAGUCGACUACCAAUAAACCAUCAUUCUCAAAGUGAUCAUUCAAUAAGGAUCCAGAAUGGCUGUGUCGCUUUGACUGCCUACGUACCCAAAAUUUGGGAUCAAGCCAACCGUAGUUCAAAAUUCCCGAAUGACAUAACUUAAUACAAUCGAAGGAUUUGAAUUAGUUUCAAGCAAUGUUGAAACUUAACUCUAGAAACUACCUUCGUCAAUAUAUCUGAUGAAUUAUCUUUGGUAUCAAUCUUUCUCAACAACACAACACCGCUCUCGAUAAUCUUCCUCACAUAAUGAUAUUUCACAUCUAUGUGCUUUGACCGAGCGUGAUAUGUUUUAUUAUUCGCAAGGAAUAUCGCAUUUUGAUUAUCGCAGAAGACCGCAAUGUUCUCUUGGAUUAUUCCUAAUUCACCUAACAAGCCUUUCAACCAGAUAGCUUCUUUUAUAGCUUCAGUUGCUGCCAUAUACUCUGCUUCCGUAGUGGACAGAGCAAUUGUCGAUUGCAAAAUCGACCUCCAGCUAACCGGACCUCCAUCCAAUGUGAAUAAGUAGCCCGUUGUUGAUCUUCGCUUAUCUAGGUCUUCGACGAAAUCAGAAUCACAAUACCCAACACAUUGUUGACCACAAUCCUUCUUGAACAAUAACCCAACAUCAACUGUCCCAUACAGAUAUCAGAGAAUCCACUUUACCGUAAGCCAGUAAUUUUUACCCGAAUUGUGCAUGUAUCUACUAACUAUGCUCACUAAUUGAGAUAUAUCGGGCCUUGUGCAUACCAUAGCAUACAUAAGACUACCCACAACACUAGCAUAUGGAACACGAGCCAUGUAAUCACGCUCUUUUUGAGAUCUAGGAUAUGAAGAAGAGCUUAUUUUGAAAUGAGGAGCUAGAGGUGUACAUACUGGUUUAGUUUUGUCAUCCAUACCGAAUCUUUCUAGCACUUUCUUCAAAUAAGACUUUUGAGUCAACCAUACGCUCCCAUUCUUCUUGUCUCUACGAAUCUCCAUCCCAAGUAUUCUCUGUGCAUCACCCAAGUCUUUCAUCUCGAACUCAAAAGCCAGCUGCUUCUUUAAUCUUUCGAUCUCAUCUCUAUUCUUCGAAGCUAUAAGCAUAUUGUCGACAUAGAGUAACAAAUAGAUGAAAGCUCCAUCUAGUAGUUUUCUUAAGUAAACACAAUGAUUGUGUUCACUUCUGGUGAAUUUCUGCCCUUGUAUAAAUUGAUCAAAUCUUUUGUACCACUGCCUUGGCGAUUGCUUCAGUCCGUACAAAAAUUUAAUCAACUUACACAAAUGAUUCUCCUUUCCAGCAACUCUAAAACCACAAAGCUGAGUCAUAUAGAUUUCCUCCUCCAAAUCUCUAUGUAAGAACGUCGUCUUAACAUCUAAUUGAGCCAACUCUAACUCAUAUUCUGCAAUUAAGGCAAGUAGGAUACGAAUGGACGUAUGUUUUACAAUUGGAGAGAAAACUUCAUUGUAGUCAAUACAUUCCUUUUGAGCAAAACCUUUUGCAAGGAGCCUUGCCUUGUAUUGAAGAGUUGAUUGAUUUAGAGAUCCUUGCUUCUUGGUGUAGACCCAUUUAUUGCCAAUACCCUUUUUCCCCUUUGGUAACUCCACAAGUUCCCAAGUCUGGUUUUGAUGGAGAGAUUUCAUCUCUUCUUCCACGGCUAACUUUCAUUGAUCACUUUCACUGCUGCAUAAUGCUUCACCGAAAGUGUUGGGGAUGUCAUCAUUAAUAACUGGAAGUGCAUAGGCUACUACCAUAUCUUUAGUAAGCCAUCCAGAUUUUUUUAUCUCUCUUUUUAGCCUCCUUGUUGUUAUAAAAUCAUCAUUUUCUACAUCAUCAAUUGUUUCUUCAUUUUGGGGGACAUCAGAAGAAAUAACCUCUUCUUCAACUCUAAGUGUCACCUCCAUAGUUGAACCAUUCUCUGAUGUAGAACUAACUGGUACAUAUGAAGUUACAUCAAACUCUACCUGCUGCAAUACCUCUUUGGUCUUGUUCUCCACUUGCUGAGAACUUGAAGCUUCAUCAAACGUGACAUCUCUACUACACACAAACUUUUUAUCUUCGAGAUCCCAAAGCUUGAAGCCCUUUACUCCAUCUUUGAAUCCCACAAAGAUAACUUUUCUAGUACGAGGAUCGAAUUUACCAUUUUUGACAUGAUAAUAAGUUGGACACUCGAAUAUACGAAGGGAAUCAUAGUUUUGUGCAUGUUUUCCAGACCACAUUUCCAUAGGAGUUUUAUCUCCAAUUACAGCAGAAGGAAACCGGUUUAUUAAGUGACUUGCGUAGCUCACAGCUUCAGCCCAAAACUUUUUAUCUAAACCAGCAUUAGAUAACAUACACUGUACUUUCUCCAGCAAAGUACGAUUCAUACACUCAACCACACCGUUCUGUUGCGGAGUAUGUCUCACCGUGAAAUGUCUUUUAAUACCCUCAUUCUGGCAUACUUGCAAGAAUAGAUCAAAAGUAUAUUCACCCCCAUUAUCAGAUCGUAAUACUUUGAUCUUUUUACCAGUUUGAGUCUCCACCAAUUUCUUCCAUUUCACAAAAAUCUCUAGAACCUCAUCCUUUGCUCGCAUGGUAUACACCCACACACGUCUAGAGAAAUCAUCAACAAAUGUAACAAAAUAAUAGUUUCCACCAAUUGAUGCAGUCUUGGUUGAUCCCCAUACAUCACUGUGAACAUAUUCAAAGAUCUCACGAGUAUCGUGAUUAGCCGUACCAAACUUGACCCUUGUUUUCUUGCCUACUACACAAUGCUCACAGAAAUUUAAUUUACAGGUUUUGGUACCUUUUAGAAGUUCAUACCUCAUCAGAGUUUUCAAAGACUUCUCUCCAGCAUGUCCUAGUAGUACAUGGCAUAACUUGGUGGUGUCACUGUGGGCCUCAUUAACAUUUGCUUCAUCAGUUGUACCUGUUGUGCAAAUUUUAAUGAACUCGCAAGCGCACGAAUCUAUUGUAGUGUAGAUCAAUGGUGACGAGUGUCGAUCCCACGAGGAGGAGGAUUUUAAUUGUGUAUAGAAUUAAUUUUGCAAAAUGGGUGGUUGGAAUUGUGGUGGAAGUGAUUUAAAUUAUCCUAAAAUUGGAAUUGAAAUUGCGAUAAUAAAUUCUAAAAUUGGAAUUGCAAUGGCGAGAAUAAGUUGAAGCGAAAUCUAUUGAAAUGACGUACUUGGGUAUCUGGAUCCGUAUCAACAUGCAUCAUGGGCUAAAUAAUCCGUAUUAAUGCCAAUUAAAUCAUGAGGGGGGAAUCCACACCUCAUGAACCACGCUCUAAUCAAUAUGGUGCUAAGGGCUUAUCGUGCCAAAUAAUAAUAACCUUAUACUAGAGAGCCGGUGUAACCAAGGCGGUAUCUAGACAAGAUCAGUAUUAUUUGUCGACGAUAAGUCAAAUCAUCCACAAAAACUAGAGGGGAAAAGAAAAUAAAUUUACCAAAUAAAGCCCAUGACACAUGUUGAGACUUCACCUUCAACCCAAGCUUGAAAAGAAAUUAGCUACUCAUAAUUGAACUAGGGGCAAAAAGGGAAUUUAUUAAAAUACAAAGAAAAUACAAGAUGGAGAAGGAAUUACAGAAAAUGGAUCCCAAAAAUGGAUUCAGAGAUAUCAAAUUAGGGGGGGGAGGCCCCCUUUUUAUAGAUACAUGGAGUAAAUCAUGGCCAUCGGAUUAAAAACAGUUUGGACGCUCAGGAUUGCGCCACGUCAUCAGUCAACAGUCCACGGUUUGACCACGCGGAUGAACAGUAACACGGCUUGACCCGGAAUGAACAGUAACGCGGUUUGGUUGAAAAUAAUCCUGUGUGAUGCAUGCACCGUACGCGAGAUUUUUCGUCCACUGAUAUGCUGCCACGUCACCGUCAACAGUACAUAAGAAUUUUAGUCCAACAGGAUCGUGACACCUCAUCAGUCAAUGCCACAUCAUCGGUCAAUGCCACGUCAUCGAUCCGUCUAUGUGAACAGUAUCGUGAACAGUAACGUAGACAGUACCGUAUACGUGAAUAGUACCGUACAUGUGAAUAGUGCCAUUUUUCCUUUUAUGCUCCUCCUAAGGUUUUCGACCGUCCUGAGUUCAAAAGUGAUGUCCGUUUUGCUGUCUGAUUUCUCCUUUAUUGUGAAAUGACUAUAAUGCCCCUAAAAUACAUAAAAUACUUAAUUAAAAUAACACACACGUAAUUACAUCACAAGAAGGUUAAAUACAUAAAAGUAAGAGUUGUUAGUAAGACUUGAAAUGUAAAAUGACGGUUUUCUCCUUUAUAAAUAUGCAUUUUCUAACACUCAACACACCCCCCAACCAGCUUAUUGCUAGUCCCUAGCAAAUAAAGCGAAAACAAAAUUCAAAUUCAAAAUAUAUUAAAUUUUUUUUUUUUUUUUUUUUUUUUUUUUUUUUUUAGAAACACUCGUGUUUAUUCAAUCAGAUUAAUGAUAGCAAUCAAAUAAAAGUAUAAGCAUUAUCUCCAGUCUAAAGCAAUAUCACACCCACAUCAACCAUCCACAUGAAUCGGCCCAGUUGACUUUGUUAUAGCUACUUUCAAGAAUGACAUGUCAAACCCCAAAAUCUCACUGGAAGUAAUGACACUCUCACAAAUAAAUUAAACCCAAUAAAAAUAGUCACUCCAAUGAGUGGUAAUUGAGAGAGAAAAUAAUAAAGAAGUGAUAUCACAUGCUCUCACCAAGAUGAAAUAAAUAUGCCCUCAGCUUAGAAAUAAUACGAUCUCAAGUCAAAUAAAAAAAAUGUUAGUCAACCCAAUUUAUUUUUUUAUUUUUUUAUAUGCACCACUACAUCUUUUUAGCCCAUAUAACUAGCUUCUACUUCAAACUAUAGUUCCCUAAAAUCAAGAAGGACUUUUAUUAGGACGUAACGUAGGCUAGGGAUAUGGCUAACAAAGAAAGGAAAUAAGGAAAACAAAGUGUAUGUUUGAGAAAAAUGCAGAAAUAUUUUUUUUUUUUUUUUUUUUUUUUGGAAGUUGCAAGGUGGAUUUUACCUAUUAUUGUUAUUUUUAUUCUUUUGAAACAACAACUUUGGUUUUUGUUUUUUUUUUUUGUUUUUUUUUUUUGUUUUUUUUUUUUGUUUUUAUUUGGCAUAACUUCACUGAACAACAUAAUUAUUUACAUUUUCUCAAACAUAAAUAGGUGAUGGAACUUAAAAGACAUUGGGUAAUACUCCAAAUCGGAGUGGGUCAAGAUGAUAAGUUGACAAAGAAAAGGUUUUUGUUCUUUUUUUUUUUUUUUUUUUAAAGGCUCAAAAGGGGUAACUAUGGAUAUUUAAUAAAAGGGAUGGCUAGAAAGGCUCAAACGGAUCAAAGAUGGCCUUUCUAUCGUCUUUUAGGGCUCUAAAUAAUUAUCCAUAUCUACUAGUUAGAUGGGCCUCCCAAUGUAGCAACACACAUUUUUUUUUCUUUUUUUUAAUUUUACCAUAUUUUUUUUUUUUAAAGGGUUAACUUAAAAGAAAUCUAGAGAUCGUGUAUAAAAUAAUAAACUGCUAAGCUGUAUAGAGAAUGGGCAAAAGGGUUACUCUCCAAGAAAAUGAUAGGCUCAACAACUCACUUGGCACUUAUUUAUGACAUGUUCAUUCCUUCAAGCAACUCAUAUUUGUCUCCGACAUCAACAUGUAAAGUAGCAAACAUAGCGUAACAUCACUUAAGACCAAAGAUAAUACAAAUACUAAAAUUUGAAAUUAAUCAUGUCAUCCAAUGUUAAAACAAAUCACACAAAUAUAUAUAUAUAUAUUUUAAACAACAUUCUACCCCCCAACCUAUUCUAAGCAUGAAAGGAAAAUAUGCAUGCAGAAAUGUGAAAAUGAUGUAAAAAAAUUAAUUAGAAAAAGAAAUUUUUUUUUUUUUUUAAACUAAGAAGAUGCGUUUCUAGAGGCACUACACUCCAUAUUCAGCCAUCUUCGACUCAAAAAUUUGAAACUACAUAUUUAUAAAGGAGAAAGAGGAAGAAAACAAGUUUUUUUUUUUUUUUUUUUUUUUUUUUAAACGAUGAAGAUGCGUUUCUAGAGUAACUACACUCCAUAUUCAGCCAUCUUCAACAUAAAACGUUAGCAACAGUUAGUUUCUACAACAAAAAAUCAGUAAAAACUUAACCAAGAUUCCACAAUUGUCGACUAUUCCCUCCCCCCAACCAGAACGAAACAUUGUCCUCAAUGUUUUAAAGGAAAGAAGUAGAGUUUAGAAGACAUCACCUGGGUGGUGCAACACAGAAGAAAAUAUUUACAGGCGGAGAGUUAAAUCUAAUUUGUACUUCUUACUGCGGCUACUGUUACCAUCAUUAUUUGGUCGCUCCAACACAAAGGUCCAGGGGUCUGGCUCCGGUUUAUAAGCUUGUAACAUAUCAAGUAGCUCAUUAGCAGUGUGAGCACAAAUAAAGAGUUUUUUCACAUUAGAAGGAAUGAAAUAGUUUUUUAUUGCAUGGUUAAGAAAUGCGAUAAAGCCAUCAUAAAAGUUAUUGACAUUUAACAAACCGAUGGGUUUCUGGUGGAUGUGCAGAUGGGCCCAAGAUGCUAGUGUGAUAAGUGCCUCUAGUGUUGCAAGAUCUCCUGGAAGGAAAAUAAAAGCAUCAGCAUGAUUAAGCAUUUCAGUUAUUCUUUCUUGCAUACCUGAGACGACUAACUCUUCUCCAGUUGAUGAGUCAGACGAACUGCCCAAUGGUUUUAGGACUCUUGGGAUGAUGCCUAACACUUGACUUCCUCUGAUAAAAGCUGCUUCUGAGACCAUUUUUGAUAGCCCUCGGUUACCUCCUCCAUACACCAAGUGUAAUUUUCUCGCUGCUAUGCUUCGACCAAGAUCUAUGGCUGCCUCCACGAACUCUUUAUGUUUGCCAUAGGUAAAUCCAGAAAGCACACAAAUGUUCUUGAAUUGUCUAUUGGGAGUAGCUGCCAUUGUGAUACUUCUCAAAAACAAUUUGUGAGUGCUUGACAAAAGAUAUCACAUUUAAGAGUCUUGGUGAUAGUGGGUCAUGGUUGUGUAUGAGGUAAUAUGUCAGUGUCAAAGAACGCGUAAAGCACGUGGCUCGCAAGUCAAAAAGAAAACAGUAAAAAGGAAAAAGCAAACAGUAAUAAAAUUAUUAAAGACAAUAAUGCAAACAAUAAGACAAUAGUGAAAUAAAAUAACAAUAAAGUAAAAGGAUAUUUACACGUAGUUGCGACUGUGGCUCACAUCUUCCUCUGGUUUUACGUCCAGAAACGGCUUGAACGCCCUCUAUGGGUCGAGGAUGGGCUUCCCAUCCAGUUUUCUUAUAAACUGGCAAACAGGGUCGUUUAUAGUCAGAUUCCCGAGACUAUAUCGUGUAUGCUCUUUCUGGAAUAAUGGCCAUAACUGGAGAAUCGCUCCUUGCACAUAUCCACUGGGAUGCGUUUCAAGAGACAAAAGGAUAUCAUCCAAUGACUCCUUAUUCAAGCCAUCCCUAAUGAAUUGAAUCUUAUCUUCUCUGUUAUCAGACACCAUUCCUAAAGAACAUGGGUUUCUAUCGCAACUCAUUCUGGCACACUUAUGACAAGCAACAGAAAUUCUUCGAGCUCGUCGUUUUCUUGCAUAAUUUCCUUUACCACAACCAGGCAUGAAUGCAAUAAAUUUUGGAGAUAACUCACCUGCCAAUCGUACUUUAGCCUCGAUUAACCAACGGAUGUCUGCAGGUAUGUUAUUCCUCAUGAGCAAUCGCAUGCGUUCGGUCCGAGCUUUAUAGAUCGUAAGGAGGGCAUUCUGAGGAAGUGAAGGGAAUCGCUUGUGAAGCUUCGCUAGAAUCUCGUUUCUGUCCAUACUUUCGCCUCAGAAUGUCAGUUAUUGUGGGAAACUGAAGUAACCGACUUGAUUGUCACGGAGUACCGUUAUCCGCCACUUCACCGGGGUAACAAACUAAAGCACACAAACAGAAAAACAAAUUAAAACACACAAAGAAAAUUAAAAUCGUCCUCUUAUUGAAUUUACCUCAAGCUCCAACUGGAUGUCGUAAACACUUCUCUCAAUGUCUCUGAGUUGGCGUUCUAAACCCUCAACAUAGGCUACUAACUCUGGUGGUUGUAGAGCCCAAAUGCGUUGUGUUUUACAAAAUAGAAUCUGCCUUUUGAGAUGAGUUUUGACACGUUGAAGUGGUUUAAGAAUGUUCAGGAGGAACGGUCUGAGUAAGGUACUCAUGAUUAAAAAUGAUAAGAGAAAACUUAAUAGUUAAACAAACACACUUAUGCAAAAAUAAUUUCAAUUAGCAAAAGAAUAAUAUAAAGAAAGAAAGAAAAAUCAAAUCAACGAAAAGAAAAAACAAAUCAAUUCAAAUCUGGUGGGUCACUCAAAUUUAUUUCGGUGUCUUCUCCAUGUGGUUGGUAUUCUAGAUAUGGCUUUAAUCUUUGACCAUUAACUUUAAACGCGACACCGUUCUUUGGGUCCUUAAUUUCAAUUGCCCCAUGUGGAAAAACAGUAUGAACAAUAAAGGGACCAGACCAUCGAGAGCGUAACUUACCUGGGAAUAGAUGCAAGCGAGAAUUGAAUAAAAGCACUUUCUGACCUGGAGUGAAAGAUUUUCUCAUAAUGUGCUUGUCAUGAAAGACUUUCAUUCGUUGCUUGUAAAUUUUGGCAUUUUCGUAUGCAUCAUUGCGAAUUUCUUCAAGUUCUGCCAGCUGUAAUCUUCUUUCUGAGCUGGCUUGCUGCAUGUCAAAGUUGAAUUUCUUGAUGGCCCAAUAUGCACGAUGCUCGAGUUCCACAGGUAGGUGGCAAGCUUUUCCAUACACUAGCCUGUAGGGUGACAUCCCAAUCGGGGUCUUGAAAGCCGUUCUAUAUGCCCAUAAUGCAUCAUCAAGUCUUAAUGACCAAUCUUUUCUGUCUGGCCUCACUGUUUUUUCUAAUAUGUGCUUUAUUUCUCGAUUGGAGAUCUCAACUUGGCCACUGGUGUGCGGAUGAUACGGGGUCGCCACUUUGUGUGUGAUUGAAUACUUUGUCAAAAGAGCUUUGAAUGCUUUGUUACAAAAGUGGGCACCACCAUCACUGAUUAUCGCUCGAGGGAAUCCAAAGCGUGAAACAAUAUUGCUUUUCAAAAAUCCUAUCACCACUUUGUGAUCAUUGGUCCUACAUGGAAUUGCUUCUACCCAUUUCGAGACGUAGUCAACACCAACCAAUAUGUAUUGAUGGCCAAAAGACGGAGGAAAGGGUCCCAUGAAGUCGAUACCCCAUACGUCAAAAAUCUCAACCACUAAAAUUGGAUUUAGUGGCAUCAUGUUCCUUCGUGUAAUGCUCCCCAUUCGUUGACACCUAUCACAUGAAGAACAGAAAGUGUAAGCAUCUCGAAAUAUAGUUGGCCAAUAAAAACCACAUUGUAAAACUUUAGUCGCGGUUUUCUUAGCACUGAAGUGGCCUCCACAAGCUUGUGCAUGGCAGAAUGAAAGAAUAUUCUGAAUUUCAUUUUCAGGGACACAUCGUCUAACAAUUUGGUCUGCACAAUACUUGAACAAAUAUGGGUCAUCCCAAAAGAAAUUCUUUAUUUCCGCAAAGAAUUUAGCCUUGUCUUGCUUAGUCCAAUGCUCUGGAAGUUUACCUGUAACAAGAUAAUUAACUAUAUCAGCAUACCAAGGUAAUACUUCCACAUUCAUUAAUUGUUCAUCUGGAAAUGACUCAUUCAAUGGUAAUGAUUCUGUAAUUGUGUCAAAAUGGAGACGAGAGAGGUGGUCCGCCACAACAUUCUCUGUGCCUUUCUUAUCCUUGAAUUCCAAGUCGAAUUCCUGCAAAAGUAACACCCAACGAAUUAGUCUAGCUUUUGCAUCUUUCUUUGUGAGAAGAUAUUUAAGAGCAGCAUGAUCUGUGAACACAAUUAUUUUACAACCAAUGAGAUAAGAUCGAAAUUUCUCUAAUGCAAACACUACUGCUAGCAUUUCUUUUUCAGUAGUUGAAUAAUUCAACUGUGCAUCAUUCAAUGUCAUACUAGCAUAGUAAAUAACGUGGGGAAUUCGAUCAACUCUUUGUCCUAAUACUGCUCCUACUGCAUAAUCAGAUGCAUCACACAUGAGCUCAAAUGGUAAGCUCCAGUUUGGGGCCUGAAUGAUGGGUGAUGAUGUCAACAAUUGCUUUAAUUUUUCAAAAGCCAUAAGACAUGAAUCAUUAAAGAUAAAAGGUACAUCCUUAGCAAGUAAAUUGCAUAAGGGUCUAGAAACUUUGCUAAAAUCUUUAAUGAAACGUCUAUAGAAACCAGCAUGCCCAAGGAAAGAUCUUACUUCUCUGACUGUUUUAGGUGGAGGAAGAUUAGAAAUUAGAUCCACCUUGGCUUUGUCAACCUCAAUACCUUUGCUUGAAAUGAUGUGACCGAGAACAAUACCUUGUUUUACCAUAAAAUGGCACUUCUCCCAAUUUAAGACUAAGCUCUUCUCGGUACAUCUCUGCAGAACUAGCGUUAGAUGAUGUAAACAUUGAUCAAACGAGUCACCAAAGACAGAAAAAUCAUCCAUAAAGACUUCAAGGAAUCGUUCAACCAUAUCAGAAAAAAUACUCAACAUGCAUCGUUGAAAUGUAGCAGGUGCAUUACAUAAUCCAAAUGGCAUUCUCCUAUAUGCAAAUGUGCCAAAAGGACAAGUGAAAGUGGUCUUCUCUUGAUCUUUUGGUGCUAUAGGAAUCUGAUUAUAUCCUGAGUAGCCAUCUAGAAAGCAAUAAAAUUCAUGGCCUGCUAAUCUAUCAAGCAUUUGAUCAAUAAAUGGUAAAGGAAAAUGGUCUUUACGUGUGACAGAAUUCAACUUUCUAUAAUCAAUGCAUACACGCCAUCCUGUAGUUACUCUAGUUGGUAUCAAUUCAUUAUCAGCAUUGGUAACUACUGUGACUCCUGACUUUUUGGGGACGACUUGUACAGGACUGACCCAUGAACUAUCAGAAAUUGGGUAAAUGAUACCUGCAUCUAAUAGCUUAAGGACUUCAGUUCUAACAACUUCUUUCAUGUUAGGAUUUAACCGACGUUGCAUCUCCCUAGUAGUUUUAGCAUUUUCAUCAAGGUGAAUGUAAUGCAUGCAGUCUACUGGAUUUAUACCUUUUAUGUCUGCUAUGGUCCAUCCUAAUGCUCCUUUGUGCUCUUUUAAAACAUCCAACAACUUACCUUUUUGUUCGUCAUUUAGGGAUGAUGAGAUGAUUACUGGUAGAGUGCUUUCUUCUCCCAAAAAUGCAUAUUCCAGAGUGUUGGGUAAUGGUUUGAGCUCGAGUUUCGGUGGUGAUUCUGAUGAUGGAAUGAGUUUCUUCUCUGAUGGUGCUAGUUGUUCAACUCUUGACUUCCAUUUAUUAGUGUCCAUGGAUGGUGCUGAGUCAAGUAGGGCGUUGACCUCUUCGACCGAUCUGUCAAUAUCAAAAUCCAAACCAAAGUGAGUUAAACAUGUUUGUAAAGGGUCAUCACUAAGGUUUGAAAUAAAAGUAUUAUCGACUAUUGUUUCUAUUAAAUCCACAUCAACAAUUCCAUCAUCUGCACUGUGAGGUUGUUUGGCAAUGUUGAAGAUGUUUAGCUCCAUAGUCAUGUUGCCGAAGGACAAUUGCAUAUUUCCGGUCCUACAUUGAAUAUGAGCAUCUGCAGUUGCCAAGAAAGGUCGGCCUAGAAUAAUGGGGAUGUGCUUCCUUGAGUCCUGUAUUGGUUGAGUGUCAAUUACAAUGAAAUCAACAGGAAAAUAAAACUUGUCUACCUGGAUAAGCACGUCCUCCACAAUACCACGAGGUAUUUUUGUGGACCGAUCUGCAAGUUGUAACACCACUGGAGUUGGGUGUAAUUCUCCCAGUCCAAGUUUCACGAAUACAGAGUAAGGCAACAAAUUUACACUAGCUCCUAAAUCCAACAAAGCAUUCUCAAUUGUGUGGUUCCCUAUACUACAUGAGAUAGUGGGGGAGCCUGGGUCUUUGCAUUUUAAAGGAAUUUUAUGUUGGAGUAUAGAACUAACGUUUUCUGUUAAAAAUGCCUUCUUUUGAACAUGCAUAUUUCUCUUUUUAGUACAAAGGUCUUUAAGAAACUUGGCAUAAGAUGGAACUUGUUUAAUAGCAUCAAGUAAAGGGAUGUUAACACUUACCUGUUUGAAGAUUUCGAGAAUCUCACCUGUGGAUUUUCCCUUUUUCCCUUUAGCUAACCUCUGAGGAAAUGGAGCUUUCGGAACGUAUUCUCGUGGGUUGGUUUCUUCUUUCUCCUCCGGUGGUGAGUCCUCAGCAUUUACAGGUACAAUUUGAUUUUCUUUUGUCACCGGCAUCUCCACUUUAUUGUCGACUUCCUUUCCUUUUCGCAAGGUCAUUACUGCUUUGACCUCUCCAUGCUGCUGUGGUGAACUGGUACUUGCUUCAUACACUCCUUUAGGAUUAGGCACUGGUUGACUCGGAAACUUGCCUUUCUCAACAGUCAUUGCCAAGGUCUGAACUGAAGAAGCAAGCUGUCCCACCAUCUUCUCGAGGCUUGAAACUGAUUGGGCUUGUGAAUUGAAGCCCGCUCUCAACUCAUUUCGUAGUCCAUCAAUGGUGCGGUUCUGUUGCUCAAUCGUAGAGUGAGUAGCAUUCUUGAAAUUCUGGAAUGAAUCCUCCCAUGAUCUGGGUUGAGAGUAGUUCUGGUUCUGAUUGAAUGGUCUAAAUGGGGGCUGAGAGGCUUGAGGAACUUGAGGAAUUUGUGGAGCUGGAGCUGGAGCUGCUGGUCCAUUCUGUUGGAAUCCUUGAGACCAUGAAAAAUUGGGGUGGUCUCUCCAUCCAGGGUUAUAUGUGUUGGAGUAUGGGUUGUAAUUCGAUGGUUUUCUCAUUACACCUAUGGCAUUGGCUUGAUCAGAGUAUGAGUCAUGGUCAUGUGGUUCUGUUGAUUUAACAGUCGAUAACGAUGCUAUUUGUCGAGAGAGACCUUCAAUUAUUGCUUUGACUUCUUUAAUUUCUGAACUUGACUCGCCAAUGUGAACCUCAUUCACUCCUUUAAUUCUUUUAGUAUUCCUGAGUGAUCGACUCCGUUGUUGGGAAUUAUCCGCUUGUCGCUGGAAGAAUUCCCAAAUCUCUGUUGCGCUUUUUGACAUUAGCUCUCCUCCACUUGUUGCCAUUAGCCAUUCUUGCACAUUCGGCAAUAAUCCCUCCAAAAAGUAUUGGCAUUGGUGCCAUUUCUCGUACCCAUGAUGUGGACACUUCAAGAGUAGCCCAUUGAAUCGCUCCCAAGUUUCGAAAAACUGCUCGUCCUCUCUUUGUGUAAACUCUGAAAUUUCCCUGCGAAUAGAAUUGGUUUUAUGCACUGGGAAAUAUUUAUUUAGAAAUUUUGUAACCAUUUGUUCCCAUGAUGCAAUGCUAUUAGCAGGCAAAGUAUUUAACCAUGAACGAGCUCUAUCCUUUAAAGAAAAUGGGAAUAAUCUAAGUUUAACAUCAUCGUCUGAAAAAUUUUCAUAUUUAAAAGUUUGACAAAUUGCAUGAAAAUCAUUCAAAUGAUUAUAUGGGUCCUCAUUUUCUAAGCCAUAGAAUGUGGGGAGACAAUUUAGCACACUAGGUUUUAGUUCAAAACUCCUAGCAGCUACAUUUGGGUAUCUUAUGCAUGAUGUGCUCAAAUUAGCUAAGGGACUAAAAUAGUCCUUAAAUGGCCUCUCCUGUGGUGCUUGUAAAUCCAUUCCAAAUUUAUUUUUAAUGUGCUUUUGUGUGCGAAGUGUUUUUUCUAAUUCAAGGUCUAUAGGUUCAAGAUUUGGUAAUAAUGACCUACGACCAUGCAUGCAAAAUAAAUAAAAUAAAAAUAAAGAUGCAAACAAAACAAAAAAUAAAGAUGGGAACAAAACAAAUAAAAAUAAAGAAGAGGGAGAAAUUACGAUACUAACCUUAUUGCGCUAUUACAACUUUUCUAUAAAAAUACACAAAAAUAAAUACGUGAAAUAAAUUAACUAAAAAUUAAAUUAAUAAAAUAAACAAAAAUUACAAAGAAAAAAUAAAUUGAAAAUUAAAUUACAGAAUUUUAAAGAAGAGAAAAAGAAAAGAAAUACUAACCUUUAAAUGUAGAUUUACUUUUUUUUUCUUUUUUUUUUAAAAAAAAAAAAUACACGAAAACAAAUAAAAGAAAUUAUUCACAAAAAUUAAUUCUAUGAAUUAAAACUACUUACCUCCCCGGCAACGGCGCCAAAAACUUGUUGUGCAAAUUUUAAUGAACUCGCAAGCGCACGAAUCUAUUGUAGUGUAGAUCAAUGGUGACGAGUGUCGAUCCCACGAGGAGGAGGAUUUUAAUUGUGUAUAGAAUUAAUUUUGCAAAAUGGGUGGUUGGAAUUGUGGUGGAAGUGAUUUAAAUUAUCCUAAAAUUGGAAUUGAAAUUGCGAUAAUAAAUUCUAAAAUUGGAAUUGCAAUGGCGAGAAUAAGUUGAAGCGAAAUCUAUUGAAAUGACGUACUUGGGUAUCUGGAUCCGUAUCAACAUGCAUCAUGGGCUAAAUAAUCCGUAUUAAUGCCAAUUAAAUCAUGAGGGGGGAAUCCACACCUCAUGAACCACGCUCUAAUCAAUAUGGUAUUUAACCUUCUUGUGAUGUAAUUACGUGUGUGUUAUUUUAAUUAAGUAUUUUAUGUAUUUUAGGGGCAUUAUAGUCAUUUCACAAUAAAGGAGAAAUCAGACAGCAAAACGGACAUCACUUUUGAACUCAGGACGGUCGAAAACCUUAGGAGGAGCAUAAAAGGAAAAAUGGCACUAUUCACAUGUACGGUACUAUUCACGUAUACGGUACUGUCUACGUUACUGUUCACGAUACUGUUCACAUAGACGGAUCGAUGACGUGGCAUUGACCGAUGAUGUGGCAUUGACUGAUGAGGUGUCACGAUCCUGUUGGACUAAAAUUCUUAUGUACUGUUGACGGUGACGUGGCAGCAUAUCAGUGGACGAAAAAUCUCGCGUACGGUGCAUGCAUCACACAGGAUUAUUUUCAACCAAACCGCGUUACUGUUCAUCCGGGUGUAGAUCAAUGGUGACGAGUGUCGAUCCCACGAGGAGGAGGAUUUUAAUUGUGUAUAGAAUUAAUUUUGCAAAAUGGGUGGUUGGAAUUGUGGUGGAAGUGAUUUAAAUUAUCCUAAAAUUGGAAUUGAAAUUGCGAUAAUAAAUUCUAAAAUUGGAAUUGCAAUGGCGAGAAUAAGUUGAAGCGAAAUCUAUUGAAAUGACGUACUUGGGUAUCUGGAUCCGUAUCAACAUGCAUCAUGGGCUAAAUAAUCCGUAUUAAUGCCAAUUAAAUCAUGAGGGGGGAAUCCACACCUCAUGAACCACGCUCUAAUCAAUAUGGUGCUAAGGGCUUAUCGUGCCAAAUAAUAAUAACCUUAUACUAGAGAGCCGGUGUAACCAAGGCGGUAUCUAGACAAGAUCAGUAUUAUUUGUCGACGAUAAGUCAAAUCAUCCACAAAAACUAGAGGGGAAAAGAAAAUAAAUUUACCAAAUAAAGCCCAUGACACAUGUUGAGACUUCACCUUCAACCCAAGCUUGAAAAGAAAUUAGCUACUCAUAAUUGAACUAGGGGCAAAAAGGGAAUUUAUUAAAAUACAAAGAAAAUACAAGAUGGAGAAGGAAUUACAGAAAAUGGAUCCCAAAAAUGGAUUCAGAGAUAUCAAAUUAGGGGGGGGAGGCCCCCUUUUUAUAGAUACAUGGAGUAAAUCAUGGCCAUCGGAUUAAAAACAGUUUGGACGCUCAGGAUUGCGCCACGUCAUCAGUCAACAGUCCACGGUUUGACCACGCGGAUGAACAGUAACACGGCUUGACCCGGAUGAACAGUAACGCGGUUUGGUUGAAAAUAAUCCUGUGUGAUGCAUGCACCGUACGCGAGAUUUUUCGUCCACUGAUAUGCUGCCACGUCACCGUCAACAGUACAUAAGAAUUUUAGUCCAACAGGAUCGUGACACCUCAUCAGUCAAUGCCACAUCAUCGGUCAAUGCCACGUCAUCGAUCCGUCUAUGUGAACAGUAUCGUGAACAGUAACGUAGACAGUACCGUAUACGUGAAUAGUACCGUACAUGUGAAUAGUGCCAUUUUUCCUUUUAUGCUCCUCCUAAGGUUUUCGACCGUCCUGAGUUCAAAAGUGAUGUCCGUUUUGCUGUCUGAUUUCUCCUUUAUUGUGAAAUGACUAUAAUGCCCCUAAAAUACAUAAAAUACUUAAUUAAAAUAACACACACGUAAUUACAUCACAAGAAGGUUAAAUACAUAAAAGUAAGAGUUGUUAGUAAGACUUGAAAUGUAAAAUGACGGUUUUCUCCUUUAUAAAUAUGCAUUUUCUAACACUCAACAGUACCUCCCUUCAAAUAGUACAAAUUGUGACGCCAAACUCCUUGCAGAAUCACUAUAGCCCCAUGUGCAAACUUCAUUGUGCCAUCUUCAAUAGUAACCUUGUAGCCUUUAGCUUCCAACGCACCCACAUAAAUUAGAUUUUUCUUUAAAGCUGGAACAAAUCUAAUCUCUUUAAGUUCUCUAAUCGUUCCAUCAAACAUUUUGAGCCGAAUUGUUCCUAUCCCCAUUGUACGACAAUGUUGAUCAUUCCCCAUCACAACAGCACCGGAUUCCAGAUUACGAAAAUCCGUAAACUAUUCUUUAAUAGGACACAAAUGAUAGGUUGCCCCAAUAUCAAGUAUCCACUCGCUCGAACUAGCCACGUAUGCUGCAGGAGUAAUACUUAGUGAAUAAUCAAAGUCCUCAUCUUUCCGUGCCAUGUUUGUUGAUGCGGGUUUCUUCCCAUCUCUCUUUUGAGCCUUUGGACAAUUUUUCCUCCAAUGGCUUUUUUCAUGACAAAAGGCACACUCGUCUCGAGCUAUAUUUCUACUUCUCGAUUUAGAUCGAAAAUUCUUUCCACCAUGCUUAUUCUUUUUCUCCAUCGCCUAAUCUCUGCUCACCAAAGCUUCAGACGAUGCCUGUUCAUAAUUUUUAUCAUUAUUUCGAAUCUCUAAGUUAGUCAAUGCUGUGCAAACAUCUUUGAAGAUGAUCACACUUUUCCCAUAUAUCAAGGUAGUCACAAAAUGGCUAUAUUCCUCUGGUAGUGAGUGUAACAAAAUCAUAACCUUGACUUCAUCCUUAAUAUCUUCAUCAAGAUUCUUCAAAUCAGCAAGUAACUCUGGUAGUGUGUGAUGGUGCUAAGUCUUCACUUAGCCAGUCACUCAACAAUAUCUAGCGGAAGCAAAUAAAGUAACAAGCAUGCAAAGAUCCACAAUGGAGGUUUACGUAAGAGACUAAUUGAUGGUAGUCGAAGUCAGCAAAAAUAAAUACAUACUCUAAAUAAAUUGUGUAUAGUGAUUGAGUAGGGUCGUGUCCACAGAGAUUGGUAAUUAUUUAAAUCUUUUUAAAAUGAAAAAUGCAAAAUGGGGGAAUUGUUGACAAUAAUAAAAAUCAAAUUAAAAUAACAAGAAUGCAAAUUAAAAUUGUAAUUCAAAUUGGGAAAAGCUUUGGUUGAAGGAAUUAACUCAGCUUGAUUCGACUACUGAUCAUUGAUUCAAAUAUAAAUCAUUACUAUUAUGAAUAGACCGGUUAUAGCUACUGAGACCCUCUAAUAGCCAAUCUCUCCUUAACUAGUCGAUAACCAAGGUACGACCAUUGGUUAUUUCCCUAAUCAAUAGACAACCCUAGAUACGAUCAUAGGGUUUAAUCAAUUGACAGCCUGAAAAACCAGAGAGACCUAAAUCCUAAUAAAAAACGCAUAUGAUGGUUCAUUUAAAUUAGAUUGUUUAUUCUCAUAACACAACGCACUGCUAUGCUAUUUUGUCACAAACAUUAAAAUCUUCAUACGAUGAAUCUUUUAAUUGACAAUAGAUUAAGUUGAUAAUUAAAUAGUGGCCAAUUAUCUAAUUAACAAACAUAAUCAUGACAAUAAUUUAGAGAAUGAACAAAUAUCCAAAAAGCAAUAAAACAAUUAAAGCAUAAGAAAGAUCUCACAGUAAUGAUGAAUCAAAGCUUUAUUAACCUUCAACCAGAAUAAUAGAUUUAGUUCUUCAUAGAGAGAAGAGUUUAGAUCUAGAGUUUCUUUUUCUUCCCUCCUCUUGAAAAAUUCUCCUCCCCUUUGUUUUUCAUGUCUCCUUUCUCUUAUAGAGUUUUUCCAAAAAUAAAAUACUAAUAUCUAAAAUAUUAUCUAAAUAUUAAAUUCAAAAUUACAAAAAUAACCAAAAAGGUAAAACAUGUUAAAAUAAAAAUUGCAGGUCCUUAGUCGACAACACGGGCCCACGCCUUAUCAACAAAGUUCUUCUGAAGCUCAUAAUUUCUCUAGGAAAACAAUCAUCUUCAAACAUCAUCUUGUAGCUCAAUUUUAGCACCAAUCAAUAGAAUUGUACCUACAAAAAUAAAACAGAAGUAAAUCACUAUUAUUAAGUGCAAAACAUCGAUAUUAAAGGAAGUAAACAAUGCAAAACUAGUGCAUAGAUUGCACUCUAACAAAUUCCCCCACACCAAGAUAAUGCUUGUCCUCAAGCAUAUAACUCAAGACUAAUCUCAAAUCUCCACUCAAUUCUCAUCUCAACUCAUCCAAAAACAAUCUUAAGCAAGUAUAUCUUAAGAAUUUAAGUCAAUCAACAUUCGAGAGACAAGGAUUUUAAAGCAUAGGAUCUCAUAAGCUAGUAUAAAAACAUUCAACCACCCAGAAGAUCCAUUCAAAAUUCAAGUGCAACAAGUUUUAAUAGCCCUCUCAUUGACUUCACUCCAUCUCAAAGUGUUUAGGGUAUCAUUUAUGCACUCCAAUUAAAUCAAAGAAUGCUAUUACCGUAAGCUUGCUCAUAUAUCACAUCUCAAUCCACAAAACAAGAAUUAAAUGCAAAAAUUUAAGGGUCUUAAAAAGGUUGUAACGGGGUUAAAUGGGUUGAAUGAAAAAUAAAGGUCUAUGAAAGAAAAAGAGGUCAAAAUGAGAAGAAUGAACUCAUUGAAUGAACCUUAUGAUAUCAAAACGCUUAUUUCUACUCAAGUCGCCAAGAAUGUAAACAUUUUUUUUUUUCAUUCAUUUUUUUUUUCAGUAAUGGUGAACCAAACAAAAGAAAUGAACCUUGCACAAUUUAAUUCAAGCAUAAUGCUUGUUGAUCUAAUUGAGAAACUUUAAUUCAAGGUAGCAAGAGCAACAAAAUAUAUACAAAAUACAUCCAAACAAUGAGUCCAAAAAUCUCCUUAAAUUGAGGCUCAAAAAGAAGGAAAAUGGGUAAGUAGUUGGAGAGAAUUAGAUGGGUAAAAAAAAUAAUAAUAAUAAAACAAGUGAAGAGAAUGGUUAAGGCUCAAACAAAGAUAACAAAUAAAGGUCUUCGGGUGGAGAAAAAGAAGAAAAAUGCGAAAAUAGAAAAAUGGAAAUUGGUUUGCCCUUAUCAUUUUAAUGCAUAAAAUCCCGUAAUGCAGCUUCAACAUGCAUAACAAAGCAAGUUCUAGCAUAAACAAACUAAGAUUGAUAUUCACAUAACAAAAAUAAUUAGAGCAAAGUGGUUGCUCAUAGGCUCAAAUCCUCACAAAGUUGGUAAAUUUGCCAUCAAAUCAUGUAUACUCUUCAAAUGAAUCAACCAUCAAUAGUGAUGUAGAAUGAGAAGAAGAUAUGAGUGAUAUAUAAAAGGAAAGGUAAAAAGGAUAAGAAGCGAGAAAGAUAUAUGUAGUAAUAUAAAAAAUAAAAAUAGAUGUAAAUAAUUUGAAAUAGAUGGGAAAAGAGUAGUGAGAAAGAAAAGAAAAGAAAAGAAAAUUAAAAAUAAUAUAUGAAGCAUACUAACUCCAAAAUCAUUUAAGGAUGAACAGAGUGAAAAUAAUACUUUCAGACAUCAAUAUUGCAAAAAUCCCUCCCCCACACCAUAAACUCACAUUGUCCUCAAUGUAUGAUAAUCAAAGCUCACAUAAAGAAAUAAAGCGUAAGGAUACAAGAUUAAAGGCAAAACGUCCCUGAAUUGUGAGCUUUGAUCCACAUAACGUAUAUGGGCUUGGCGGAAAUGGUGGGAUAAAUCCCACACUCUCGAAGUAUGCGGCCAAAUUCUGCUCCAUCUUGUUCAGCUUGUGCUCCAUUUUCUCUAACUGAAUGCUCAAAGGUGGUGCAGAUGUAGAAGGAAUAGUUGGUGGGGCAGCAGUUUCAUCGUCAAACUUGUCAUCAGAGGUAGCACCACUCCUAGCAUAAAGCUUCUUUGGAAGUUGAGUGGGUCCUGGUUCAGUAAACUGAAAUCUCCCCUCCUUGAAUUCGACCACACCUGUUCUUUCAAACAAAGACAUAUCCAAAAAUUCCUUUUUGCAAGCAGGAUGUAAAUCAUUAUUGUCAGGAUCAAGCACACAUAAGUUUAUAGCUAACAGAGUAAUGUAUGGACCAAGAAAUAAAGUCCUAUACCUUUUAAGUACACUCUGAAAUUGAUCUGCUAACCAAAAACCUAGAUUAGGCCUCACAUCAUUUAACAUGCACCAGAUAAAAUAAAACUCAAUUUUAGAGAAAACUUCAGAGUAAUCUUUCUUUCCUAAAAAGUUAUAUGCUAAGAACCGAUGCACACAUUUCAAAAUAGGAUCACGUAAGAAAGAGCUCUUUGAUUUACUCGGGUCAUAGGCAUUGUGAUCAAAAGAUAAAUUACGCCAAAGACCAUAAGGCUCAAACUUUUCUCUAAAAUCACAAGUUGUCCCUAAAGAUGCAUCAUUAGAAGAAUAAUCAUCAUCAAUGAAUCCUAAAGCUAGGUUAAAAUCUGUGAUAGAUUAUGAAAAAUUUCGUCCCAUUAACCUAAACUUUAUAACAUUCGGAGUAUGCAAAGUAAAAUUAUUUGGUAUAUUAAAUUGAAAAGUAGCAUAGAACUCCCUAAUCAACUCAACAUAACCGAAACAAUCAAUAUCAACAAAAUUACGCAAACCAAUCUUAUCUAUCAAAGAAUUAAAAUUAUCCUUAACAUUCAAUUAUUCAAGAGUCGGGUAAUGAAUAUACUUAGCUGGAAGUAUUUUUCGCUUGGAAAUAUCUUUGUACUUUUCUUUCUCUUGUUGAGCCAUGAAUGUGAGGCACCCUCCGAGGUUGGAUUCAGCAAGUGGCAAAACACUCAUGCCUUUUCCAUGUUUCGAUCUUUGUCUCACGGCUCGGCGUGAAUUUGAAACUGUGUUCCAUGGGACCGUAGUGGGAGCAGCAGUCUUGGAUUUCUUUACGACGGGUUUCGUUUUAGACGUUGAUGACUUGGAAGUUGAUGCUUUCCUCAUCGGCAUUGUUACAAUAAUUUCACUCACGGGUUUUGUUUGAAUGCGAAAAGCGGCGGUUCUUUGAACAGAGGAGAGUGAGGCUGUGCGAGUUGCUGGACGCGGCAAGGAUGUGCUGGAAACCGAUUGCAGUGCGCUGGAAACACUGGUACAGUUGGUUGCUGGACUGGUUGUGCUGUUGGAGUGAGGAGAUGCGGCUGGUGCUGCGCUGCUGGUUGCUGGAGAUGCGGCUGCUGGAGUGAGGAGACGCGGCUGGGGACGCGAGACGUGGCUACUGACGGGAUGUUUGAUGCGGCUGCUGCUGGGAUGCCAGUCAUACGUUAGGGAUUAAAACCCUGAAAAAAAAAACCUUUUUUUUCGAUUUUUUUGUAUCAAAUAAAAUAAAAUAAAAAAAAAUAUAAAAAAACCUUUUUAUUUUUAUUUUUUUAUUAUUGAAACUAAAAACUAAAAGAGACUUGAGACAUAAAAAAAAAAUUCCAGAAGUACUUUUUUAAUAAGCAUAUGGGCAGGCCUUAAAACUAUUUUACUUUAAAAUCACAAAACUACUUAUUAGUAAAAACAUGGGCACGCCUAACCAAAAAUUUUCUUCUGGCCAAAAUAAGAAAAAACAUUAUUUAAACAAUCUGAAUCAAAAUUAAAACAAAUGAUAUAACAAAAAUCAAAAUAAAUAAAUCAUUUGGGUUGCCUCCCAAAAAACGCAUUUGUUUUAUGUUUUUGGCUAGACACAUUCAUGCAUCAAUCUCCAUAAAUUGGACUCUCGAGAGCCACUUCCUCCACAAUAUACACCAAAAAACCUUCAUAAACAGGUUUUAAGCGAUGUCCAUUAACCUUAAAAACUUUGUCAGAGGUUGAACUCCGAAUCUCAACUGCACCAUGAGAAAAAACAUUAGUAACAAUAAAAGGUCCUACCCAACAAGAGCGUAAUUUACCAGGAAAAAGUUUAAGCUUAGAAUGAAAAAGAAGAACUUUUUGACCAACAAAGAACUCCUUUCUCAAAAUCAUUCUGUCAUGAAAUGUCUUCGUCUUUUCCUUGUAAAAUCGCGAACUCUCAUAGGAUUUGUUUCUAAUCUCCUCCAACUCUUGCAGCUGCAACUUUCUCUGCUUUCCCGCUUCAUCCAUCCGCAUAUUGCAUUGUUUAACCGCCCAGUAUGCUCUGUGCUCAAGCUCUACAGGUAAAUGACAAGGAUUACCAAAUACUAAACGAUAAGGAGACAUACCUAUGAGAGUUUUGUACGCGGUGCGAUACACCCACAAUGCAUCAUCUAAUCGUAAGCUCCAAUCCUUUCGAUUUAGACCAACUGUCUUUUCAAGAAUAGACUUGAUUUCUCUGUUUGAUAUCUCAGCUUGUCCACUUGUUUGUGGAUGAUAGGCGGUAGACACUCGGUGGGUAACAUGAUAUCUCUUGAACAAAGCCUCCACCACCCGAUUACAGAAAUGAGUGCCUCUAUCACUUAUCACUGCUCUCGGUACACCAAACCUGAGAAAAAUAUUAGACUCGACAAAAUCUACAACUUUAGCAUUGUCAGUCCGGGUGGCCUUAGCCUCUACCCACUUAGAAACGUAAUCCACUGCUAAAAGAAUGUAAGCAUUGCCAAAAGAUGAGAGAAAAGGUCCCAUAAAAUCAAUGCCCCACACAUCGAAUAUUUCACACACAAGAAUAAGGGUAAGUGGCAUUUGAUUCUUAUGACUUAAAUUGCCAGCCUUUUAACAAUUCUCACACGACUUACAAAACAUGUAUGAAUCAUGAAAUAAAGUAGGCUAAAAUAUACCACAUUCUAACACCUUAGAUGCUGUCCUUUUGGGACCAAAAUGACCACCACAUGCAUAUGAGUGAAAAAACUGAAGAAUAAAAGGAAUUUCAAACUCAGAUACGCACCUUCUGAUGACUUGGUCAGAGCAAUGUUUCCACAAGUAAGGGUCAUCCCAAACAUAGUACUUAGCAUCGCUUUUAAUCUUAUCUUUUUGAGCCCUCGUCAGAUCACUAGGUAGAGUUCUUGUAACUAAGUAAUUGACAAUGUCAGCAUACCAAGGAACCAUACCUUGAGUUACAAAGAGAUACUCAUCUGGAAAAUCAUCCUUCAAAGGUGUUACUUCUUCACUCGUGGUCAAUCUACUAAGGUGGUCUGCAACCAAGUUUUCUGCUCCUUUCUUGUCACGGAUCUCCAAGUUGAACUCUUGAAGUAGUAGGAUCUAGUGGACGAGUCUCGGUUUUGCUUCCUUCUUGGCGAGCAAAUAUCUGAGAGCUGCAUGGUCAGAAAAAAUAAUCACUUUAGUGCCCAAUAAAUAUGAACGGAAAUUUUCUAAAGCAAAAACCAUAGCCAAAAUUUCUUUUUCCGUUGUUGCGUAAUAUAUCACAUGAGCAGCUCUUCCAACCAUUUGUCGGAGAACAACACCAACAGCAUAGUUACUGGCGUCGCACAUUAUCUCAAAAGGGAGGCUCCAGUCGGGUGGCUGUAUAAUUGGAGCUGAAGUCAAUAACUCCUUGAGCUUAUCAAAUGCUACCUUGCAUGCUUCAUUAAAAUCAAACGUCACAUCUUUCUGAAGCAGCUUGCAUAGAGGCUGAGCUAUCUUCGAAAAAUCCUUGAUAAAACGUCGAUAGAAACUUGCGUGACCAAGGAAAAAACAAACUUCCCGCACACAUGUGGGAUAGGGUAAAGAUUUAAUAACAUUUAUCUUACCUUUAUCUAUCUCAAUUCCUCUAGCAGAGACUACAUGACUUAAAAUAAUGCCUUGAUCUACCAUAAAAUGACAUUUUUCAUAAUUCAAGAUAAGGUUUGUUUCAAUGCAUCUUUCAAGCACUUUCUUCAGAUUAUAAAGAUAAUCAUUAAAAGAAUCAGCAUAGACAGUAAAAUCAUCCAUAAAUACCUCUAUAAUGUUCUCUACAUAGUCUGAAAAAAUACUGACCAUGCACCUCUGAAAAGUGGCGGGAGCGUUACAAAGACCCAAUGGCAUACGUCAGUACGCAAAGGUUCCGAAAGGACAUGUAAAGGUAGUCUUCUUCUGAUCCUCAGGGGCAACUGGUAUCUGAUGAAAACCUGAAUAGCCAUCAAGACAACAAAAGUGAGAUUUUCUGCCAACCUUUCAAGCAUCUGAUGAAUAAAAGAAAUAGGAAAAUGAUCAUUCCUUGUGAGUGAAUUAAGCUUUCUAAAAUCAAUACAAACCCUCCACCCAUUCUGAACUCGGGUGGGUACUAACUCACCAUAAGAAUUCUCAACAAUUGUUAUAUCAGUUUUCUUCGGUACCAUUUGUACCGAACUUACCCAUUUGCUAUCUGAAAUUGGAUAGAUUAUACCUGCAUCAAGAACUUUCAGAAUUUCUUUCUUCACUACUUCCAUCAUGAGUGGAUUCAAACGGCGUUGAGCUUGAAUCGAAGGUUUGGCAUCUUCCUCCAGCAGUAUUCUAUGCAUGCACGUGGACGGACUUAUCCCUUUAAUAUCAGCAAUUGUCCACCCAAUAGCCUUUUUGUAAUCCUUCAACGCUCUAAUAAGCUUUUCUUCCUCUAAAGUACUAAGCUUUGAAGAGAUGAUCACCAGAAGUGUCUCACCAUCUCCUAGAAACAUGUACUUUAGAUGACUCGGCAGUGGUUUAAGCUCUAUUUUCGGUGCCUGCAAAAUAGAUGGAAGAAGUUUUACAUGAGAUAAAAGUAAUUCAAUAUAAGACAUAUGAUGAGUUAAAGUUCUCAAAGAAUUUAAUUCAUAAAUUGUCUCUUGCAAUACAGAAUUUAAAACAAACUCAUUUUCAUCAUUUUGCAAUCCUUUGAGGCCCAAACUGUUAUUUAAAGCAGCUAUCAAUGAAUCUUCAACAUCCAAAUAAAAAACUUCCUGCACUAUAGGGUUAAUAACAUCCACAGAAAAUAUCGAAUGUUCCUCACUAGGAUAUUUCAUGGCAUAGUUCAUAUUGAACUCUAUAACCUCUCUAUCAAACUCCAUAGUGAGAGUCCCUUUAUGUACAUCUAUUUUAGUCCUAGCAGUCUUAAGAAAAGGUCUUCCUAGCAAAAUUAGGACAUAAUUAGAAGAGUUAUCCUCUUCCAUAUCAAGUACAUAAAAAUCAGUAGGAAAAACCAACUCAUUAACUUGUACUAAGACAUCUUCUAAUACCCCAUCAGGAUAUGCAUUAGACUUAUUAGCUAGUUGAAUUAUCACGCCAGUUUCUUUUAAUGGACCAACAUUCAAAGAUGAAUAAAUGGAAUAAGACAUGACAUUAAUAGAAGCUCCUAGAUCAAACAUAGCCUUUUCAACUCUAACACUACCAAUUUUGCAAGGGAUAGUAAACAUACCUAGAUCCUUGCACUUAGGAGGUAGUUUCUUUUGGAGAACUGCUGAAACAUUCUCCCCCAUGUGAACUCUUUCAUCUCCUCUUAAUUUUCUCUUGGAGGUGCACAACUCCUUAAGGAAUUUAGCAUAUCGAGGUAUUUGUUUUAUAGCAUCUAAUAAAGGAAUAUUUACCUCAACCUUGCGAAAUAUCUCAAGGAUGUCUUUCUCUUGUACCUCCUUCUUGGAUUUUGCAAACUGGCUUGGAAAAAGAGGAGGUAUCACCACAGGUAGGGGUUUUGCUCUGGUGGGUUGAGCAUCUUGAGAUUUAGGCAUCAAUUCAUUCUUCUUAAGCUCAUCUUCUACAUGCUUUGUCACUUUCUUACUAGGCUCUUGCAACUCCUUCCCACUUCUAAGGAUGACAGCACUAGCGUUUUGCUUUGGAUUCACCUAAGAUUGUGAAGGCAAUCUCCCUGAUGCUUGAGACUCCAGGCGGCUUAUUGUAGUCGCCAAUUGACUAAUUUGGUUCUUCAAAUUCUGAAUGCUUGUUGUAGUUGCCUGAUGAAAUUGUUGAGUAUUAGUCACAAGUGAUUUAAUAAUUUCUUCAAGAGAUAUACCUGACUUGGAGUUUGACUGUGGAGGGGCUGGUUGUCUUGGUGAGUAUUGUUGUGGGAAUCCUGAUGGUCUAACUCCAUAGCUGAAGUUGUGAUGAUCAUUCCAUCCCGGAUUGUAUGUUUGUGCAUAAGGAUCAUACCUCCUCUGAGGCAUGCCUGGAAAUCCUCCAACUACAUUGGCUCGUUCAACGGGUUCUUCUUGAAGUGUCGGACACAUAUCAGUUGAAUGACCCAUAUUAGAACAAAUGCCACAAGUCUUCACUUGUUGCACAUUACCUACAAUAAACUUUUUCACAAGAGAAGUAAGUUUAUCUAAACGUUGUUCAAUAGAAGAAAUAUUUACCUCAUUCACCUUCCUUAAAGUGGGAUCUUGCAUGCUGCCAAACUGUUGUGCAUUGGCAGCCAUAUUUAAGAUCAACUCCCUUGCUUGAGUAGGGGUCUUGUUCACCAACACACCUCCACUAGCAGCAUCUAUCAUACUCCUAUCCAUCAAUGACAAUCCUUCGUAAAAGUAUUGAAUAAGAAGUUGAUAAAAAAUCUGAUGCUGAGGACAACUGGCACACAAUUGUUUGAAUCGCUCCCAAUACUCAUACAAAGUCUCCCCAGGAAGUUGUCUGAUCCCAAAAAUGUCUUUUCUGAUGUUAGCAGCUCUUGAAGCAGAAAAAUACUUCUUAAGGAACUACUUCUUCAAACCAUUCCACAUUGUAAUCGAUCCAGGAGGCAAGUAGUACAACAAGUCUUUAGCUAGCCCAUCUAAAGAGAAAGGAAAAUCACGCAGCUUAAUCUGCUCUUCAGUCACGCCUUGUGGCCUCAUACUUGAAUAGACAACAUGAAACUCCUUGAGAUGUUUAUGAGAAUCUUCACCGGCAAAACCAUGAAACUUGGGUAACAAAUGAAUAAGACCAGACUUUAAUUCAAAAUUUACCUCCAAGUCUACAUAUUGAAUGCAGAGUGGUUUCUGAUUCAAGUUUGGUUCAGCUAACUCUCUAAGAGUUCUUUCUACAAGUGUAACUCUAUCCAUCACUUGUUCUUCUGAAUCGCUAGAUGAUUCAACCAAAUCAGGCACCGUAUCUGUUUCAUAAAGCAAAGGCGACGAGGAUCGUUACUUAGCUCACUUCGUCUGCUGUCUCAGCUGGUGAGCUGUCUUCUUAAUUUCAGGAUCAAACGAAAGUGUACCUGUACGAGAAGUACGAACCAUACACCAAGUAAAACGUAAAAAGGAUUAAAUAAACGACACCAAUCCCCGGCAACAGCGCCAAAAUUUGAUGGUUAUCGAAGCCUGUAAAAAUAAAUAACUACUCUAAAUAAAUUGUGUAUAGUGAUUGAGCGGGGUCGUUCCACAGAGAUUGAUAAUUAUUUAAAUCCUUUUAAAAUGAAAAAUGAAAAAUGGGGGAAUUGUUGACAAUAAUAAAAAUCAAAUUAAAAUAACAAGAAUGCAAAUUAAAAUUGUAAUUCAAAUUGGGAAAAGCUCUGGUUGAAGGAAUUAACUCAGCUUGAUUCGACUACUGAUCAUUGAUUCAAAUAUAAAUCAUUACUACUUAUGAAUAGACCGGUUAUAGAUACUGAGACCCUCUAAUAGCCAAUCUCUCCUUAACUAGUUGAUAGCCAAGGUACGACCAUUGGUUAUUUCCCUAAUCAAUAGACAACCCUAGAUACGAUCAUAGGGUUUAAUCAAUUGACAGCCUGAAAAACCAGAGAGACCCAAAUCCUAAUCAACAAACGCAUAUGAUGAUUCAUUUAAAUUAGAUUAUUUAUUCUCAUAACACAACGCACUACUAUGCUAUUUGUCACAAACAUUAAAAUCUUCAUACGAUGAAUCUUUUAAUUGACAAUAGAUUAAGCUGAUAAUUAAAUAGUGGCCAAUUAUCUAAUUAACAAACAUAAUCAUGACAAUAAUUUAGAGAAUAAACAAAUACCCAAAAAGUAAUAAAACAAUUAAAGCAUAAGAAAGAUCUCACAGUAAUGAUGAAUCAAAGCUUUAUUAACCUUCGACCAGAAUAAUAGGUUUAGUUCUUCAUAGAGAUAAGAGAAAAAUUUAGAUCUAGGGUUUCUUUUUCUUUCCUCCUCUAGAAAAAUUCUCCUCCCCUUUGUUUUUCAUGUCUCCUUUCUCUUAUAGAGUUUUUCCAAAAAUAAAAUACUAAUAUCUAAAAUAUUAUCUAAAUAUUAAAUUCAAAAUUACAAAAAUAACCAAAAAGGUAAAACACGUUAAAAUAAAAACUGCAGGUCCUUAGUCGACAGCACGCGCCCAUGCCUUAUCAACAAAGUUCUUCUGAAGCUCAUAAUUUCUCCAGGAAAACAAUCAUCCUCAAACAUCAUCUUGUAGCUCAAUUUUAGCACCAAUCAAUAGAAUUGCACAUACAAAAAUAAAAUACAAGUAAAUCACUAUUAUUAAGUGCAAAACAUUGAUAUUAAAGGAAGUAAACAAUGCAAAAGUAGUGCAUAGAUUGCACUCUAACACUAAUUCCACCAACAACAAAGAACUAAAACCACAAGGAUUAAAAUACACAAAAAUACACACAUUUGCUUUUUACGGAGGUCCCAACAGUGAAUUUUCUAUUUCUGUAAAUUUGAAAAGAUAACAAAUAACUCAGGGUUUUGCAUGCUCAAGGACACCACUCUAUUUACCAAAACUCAGGAUCCCCAAAACAUACUUUCCCAUCACUAUAUAUAAGGCGAGGAGGCACACUGCCCUCGUUCCAUCUCAAUUAUUUCUUCUAAUGUUUAGGCACUACUAAGCAUGUUGUGAGGAAGCACAUCUCCACUCUCCCUUGAGUAAAACAACCGCUACCCACUUAGCCUAGAAGUAAGGAUGUCAUGGAGUGCAACCGUCGCUGCCCACCUUUCUUGAUGAGUAACCGUCACAGCCUACUUCCUUUGCCCCCAUUUUCUAGGCAUGUUAUCCAAGGUCAUGCUCUCUCAUUAGUUACACCCACAACUACCUACUUCAUGCUUAAUUUUAGGUCUCAUUUUUAUUUAUAGACAAUAAGCUCCACAUUCAACUGCCAUUGUUUGCACACAGAGUGCGUGCAAACGCCUCUUAUCUUUGCAUAGUUUGGCCCCUGUGCAUUCCCUAUUGUGAUACGCUACCUCUACAUACGUUUGCGCUACUGCCACGCGUCAUCCCGUGCGUCCUUUGGGCCCUAUGCGUCUUGCGCUCCUGCACCAUAUGCGUCCUACGUUCAUGACCUACACGUCCACACACUUAUGAGAUGUUGCGUGCGUUGUCGAUGGCUUCAAACCCGACAUAAAUUUGAAGAGCUUGUCCUCAUCUAACUCGUUCUUAAUGUACAACAUUAGUGAACUGAAUUCCUUAAUGUAAUACCUCAUUAAUUCAUUAUGCUUUAGCUUUUUCUUCAAGCUUUCUCUCGCGAGCCAGCUAGUAUUUCCUGGUAGGAACUGACCCUUUAGUUUUCAUUUGAGUUUGUCCUAUGUUUCUAUUGCUGAUCACUGCACUUCAACAUCUUCUUAAAGUCUGCUCCAUAUCCCACAUAAAACUCUUCAACUCUUUGGCAUUUCGAGUCCCAUUAUAAGUCUUAGGUUUGGGCACCUUAACUUUCAAAAGUCCAUCCUUCGAACGAGAAGUGUUGUUUGCUGCCCGCUUCAACAACCCAACUUCCGUUUCAAGAUCCCCAAUGUCAACUUUCAGCACCUUAGCUAAUGCAGCAACAUCCUUAUCAUCUUAUUUAGCUUGUCCAAAAACUCAUUCACAAACUCUGUGCAAGUUAGUCUCACACUUGGUAUCUUGAUGGAGUUGAUUUCUUUGUUCUCAGCCAAACUCUCCAAGUCAGGUUGUAAAAUACCUACAAUUGCCUCCAAGUGCACUGACUUGUCCUUUGUUGAUGGCCUCAUCAUUUUGGUUUCUGUCAUUGUUAAUUUCUCUGAAAUUAUACAACUUUACUAUUGCACCGUAGCUUCCCUAAAACCACACAAUCAGCUGUUUGCAAACUAAUUUUAAUUGAAGCUUGCAAUCAAUUGCCACCUACAACAAGUUAUAAUCGUGCUUUGUAACUGAAUUCUACAAACCCAACUAUGCCUUCUAAUAUUAGUUUCUUCUCAAAAUGAAGCAACCUUUUCUUUGAUACUAGUUGUCACCGAGACUUAUCUUAAGGAUGUGGCAACCCCACGUGAUGGUGUUAAGUCUCUGUUUAGCCAGCCACUCAACAAUGCUAACGAAAGCAAAUAAAGCAACAAGCAUGCAAAGACUCAUAAUGGAGGUCUUACAUGAAAGAUUGAUUCCACCAACAAAAGGAAACUAAAAUAGCGAGUAUUAAAGUUCACAAAAAUGCAUACUAUUUGCUUUUUACGAAGGUCCCAACCCCUAAAUUUUCUAUUUCUGCAAAUAAGAAAAGAUUACAAAUAGCUCAAGGGUUUUGUAUGCUCAACAACACUACUCUCUCUACCAAGACCUGGGAUCGCCAAGACAUACAUUCCCAUCACUAUAUAUACUAGUUUGCAAAUGACGCCCCCCGUUUGCUAAGGCAAGGUGGAGCACAACCCUCGCACUACCUCAAUUCUUCUCCUAAAGUUUAGGCAUCAUUAAACAUGUUGUGAGGAAGCACAUCUCUACUCCCUCUCGAAUAAAGCAACCACUACUCGCUUAGCCUAGUUGUAAGGAUAUUAUAGAGUGUAACCAGCAGUGCCCACCUCUCUUGAUAAGUAACCACCACUGCCUACUUCUUUUACCCCUAUUUUCUACGCAUGUGAUCCAAGGCCAUGCUCUCCCACUAGUUGCACCCAUAACUACCUACUUCAUGUUUGAUUUUAGGUCCUACUUUCGAAGAAUUUGUAGCUAACAUGCUCUGCAUUCAACCACCACUGUCCCCACACAGUGAGUGCGCGAACGCCUCUUAUCUUCGCAUAGUUUGGCCCCCGUAUAUGUCCCACUGUGCUGCAUGUUUGUGCGCAACCCCCGCAUGCAUUUGCGCUACUGCCUCGCGCCAUCCUGCAUUCUACCCACAUGGCCUGUGCGUGUCCUAUACGUCCCGCACGCCCCAUGCAUCCCCUGCCCGCAUGCCCCAUGCUUCCAGUGCUCGCACACCUGCAUUUCCAUGCGCUUAUGAGAUAUUGUGUGCAUUGCCACUGCAUGCCCUUGUGCACGCUUUCUCACUCUCUCUGUGUUUUUCCUUUAGCUUACGCUUGUUACCGUGCCCCAAUCUACACAUUAGCCUUGCCUUACUUUCGUGUUUGCCUAGGAGCAUGCUCAUGUUGCUUCCACGCUUGGCAUAAGGCGACAAGCCAAGCCUAGGCAUUUGGUCAUCAUGACUCACGACAACAACACUCACCUACUAUACAAUGCAAAACCAAACAAACAAGUUACACCUCUCUAGUCACUAGUCUUGACGUACAAGUCUUUCAAUUCAUGUCUCAACUCUCCCUCAAACACUCCAUUCCAUACGUCAGUGUGUUUGAAAAAUAUGAGUUAUUUAAUGUUGUAUGAUAUUAAUUGGUUUUAUUAUUAAUUAUCAACUUAUUAUUUUUGCAAUUUGUUAUGACACAUAAAAGAUCAUAUUAUUCAAUAUCUCAAUUGAAUAUAUGAAGUGAGUAAGUAUAACAUUACUCUUUCCAUAAUUGAUAAGUAAGGAUGGCAAAAAGACCAGACCCCGUCCUUGUCUGAUUAACCUAACUCUAAUUUUUAGGAUCUUUAAUUGAAUUUAAAGGGUCAAGGAUUAGGUUUCGGCCUGAUUACAUUCAAGUCUAGGUUAGGACUUUACUAAAAAUUCCUAACUCAACCUUUGACCCUUCAAUUAAUUUUCAAAAUUAAAAAAUAUAAUACUUAAAAAUUAAGCACAUACACUACAAAUGUGGUCAGAACUCACUCCUCAAAUUAAUAGUAUUUUGUAUUCGAUUUAUUUACUUGUUAAUUUGGUUAGAUUUUUACAUGUUGUAUUUUCGUUAAAGCUAAAUAAAAAGUUAAUUUAUUAAAUUCCUUACAACCAAAUUUAUCAUAAAAUGGAACAAUAAUAGUACAAUAUAUUUAAUAAAGAAUGAAGAGUUGGAGUCUUACUCUAAAAAAGUAUCUAAAAAUUAAAAAGGUUAUUGCAAGGUGCGGAUAAAGCCCAAGGCUGAACCUGACCUGAAAAAGGUUGACCCUGACCCAACCCUCAGUUUUGAGGAUCAAACUUUUGAAAACUAAGACCCUUUAUUUUUAAUCAUAGGGGCAAGGCUAGGGGUUGGCCAAGCUUGAGCUCAACUAGAUCGAUUGCCAAACUUAUUGAUAAGAAAAUAAUUAAUAGAGUUGUGAUAUUUGACCCUUCGUUGUAUCUCACCAGCCCCCACUAAUUAAUUUUAUAUAAUAUUAUUUUAUCUUUGUAUGAAAUAAUUUAAAAGGGUAAAUGACUUUUAAGUGCACCCGCAUGAUAAUUUUCAUUAAUAUAUAAUUUAACUAAUCUAUUUUCUUAAACCUUAAUUUCUUUAAACUUUUUAAAUUAUUAUUUCUUCUUAAAUAUUGUAUACUUUACUUUUGGAAGAAAUUAAUUUAUAGCACUCAAUAGAAGAUGAUGAAGAAAUAUUUUUUUUUUAUGGUUAUGGUAAUGAUGGAUAAAUCUUUAAAGAGAGAGAGAGAGAAAGAGAAAGAGAUUAUAGUGAUUUUGAGAUUUUUUUUUCUUUUUGAAGUAGAUUUUAUAAAUUUCAUUCAGUGGGUGCUUGGAAAAAAAGAUAAAAAAAUCAUAAUAAAGAUAAAUUUGCGAUUCAAUGGGGUAAUAGACAAAAAUUAGUUUAAAAUUUUUAAUAACGUUAACUGAAAAGGGAUUGGUAAAAGGGUCAGGCUACAGUGCAACGGGUGGUACCGUGCCACAGUUCCACCAGCCGUUGGAUUCACUCAAAUGCGUGAGGUCCACUUGAAUAAGUGGGAAUCCAACGGUUGGGUGCAACUGUGGCACGGUACCACAGUUGCACCACAGUUUUAUCCUUGGUAAAAUAUAAUAAGAGGGUCAAAUCUACCACUCUAAUUAGUAUCGUUUUACUCAAAAGUUUUGCUUAAAAGUUUUACUUAUAAAUUUUGGAUUUUGACCAGCUUUAAAUAUAAAAAAAAAUUGAGAAAAAAUUACUUUAAAAUAUCCAUACAUCAUCCCAAAAAGUUGUACCCAAAAAAAAAAAAAAAGGCCCAUUCUGGUUAAAUUCAAAAUUAAAAACCCGGCCCGUUUCCCUACUUAAGACCCUCCUAGCAGUUUUAAAAUUUUUUCCCAGCGAAGAAUAGAAGUGAUGGCAGCUGCUCUAGCUUCCGACGCAUCGCAAUGGGAAUUUAGCUGGUUUUAAUUCUCUCUCUUAGCUAUUUCUGUUUCUUUAUUUAACAUUGUGAUAUAUAUUUAUUAUGCUAGAGGUUCUACUAAGUCUCCCUUUACUGGGACUUUUCUCAUCUUGGGAAAUGUUAAUUUUGCCUUAUUUAUUCAAUAUUGUUAUCUUCCACUGUCAAUAAAUUUUAUGCUUUGGUUGGUUAUUCAAUGUGGGUUUGUUCCAUUUUGUUCUUACGCUGUUUGUAUAAAUAUUGAAGGUUUGUUUUUGAAGAUGGCUUUCAGUUAAUUGCCUUCAAAGCUUUAUUUCCUAAAAGAGGAAAGAAAAAUAUACCAAAAUGUUUCUACUGCUAUAUGUUUGCGUUUUUAGCUUCUGCUAUGCUUUGUAAUGUGUUGUUUGUGUUGGUAUUAAUGCUAGAAAGAUGUUUUCUUUUCUAAAUCUGAUUGCCUAGAAUGAAUAUGAGGUGGUUAUUGAGUUGCAAUAUAUCAAAUCAAUUGAAGUCAUCUGCUUCGUAGGUUUUGAUUCUAUUAAUUGUUUUCAUUUCAGUUACGACACAAUUGCAUGGGUGUUCGAGGAAAUCUAGUACUUCAAAAUAGUAUUGAUUAUUUGAGAAACCAAUAAACUCCCAAAAUACAAUUUACAAGUUGCGAAAAUAAUAGUACUCAAGACACUUUUUUAUUGAAAGGAAAUUAUCAGCCAUAUACCCUUAAAUGACACUUGUAUCAAACGUAGUUUUCUUUGUAUUGUGUUGUUUGUGUUGGUAUUAAUGCUAGAAAGAUGUUUUCUUUUCUAAUCUGAUUGCCUAGAAUGAAUAUGAGGUGGUUAUUGAGUUGCAAUAUAUCAAAUCAAUUGAAGUCAUCUGCUUCGUAGGUUUUGAUUCUAUAAAUUGUUUUCAUUUCAGUUACGACACAAUUGCAUGGGUGUUCGAGGAAAUCUAGUACUUCAAAAUAGUAUUGAUUAUUUGAGAAACCAAUAAACUCCCAAAAUACAAUUUACAAGUUGCGAAAAUAAUAGUACUCAAGACACUCUUUUAUUGAAGGGAAAUUACCAGUCAUAUACUCUUAAAUGACACUUGUAUCAAACGUGUGUGAACACUUUUCAAGUGUAUCACUAGUAUAUCCUAAGUUGAUAAAACACUUCUGCCGUCCACUAAUCCAUUAACUUCUGUUAGAAAAUUAAUAGAAUUGUGGUAAAUUGACUAUUUCGCCCUUGAAACUCAAAAUGAGGUAAAAAAAAAUUUACCCCAAAAAUUAACAUAAAUUUUUAAUACACAUUUUUUUUUAUUUUGUUAUUAACAAUACAUUUUUUUGAUUAAAAAAAUGAAUUAUUAAUGGUACAUAUUAUUAACAAUUAUCCGUCAAAAUAUCUAUAUUAUACCAUAAAAAUUAUUAACAACGUAUAAUUUACAAUUAUACAUAUUAUACCAUAAAAAAUUCCAGUUGGAGCUUGGAGGAGUAGAUCUUCAAAAAUUUAGAUUAAAUUUUGGAGGAGUAGAUUCGGUUGUAAAGUAAUUUUUUUUUAGCAAUUAUUAAUAAUUAUCCUAUAAAGGGAAUGACAUGUCAUUUUUAUCAAUAUAUAUCAUAUGACAUGUCAUUUUUUACUAGGUAAAUGGGAUGACAUGUCUUUUUUUAAUCAAAGUUUCGUCCAUCUUAAAAGACUAGAUUACCCUUAUGAUGUCAGCGCUUACAAAUGAUAGUUAAUGGAUUGGUGGACGACAGAGGUAUUUUGUCAACUUAGGGUAUACGAGUGAUAUACCUUAAAAGUGUUCACACACGUUUGAUACAUGUGUCAUUUAAGGGUAUAUGACUGAUAAUUUCCCUUUAUUGAAUAACAUCAAGCUUUAAAUAGAACUUUAGUUCAAAGUUACAAGCAUAAAAAUAGCAAGCAUUAAGCAUGUUCUCCAUCAUUCUUUAUGAAUCCACAAAAUAAGGGACCAACUAACAACUUAAUUUUGACUUAUUAAAAAACAGCUACACUUAAAAUAUAAAGUAAAUAAUUAAAACCAAUAUUAAAAUAGAAAGAUUGUAACAGCUUUUCUAUUUUUCUGUUAUUGUGUUUACUUUAAUCAAUGGGCCGUGGCACAUAUUGUUAAAUUGUGGAUCGGGUAGUUUACCGGACACGUGAACUAAUUUGUAAUUUAGUUAUAAGUUGUGUGAACCAUAAAAAAAUAAAGUCAGUGGUACUAUUAUCAGAAUAUUGGAUAGUUCUGAAAGGUUUUUGAAUAAGCUGGCAUUGAGGAUAAUAUACUAUUGGAAGUUGAGGGGGUGAACUGUUCUCAGUUCUGUUUGUUGAGGAACAGGACAGAGCAUCUGUGUAGAAAAUAUAAAUUGAAUAAAGAAUUGCUGUUUGGCAGCUAGGAAAAUGAAAGGAAAAUUUCUUAUUUCAUUUGAUGAACUGAUAUUUUGCACAUACUGAAAAAUCCAGAAUAUGUAGCAUUUAUAUAUGCAUUACACACGCUAACUAAUUGAUAACUAACUAACUAUUAGUAAAACUAACUUUCACUCAGCUCACACUCAACACAUUUACAGAGGCUGUAUAAUAGAGUUAGUUAGGCUGUUAGCUGCUGCUGAUUUGGAUUCUCUGACGUGGCACUAAUGACAGCUGGCAACUUGACAUUCUUGAUACGAGACUUGAAAACAGACUGAUUCUUCUUCUUCACUUCUGCAUAAUGAGCUAUCUUCACAAUCUGUAAUUCCUCUGUUGUUUACGAGUUAUCUAUUUUUUUCCCAUGACAGUGUAGUGCUCUUUGUCCACCUUUCAGAAAGUUUUUAGAGGAACUGUACCUGAAAUGUUUUGUUGUUUCUUAGAAAAUGGUUUUUCCCAUGCAGUGACUUUGAAGUGGAUUACGAGUCCAAUGAGAAUGCAUCAAUUGUGCAUGCAGCAUUAGCUAUUGAUAAGGAGGUGAUCCACCACGAUCCUAUUCCUAAGAUCAUACUUUGCUCCUUUAACUUUAUUGCUUGUUCAAUAAAUUCUUACUUGAAUUCAAUUUCCAAGUGCAGUUGCAACCAGACAAAGUGAAAAGGCAGAUAUCUGUGAUUAAUGGGAAACUUUUAGUGUAAAUUUCUAUUCUUUGGUCAUUCUUAUAACUGAUUUUUCAUUCUUGUCCAAUAUUUAUUCAAUUUGCAUCUAUCAGUUUAUCCUAUGAGACAAUAUUCAUUUGGAACUUUUGUGUGGCCCGUUCAACAAUCAUUUUUCCCCUUUUCCUGAAAAAUUUUCAAAUAUGUUACUUCAGAAGAGUUCUUCCUCUAAGAUACCAUUGUUCUUUAGUAUCUCAACUUUGCUUGGACUUUGCAGUUUACAAGUUUCUACAUUUUGUUUAUUUUCUCAUCUGAUUCAGGCACUUUGAGGCAGUUGAGGCCAGGAUUCUUCGUGCAUCAUUUUCUGCUUUUGUAGAUGUGCUUACACUUGCGACAAAAACUAUCGUACAGUUUGGUCAUGGAACGGAAUUGUAACAUCAUACUAUCUUUGGCAGUUGGAGAAUCAUUCUUAGUAGGAACUGUAUUACUUUAAUUCGCCUUCUUGUUUCGGAUUAGUUGACGUUUUUGUAACAAGAGAAUCUAUAGUGUUCGUUUUAUAAUGUAAAUCUUCAAAUUAUCGGAAACCUGUAACAAAUUCUUCAAAGCUG